rnacentral:lncRNA from 1 species
AAAUAUAGAGCUUUUGAACCAAAAAGAAGUACAAAGCUUAUUAUUCUUUAUUUGCUACUUUUCUUCUUUUUGUCUUUUUGUUUCUUUUCAUCUUCCUUGCUUUUGCUGGUCUCUCCUUGGCCUUCCCAACUCUGUUUUUUUUUUUUUUUUUUUUUUUUUUUUUUGGUUCUGACACAAUAACAUAACCUCAACCCUCUUUUAUUUUAGAGUAGGUCCUGUAAGCCAUUUCUUCUUUCUUUUCCUUAUGUGCAACACGAAUUGGGUUUCUUUGCCUAACACAACAUGCACAUGCCAAAGAGCUAUUUUUUGUAUUUUGUUCAGUUUGGCAGUACCAACUUCAUAGCUGAAGCUUCUCCCAUUUUUUAAUCUCAAAGUUCAACCACGAAUCCAUGCUUGACCUUUUUUUUGGCUUUUGUUGUUUCCUAUGUGGCACACUUCCACCAAAAUGGGUUUGGUCUUCACCCAUUAUGUGUUUAGAGUCCUUCGGAUAAUUAAAAAUAAUACUCAUCUUUGGUUUUGUAUUGACUUGACAGGAAGGCUUUCUUUGUUCUUGGCUUAUGUUGCUUUUGGGUUCUUCAACAGCCGCAACACAGGAGGCUUCUUGGUGCGCCAUUUUUUCUUUUGCUGUUUUUUUUUGCUUGCUGAUGCUUUGUGCCUGCUUUUCUUUCCAAUUUGAUUGGAAUUUCUAAGGCUUUGCAUAUUUCCCUUUGCAGACUCACAUCAUUUGAGAGGGCCAUCAUACUGCCAAUUGAGGUGUUGGCUUUGCUUUGUCUCAGUUGCUUCAUGUUUUUCUAGCAAUAAAGUGAGAAGCUUUUAUGAUAUUUGCAAUUUGCUACAGAGGAGUGCUGGCUUAAUAAUUUUCUUGGGCUGUCUGGCUGGGGAUUUUUUCUUUGUUGGCAAAUUUUGAAGCACAGAAUGUGGGUGUGAAUCAUCAGCUUUUGUAAACUUUCUGGCACUCAGUAAUUUCUGCAUCUCCUUUAAUAUAUUUUCUUCUGUUUAUUCCAAUGGGUGAGACUAAAACAGAGUUAUUGAUUUUCUCCAUUUGCAGCACGUUUUGCUACCUGUUCUUUCUCCAAUCUGCAGAUUUGGAAUUUUGCUCUGCUGAAGGUGGGUUGAGCAUGUAACAAAGCGUCGGAACUGUUGAUGUUUUCUAUUUUUGGUACUCAAGAACACUCGCAAGGUCUUCUCUAAGUACCACAAUGUGCCUAUGGACACUCACAAGGUGUUCACAGCACUUGUACAGUGGGGUUCUUGCAGAAGCCCAUCUGUAAUUCACAACAGAAAGGUCCUUGUGAGAGCUCUCUUUGUGUAAGUAGCAUAAUUAUUGCCAAUUUGGGAGGAUUUGUUCACAUUUUUCCACUGCUGAGGUCUCUAUUGAUAUGAUACAUUUCUUGAUAUCAAACAUGGAGGAAGUUCAGGCUUCUGUACAAUGGCCUCACAUACAUAUUUUUUUACCUGCAAGUCAGUUGUUCAUAAAGGAUACUUAAAUGAAUUUGUUUAUACCUUCUUAGUGGUAUUGUGAUAGAGCUUCGUAUCUCUUUUGCUUGCUUAUAUUCUUUGGAUUUCUGCAGCAAUUCGGUGUUUUCUUUUUUUCUUUUGUGUAUUUCUACAGCAGUUGGGUGCUUUUUUCUUUCUGUGUUCUUUGCAUCCUUUAGUCCCUUUUUAUAGACUUAGAGGAACUGACAGAGUGGAGCCAGUUAUGGCCUCACGUACUGUGUGGGUGGAAGUAACUUCUCAUUACAGUCACCCCCUCAACGUACAUGUUCUGAUACUGCCUUCAGUACGUUAAUAUUUUCUUUGUAAAAAUAUUAAUAUUAAUUCAUUUGGGCCUAAAACAAUUUAGCAACAAGUCCACAAAACCAUUUUAGCUAUGAGCCCAACUUCUUUAAACUUGGGCCAAUAUUUAAUUUGUUGUCAAUGAAUUUUUUUAUUUCAACACUUCUGAUGCUUAUUAUUCUGAUUCCCAGUGACUUUAGCUGCUUUGGAAUCUACACUCAAACUACCAAAAGCCUUCUCAGUCUUGUUCUCAUGAUGUCUCUCCAAUCUUUGUGCAAAGCUCUUCAAUGAGGCAACCACCUCUUGAACUUCAAUUGCAUCUAGAUCCCUCGAAUGCUCAAUUACAGAACAUAUAGGAUCAUACAUAGGCAGCAUACUAAUUAACAUUUUCUGCACAAUUCUUUCUCUAGGCAACUCUUCUCCAUAGCCUCUCAUUUGAUUUAUCAGAUCAAAUAACUUUGUAAGAUAAGCAGAUAAGGAUUCAUCCUUUCUCAUUCUAGUAUAUUCAAAUUCUCUACGGAGACUUUGUAACUUUACACUCCUUACCUGCUUAUCACCGUGAAAUUCCUGCUUCAGGAUACUCCAAGCUCCUUGAGACGAUUCUUCAUGAGAAAUCCUAGGGAAGAUCUCAUCAAAAACUGCUCCCUGAAUCAGCCUCAAAGCCUUAGCAUCUUUCAUCAGGAUCUCAGUGAGAACCAUCUUCCCAGUACCAAUUGAUUCCUCUUUUUCCUUCUUCUUCGCAUCAAAUUCAUCAGCUCCCUUCGAAUUUGAGCUUUCUAUCCCUUUCUCAACAAGUUCUCGUAACGCAUGACAUUUGAAAAUAGUUUUCAUUCUUAUGCUCCAGAACUCAUAGUUCUCACCAUUGAAGAUCGGAGCUCGUAGUUCACCACCUCCAUACCCUGCCAUGUUAGACAAAGAUCUUCACGAAAGCAAGUUUUUCAAAUCGCAGCUCACUUUCUUCACAAAUUCAAUUGCCCAGCUAAACAAUCGAACCUGGCUCUAAGUCCAUGUUAGAAUACUCAGACUAUAAUCUGAUUAAUUUGGAUUAUUGGUAGACGGAGCUCAGGUAAGAAGAGAAAACAGAGAGAGAGCUUGGAGAGGAAGAUGAGAAAAUUGAGUCUAUUCUCUCACUUAGUCACGCACAAGCUGUACAGCAAAAUAUAUCUGUUGGGAAUAGAAUAUUCCCAUUUACAUCAUUCAAAUCUAGCCAUCAAUUUCACUAUCCUAUGAGAUAGCUACACCUGGCGCAAUUCAUUACUACAACUAAGGGUACAUCUUGGAUGUCCAUUGGACUGUGAUCCAAUGGUUCACAAUUAAUUCAAUACAAAUACUUAGCUAACACACUUAUACUUUAACAAGGAAUGGGUGAAGGCUAGUUCAGCUAUUCGUACAGACCUCAAUUUUUCUUGUUUUGGAUCCUCCUGAUACUAGUCAGUUCAAGCUUAAUGUUGAUGGGUAGUGCAAAUUUGCGUCUGGAGUCAUUGGUGUUGGAAUAUUAAUCCGUGAUGAUAGAGGGAAUUGGAUUGGUAGUUUUGUGACUAAUCUGGGAGUGGUGACAUCCUAGCAGCUGAAAUAUGGGGGUUGUUCUUUGGUUUAAAACUUGCAAUCCAAAGGGGCAUCUCAAAUUUGCGUAUUAAAAUGGACUCUGCGACUGCAGUCCUACUUCUCCAAAAAUCUUCUCUCUUUGUUCUACAGUCGAUGGCAUCUUUGUUGUCCAGUUGCUACACUCUUAUGUGACAAGUGGGUGAUUGUGUGAUUAACCACAUCUAUAUGGAGAAAAACAAGGUGGCUAAUUGUUUAGCGAAGGGGAGCUAUAAUUUUGAUUUGGAGCUUGAUGAGAUUCCUAGCUAGGUUGAGGCUACCUUUGAUGAUGAUUUGUUAAGAGUUCCUAGAACUCGUACUGUCCCCGUCAUUUAGAGGGGUGUAUUCAAUUAGGAUUAUAAAACGUUUAAAAAGAUUUUAAAAAUCCGGGUGUAUUCAAUUUGGAUUUAUACAAACUUUAAAAGAGGUUUUACAAGUUUGGGUGUAUUCAAUUCGAACUUGUAUGAACUUUUAAAAAGUCCAUUCAAAUAUGGGUGUAUUCAAUUAGGAUUAUAAAAAAGUUGAAUCAAAUCUAGGUGUAUUCGAAUGGUCAUAUAUUUGGAAGGAUUUCAUUAAGUGAUAAAUUUUCGUAGGUUUUAAGCGAAGAGGUAUAAAUAAAUAACAAAGACCAUAAUAAAUCCAACUUCCCCCCCAAAUAUUUUCAUCAGACGUUUUUCUCUCUGCAACAGAAGACAAACAGCUUCCUUCCUUCAUCUGUGAAGGUAUGCUCCCUAUUUUUUCUUUGAUCAAUACCUCGUUGGGUUUUCUUUUUCCAUAAUUUUUCUUCAUUGUGUUUUUCUUGUUAUUAUAUUAUAGUUUGGGGUUAGGGUUUAUGCUUGUUACUAGGGUUUAUGCUUGUUUACUAGAGUUUAUGCUUGUUACUACUUGUUUUUCUUCUGAAAUAUCUAUAUGCGACUAGAUAGAAAAUUGAAAUAAUUGACAGCCUUUCUAUAAUCGUACAAAAAAAUUGAGACAAAUAUAGAUGAACAUUAUAAAAACGAAAAUCCAAAAAUUUCCACUUUUAAAUACUGCUUUGGAAGCCUAAACGACCUCAAAAGCCCAAAAUUCACCAUACGUCACUGCGAAGCUGUGAGUUUGAUGCUACAAGAUUAUAAUGCUUGGAGUGUGGAAGGGAGUAGAAUGUUGUUGCAACUCAUGGUUGAUGCUGCAAGCCGAGGAUGACGUGAUGAUAAUGGAAUGCUAACCAAGGCAACUGUAGAAACCAAAAUACUCCCCAAGAUUAAUGAAAAACUUAGGUGUCACAAAACCUAUUCUCAAUACCAGAGUCAGUUGAAGUACUUUAAAAGAGAAUACCAAAAAUAUUCACAGCUUCUCCAUCACAGCUCUGGGUUUAAGUGGGAUCCAACCACAAAGAAAUUCACUGCUCCUGAAUAAGUUUGGAAAGACUACUUUAAGGUUAGAUUAUUAAAUUUUCUUUAAAUAAUUCCGUUUGGUAACUUGAAUACAUAAUUCUGUUAAAUAAAUGUUUUAUUUAGUUUGUUUAUGUUUAAUAAGAUCUUUUAAACUUUUGGGUUUAUUUCAGGAUUGUAUCGGAGCUAUUGACGGCACACAUAUUCCAGCAAUGGUAAUGGAACGCGACGUAAGCAGCUAUCGUAAUCGUCACGGUGCAAUACCACAAAAUGUAUUAGCAACUUGUAACUUUGAUUUGGAAUUCAUAUAUGUUCUUAGUUGGUGGGAGGGCUCAGCUCACGAUUCAAGAAUACUACAAGAUGCUUUAAUAAGGAGGAAUGGACUUAAAGUGCCACAAGGUAUUUUUAAAUUUUAAAUUUUUUCUUAUUGUUUACAUUAGCUCAUACAUUGGAUAUAUACUAACAUAUGUUUACAUUAGCUCAUACAUUGGAUAUAUACUAACAUAUGUGUAAUCUAUUAUCAGGGAAAUUUUUCUUAGUGCGUGGAUUCUGGAUUUCCAAAUCGAUGCCAAUUUUUGGCUCCAUUUCGAGGUGUUCGAUAUCAUCUCCAAGAGUUUGGUGGUCAAGGUCGUGCACCUGCAAAUGAAAUUGAGUUGUUCAAUCUUCGUCAUUCGUCCUUGAGGAAUGUCAUUGAGAGGAUAUUUGGUAUAUUUAAGUUACGAUUUAUAAUUUUCAAGUUUGCACCUCCAUUCCCAUAUGCGACACGAAUACAGAUCGUGUUAGCUUGUGUAGGACUACACAAUUUUCUUCGAAAAGAGUGUAGAUCUGACUAAUUUUCUGUUGAAUUGGAGGACGAAUCUUCUUCAUCUUCAUCGUUACCGGUUAAUGAAUGGAAUCCUGAACUAGUUUUCCAAACACAAGAAUAGCAACAACAGAAUGCUAAUGAAUGGAGAGUUGGUAUAGCUUUGGAUAUGUGGAGAGAUGCUGGGUACAAUGACAACAAUGAGAACCAAGGAUAAUGAAUGAACGUUAAAUUUUUCUUAAACUUUUCUUUCAAAUUUGUAAUACAUUUGUCACUAUAUUUCUUAUGAAUUUUGCUUUUCAUUAAACAUAAUUUUAUUUCAUGUUGUUGAAGGAAAAGAUGUUAUGAAUUUGGUUUUUUAUUUCAUGUUGUUUAAAAUUUUAUUUUAUCUUUUUUAUAUACAGCAAUGUUACUAUAUACAUUGACAGCAUUGAUAGGGAGAAGUUUAAUAAAGUCAUGGUUUUGAUGAGAUCUCAAAGCAAAUAAAACAAGGAUGGCCACAUACUCAAAAUUUCUGUAGAAGACAGAGGCCUACUUGAGCACGUCUUUUGUUUUGUUUUGUUUUUUUUUUUUUUUUCAGGUUUGAUAGUUAAAAGGUUCUGUUUAAUUUAGCAGACAAGCAUGACAUAUAUUUUCGAUAAGCAACAAAGCUUUUACUCUCAUCCGUCGGCUAGUCUAACCUUAUUAUUCAAGCUAGACCAGUUCAGAAUUUAUAUGGUCUUUGCCUGCAAUUGCCAUUAUUCAAAAUAUUUUUUAUUGCAAUUUGGACAACCAAUGCUUGGAUUUGAAUAGAUGUGUAAAAACAAUGAUUGGAUUCUCGUUUCUGUGGGCAGGUUUGUUUUUUAUUUGGACAAACUUAGAUUAGAAAUAGCAUCGUGCAUUGCCUGCAGCACUAGCUUUGACAGCCGAUCCAAUUGCUUCUCUAGUUGACACAGCAUUCAUUGGUCAAAUAGGUACUUUGCUUCUUGUUUUUUUCAUUUUGAACUGUGAAUAUGUUCUUCCAUCUGAAACAAGUACUUUUUGUUUUGAGAAAAUUAUUAUUCUGAAACAUCAUUUUUCAUACUUAGCCAAUAUUUUUAUAUAAAAUAAUUUUUCGUGUAUGAUAUGAAUGCAUGAAGGGACCUAAAGUCAAUCUAGGUACAAAGCCUUAUAUGUUCAAUCCACAAAAAGUUUUAUAAGAAUAACCUAACUCUUACGUAUUAAAGAAAUAAAAGCCGCAACUGACUGUUGCAUAGCAGGCUUUUUUAUAAAUUAUUUAUAAAUAAAUUAUGGCCAAACUUACACCUCUGUUAAAAAAUUCUUAGGUCCGCUAGUGAAUGUCAUUGAUAUUUUUUUGAAUCAUUAUAUAUAUAUGUUUGCUAUCUAAUCACCCUUUAGGUGUCUCCAUUGGAGAAUAUGGGCUAGUACCAGAAUCGAAUUUGCCAAUACUACCCCUUAGACCCCACAAAACCCCCCAAUCACUCCAUGCUCUUCCCUUUUCAUGGAAUCUUGUCCACGUUCUACCCUCAGUUCCCCUCCUAUACACACCCAACCAAUUAUUAUUUAAACCCCUCCUUGCUUCUUAACAAUUUAUCUCAUCACACAUUGUCCUUGCAACUCUCUCUCUCUCUCUCUUUCUCUCUCUCUCUCUCCAAUAUAUCUUCUUUAUUAUCCUUUGCUUUUCUACUUCUCAUCAAGUGGACAAAAACCAGUCGCGUAGGCAGGUUCGUCUCAUGAGGCAGUCCAUCUUUGAUCAGGUUUUUCUUUUUCUUUUUCAUCUCUUUACCUUUUCUUUUUCCCUUUUUCUCUUCAAAUUUAAAUUCCUCACUUUAUUAAUCUUCAAACUCGUAAUAUAUAUUUUACAAGGUACUAAUGCAGGGACACAUUGUUCAUAUCAUACAUGUAAUGCAUAUGACACCAUUAAGUGUUAGAAGUAUGUCCUAAAAGCUAAUCAUUAGAUUAAAUCAUUAGUGCUGUUAAACGAAUCCUAAAAUUAACUGAGUACACCUUAUGAUCUAAGUACAUCCUAAUAUUUUAAUUAAAAUGUAAAUUUAACUAAGUACACUCUAUUAAACUACCAAAAAUACCCCUGGUACAUCCUAAUAUUUGUAGCAUUAUUUUAUAGUUGAUUUUCAGCUUGAUUUUUUUAAUAGUGUUUAUAAAUCUUUGACUUUUAAUAUAGAUUUAUGCUUCUACUAAAACUGUUGACACUUUUUUUGCAAUUCCAACUUCUUGCAAUCACCACCUCUUUCGUUAAAAACACAAUAGGACAAGCAAUCUCUUAAUUAGGGUUGAAUAUGGUUAGUAAGGUGUACUUAUUAAAAUUAUAUUUGUUUCACAAUUUCAUAUAUCCUUUUUGGUCAUUUUAUAUUAGGGUAAAUCAGUAAUUCAAUAUAUACUUUUAUAGUAGGGUGUACUCAGUUAAUUUUAGGGUUCGUUUAGCAGUACUCUAAAUCUUUCAUAGAAACUUCAUUUAAACUAAUCAGUUGGGUUAACAUAAAAGGACAAAUAUGUCAACACAGGUAACGAUUCAUGUGUAACCAUCAACCUACUUGACAAGUCCAUGGAUUUAUGAGAUAAGGAAAGUGAUCUAAAGAGGUUAGAUGCAAAGGGACCUUUCCCUAUAACUCAAACAAAAAGUGUUCCUGGUCAUAGAAUCGAUCAAUUGGGCAUUGAAGAAACUGCAAAGACUGGUACACACUUUAUCUGCUCAAUUAUGAGGAUCACUAGUCUCGAGUCAUUAUUAUAUGGACACUAAGAUAAGUGCGUAGGUGCUUGCUAGGGAGUAAGUUCAUUGAACGCGAUCAAGUUAAGGAAUCUUGUAUGGAAGUUCUACUAGCAUGUUAAACAAGAUUUCUUUGGUUGCAAAAACGCAAGGUUAAUCCUUAGACUUGAGGCACCAUGGUUGUCUUAUGAAUGCAUAGUUAGUCUCUGAUUGUAUCAUAAGGUUGAGCUCAUCUUUGGGCUCGAUUCAAGGUAACGUCAAAAUCCUCGACAAGUUCAUAGAAGCAAGUGAGUGUAUGACAAGGGAUCUCAACUUUUAGUAAGAGGGAGAGAAUGUAUGAGAUAUGAUUUAGGAAUCUUCAGCUAGAGUCGGAGCACAAUUGAGAAAUAGUCUUCUAAUUGUGCUCAUAUUGAAUCAUAUAGCCAAGAGCGAUCACGUUGGGGAUUUGACAUGGAUUAUGUAUCCUAUUAAUGAGAUCAAGAACAUUAUGAAAUAGAGAGGGAUUGAAUUACAUUGUAAUUCCAACUAAAUGGGUUCUCCUAAUAUAGAAAACAAAGACUUUUACAAAGAUUUGUAUGGAUGAUAUCACUGAAGGGAGGAGACUGUGAAAAUUAAAAAUGAAAUUAAUUAAAAUCCCUUAAUUAAUAAAAUACAUCCAUAUGUGUGUCAAUUUUAAUUGGGUUAGGUGAGUUAAGGUUUUUAACCUAUGUCUUUAGAAGUCAUUUUACAAAGGGAUAAAUUUAUCUUAAAAUUUUUGAAGAUAAGUUUGGUGGGGAAAUAGAACAUGUGAUGGAAAUAGCAGCACUCUUUAACAAGUGAGAUAGUGUUGCCCUAGCCACUAGGUAAAAGGCAUUUAUGUAUUAUGAGAAAACAAUGUAAGAGUAGUUUUGGUAUGAAAAUGUUAAUUCCGACUUACCGUUUCCCAAUCCCACCUAAGCCUUACGACUAGAGGUCGUUACCUCAUAAUUACAAGAGACAAUUAUCAAAUUUCCCAAAAUUGGAAUAAAAUUUUCCCUUACCAUUUUCAGCAUAAAUCCCAUCUUUGGGUAUGACAAUCCUUACCCAUUGCUACCACCACAUUGCUACCAAAUGCAUAUUUAUUGUUUUUCCAUUUUCAAAUACGGGUAUCAAAAACGUUUUUGAUGUUUUUGUUGGUAGAAAAUUGUUCUCUGUUUAAACUACCAAACACAUUCUCAAAUCUUGAAAAUUGUAAGACGUUAUGAGACAAGCCUUAAAUAUCUCUCCUCUCUGCUUUUGCCUCUCUCUCUCUCUCUCUCUCUCUCAAGCAAAUAUUAGAAAGAGACUAGUUAUCUGGUAAGGGUGAAUUUGAUUUAAAUUUAGCGGGCAUUGAUUUGGGCCUCAAGACCAAGGGUGUGUUGAUCCAACCCCAGAAAUUUUGAAGCAUUCUCAUUGUAUAUAAUAAAGCCCAUUUCAUAUUCUAGCAAGGAACAUGAUAAUCAUGAAGAAAAAAAACUUAAUUGCAUAGCUUACAGGGAAAAUUUUUUUUUUUUUUUUUUUUUUUUUGAGAAAAGCUUACAGGGAUAUUAGAAUCCAAAAGCACCUAAUUAAGUCUCCUAAUACAAUCUAACAGAGGUUGGAACACAUACAUAGUACAAAAUCCACCAACCACUCAAAUUAAUUGUAGCCUCUGCCUCUCUCUCUGGCUGUCAAUAAUUUUCUCUUCACUUGGGGCGACGUGCUGUCUCAAUAGGUCCAGCUUGCCUUGCCAACUGAAAGACAAAAAAAAAAAUCAAAAAAUAAAAUAAAAUCAAAACACAUUUUAAUAUAUAUAUAUACACACACACACAUGCUGGUGUAAUUUGGAGAGUUUACCUGAAAAUAAGCCUCAAGCCUCUUCUUCAGUGUUGCAUGUUCUCUCUUCAAUGCUUGGAAAGUCCUCAUGCAUCUGGAUUUACCGUCAAAACUUUGAAGUGACUUACCAACUUUAUUUACACAUUUUUUCCCUUUUUAAAUUUAUUCUCUAUAUUAUCAUUUUAUUAUAUGUUUUGUACGAUUGUAAAAAGGGAAGACUCAAAUUCGAGUUAAGAGAAUAUAAUUAUGAUGAGAGUUUUUUAGAGAUUGAUGCUAGAAUUGCGUAAGUACCCUUCUCCAUUUCCUGCCUUGCAAUAUUCCCUAAACUGUUGGCACUCAGCUUUUACCUUUUUGGCUCCGAUGCUGCGCACCAAUUAAGAGAAAUGUUUAGUUGGGAUUAAAUCUUGUCAUCUCAAAAGCCAACAUAGAAUAUACUUACAGAUUCCUUGCUAAUAUUUCUUAAAAUUAAUAACAAAUUGAGGACGUUUUAUUUUUUUACCUUGAGCUACUUCCCUUGAACUGAUGCAUGUAGCCGUCCAAUUUAUUAAAAUCAUGAGGGGUCUUCUCUCUGCAUAUACAUACUAUACAUUAUUAUAUGUCCCUGACAUAAAUAUUGUCAUUAAAAAGAAGUGAAAAUUAUAAUUUGACCCACAGCGCCAGCUCUAUGGUUUGGAGUGAUCUAGAUGAAUCUUGGUAGUAGGAUGUAGCAAUUUCCUCCACAAAAUUUGGGUUAGCAUCAUCUUGCAGCUCCUCCAACUGAAUAAACUGCUCGUCCAGAAAUCCCUGAAAUUCCCAAAAGUUUUGAAAAUGAAGAGUGCUAAAAUAGCUACAAGUGCACAUUAGUUUUUCUUUUUUUGAAUUACUGUUCUGGGAUUAUUGUGUUGUGCUAUACUUUUUGAGAACUUAUGUCCAAUGCAUGUUGCACGUAUGAUAAACAAGGGAAAGGGAAAAGGUAAAAAGAGAUGAAAAAGAAAAAGAAGAACCUGAUCAAAGAGGGACUGCCUCAUGAGACGAACCUGCCUCUGGUUCUUGUCCAUUGAACAGCAAAGGAUAUAAAGAAGAUAUAUUGGGGAGAGAGAGAGAAGAGAAGACAGUGGGAAGAAGAAAGUGUGAUGAGAUAAUUAAAUUGUUAAGGAGCAAGAGGGGUUUAUAUAAUACUUUGGGGGUGUGCAGGAGGAGGGAAACUGAGGGUAGAACCAUGAAAAGGAAGAAGAGCAUGGAGUGAUUGGGGGUUUUGUGGGGCAAAUUCGAUUCUGGUACUAAGUGAAAUAAAUAAAUAAGUGAUUGGUAUUGUUUAUGAAUUAUGUUAAAUCUGGAAUGAUCUGCUUCUACAUGUAGAUAGAUACCUUAUUCUAAAUAGUAAAUACCCCCUCAUUUAGAUAUUAUCAUUUUUUUUAAAAUUGAAUUGGGUUAAAUUAAAAUGCCUAAUGCACUCAAAUCCAUCCCAUAUUCUCCACCUAAAGGUUGAUUAGAUAGCAACAUAUAAUGAUUCAAAAAAAUAUCUAUGACAUUACAUGUACAGUUUUUAUGUGUAAAGGUUUUGGUGACUUUGCAUUUAUAUAUAUAUAUAUAUAUAUAUAUAUAUACUUUUCUGAGUUUUUUUUUUAAUAAUCACUCACCAAUUGGUUAAAUUCUAUUCCCCUUUAUAAUUAACAAACACAUGAACAAUUAAUCAAAAGGUACAUAUUUCCAAUAGGAGUGAGAUUUAGGUUUAAAAAGCAAAUCCAUGGUUUGAUGCCGCCCCUUUACGUAUUUUUAGUGGCCACCUCAAGCAUGCAUAUACGUGACAAACAAUUCAUCCUGAAACUGAAAGAACCCAAAAGCUAGCAUGAAACUAAAGCCAAAAGAAGGCAUUAUAUAAGUUCAUAACAAAUGCAUGCGGUGGCCGAUCAUGAAUUUUUUUUGCGGAGGUAUAAUUUUAAAAGAUUAAAAGCUUUAUAAUAAUUUAUUAUUUUUUUGGAACCACAUAUUUGAAAGGCCAAAUAUUAUUACAAGAAAAACGAAAUUAACGCAGUAGUUGCUGAAGAUGAAAAACAAACCGCAGCAUGUUUGAUGAACUUACUUCGGAAGCUUGAUCGAUACAAUUUUUUAUUUCUUGACACAAGACUUAAUCUAUGAAUCCAUUUUUAUAAAAGACUAGAGUUCUCUCAAAAUAAAAAAUAAAAAAGAAAAGAAGAAAAAAAACAGACUUGGUGGUGGAGACGUAAAUAAAAUGUAUCAAUUUGAUGAUAUGUUUAUAAGGACUUGGAUUGUAUUGGUGGGUGGGGACGUAAUCAAAAAGGGAAUUUUUUAAAAAAGGCAAAAUCUCCUUAAGAAGGCUUCAUUUAAAAUAAAAAAUAAAAAAUCUCCUUAAGGAGAUUCCCUCCUUUUCCGUCUACAGCACGCAGAGUUUCCUUCUUCUUCUUCUUCUUUUUUUUUUUUUCCUAGUCCAAAACUACGUGAUUUUAUCCAGACAUUAAAAAAAAAAAAAAAAUACAAGCGCACAGCGCAGCUGCACAACAAAGGGCGCAAGAAAAGCAGGUAUUUUGUCGAACAGGUAAAGUACACAAUCAGACUAAGCGAAGGGGCAACUUUCCGGCACCUUCAACCUUUUAUCCGUCAAGAGGAUGUGUAAUUACAUCUCUUGCAAUCACAUGUGAAGAAUCACUCCCAAACUAACCCUACAUUUUGUUUAAGACUUUAUGAUGUAAUAUACUCUCUUAUUAUCACCCAUUCACAUGUGAAGAUCAAGACAUAAUAGUUAAACAUGAGUGCAACUUAGGGGCGUUUAGUAACGUUUUCAAGGCCCUGUUUUCAUUUUCUACCAAAAACACGUUCGGUAUGUUGUUUUCAUUUUUUGAAAACAAAUUCAAACUCAUGUAUAAAAACUGAAAACACCAAAUUAUCGUUUUCAUUUUCUACCUAGUGUAUUGGUCCGAUUGAUUUCUUUUUUGUUUGAUUUUUUUUUUUGUCUUUUUUUAAUUUGUCAUUUUUUCUUCAAUUUUUAGUUUUUUCGUUCCGCUUCAUUAUUUUAUUUUGCUACACCAGUGUAUAUUAAUUUUAUGAUAAAACCAUCAUAUAUUAUUCAAUUUCAUAUUUAUUUUAAACUAAAGAUAAUAUAAUUUUAUUAUCUGGGUUUUUCUAAAAUUAGAAAUUUUAUUAUUAUUUUAAUUAUACAUUAUUAUUCUCAAUUAUACAUUUUUCAUUGUUUGUAAUAAUUUUAUCCUUUAAAAUAUCACUAUUUUUAAUUUCUGAAUAUGUUUUCCAAUUAAUCUACCAGACCCAUUUUCGAAUCCUGAAAAUGCAAAUUCUUUUUCUUAUUUUCAUUCUCAGAAAACAUUACCAAACAGACCCUUAUAUUCCCGGGCAUAAGAGUAUAUAUGUAUAGUAGUCGUUUUGCUGCUAAUAUCUGCUUUUGAUACUAUAAUAAAGUUAGAGCAUAUCUAAUGCAAAACCAAUUGACCCAUUGGUGAAGAGGUUUAAGAUCUUACACUAUUAUGCAGGGCUUAAAUCCCCGAUAUAAUAUUUUCUUUCUACAAAUUUGUAAGUAUACCUACUUAUAUAUAGACAUAUAUAAAUUUUUAUUAUUUUUUUAAAACUUAGAAGUAUUUUCUUGUAUAUAUAGUUUUAGAAAAUUAGAUUAUCAUGAUUAGAUAUUUCGUUUGUAUAGGUGACAUUUUUUAAUUUGUUGCAGAAAGAAUCGUAUCAUAUAUACAUAGGUCCAUUUGUAAUACUGUUAAGUUAUGCCUUUCAAUUCUAGCUAUACCAUGAUGGAGGAAGCCACAGAUUACGAUAGGUUAAAGUGACUUCACACCACAGCUUGUGUUUUACACAAGUUAACCCCUAUCAAUUUUCACUACAGCUUUUAGGGCCCUAAACAGAACUGAUUAUGAGUUCGUUCUCAAAUGCCUUCCAUUAUGUAUAUCUCUCUCAUAUGACAAAUCAAAUUUUUCCCUAGUUAAUUGUAUCCUUCUUACUAGUCUGAACAAAAUAGCUCCUCAGCUUCAUUUUCUUCUUUUCUUUUCAUUAGGUUAAAAGAUAGGGAUGCAACCCGAAAACGUUUUAAGAGAUUAUAUAUUUUAUGUGCGAUCGCCUAAUUACAUUUGAAUGUAAAAUUUAAUGCUGGUAUAGCAAUCGUUAUUCAGAAUGAGUUUAGGCCAAAGAAAAAUAAAACUUGAACCUUUUCAUGUAGCUUCUUGUUUGUUUUUAUUUUAUUUUAUAUUUAUAUAUAGUGAAGUCUAAGCUUCCUGUGGAAAAAAUUGUUAAUAGAUAGAAUAAUUUUUUUGCUGUUUUUGAGUUCUAGAAUAAUCCUUGUUACAGUGGUAAAUAUAAGAUUUGGUGGGUAGAGAAUAUUGGUAGAGAAUCAUCAAGCGACCAAAUUAAUGAUUGACACAGCAACUUCACCUAGCAGUGGUCCUUGUCAUUUCUGCCUCUAAAUCUCACUCUCACUCUACCUGCAAUUUCUUUCAGCAAGAUAUUAAAAGGAGAAAUAAGUGUUUAAGAAGAGAUUCUCCCUUUAUUCCUCUGCCACACCCAAGUGAGAGCAGAAAGCAGGAGAUGUAUUUAUACGCAAGGUCUAAAAUAUCUAUGGUUUUAAAAAUAUUCGUCGUCUGAAAAUAUAAAUUUUUUUAAUUGAAAUAUCGGGAAAUUAUCGAUAUCGAUAAAAAUUGAGUAAAAAUCAUAGAAAUUGUAUAAAAAAAACUUGAAAUUUUUUAUUGAAACUUUGGAGGAUGUUUAUUGAGUCAAUUAUCUAAUACUUUAUUACAAAAAAUUGGAAGUAAAUGUAUUGCAUGAUGAGUUUAACUGAUUUAAGUUGAUUAUAUAGCGAGCUGACAAAAUACUAUGAGUGUAGAAAAUAUGUAGUAAUUAAUGAAAGAAGAUUAAAUACACCAUAAUCAUUGAUUUAUAAUAAUUUACUACAAUUAUGUUACACUUUAUAUAUUGUAUGGUAAGAUACAUAAGUGAUUUAAUACCCACAUAGAGUUCCUAUAAGGUUCAAAUUUGAGUUAUUUACACUAACAUCCCUUGAGGUUUUCGACUUUGUCACAAAAGUCCUUGAGGUUUUAGAAAUUAUAAAACCACCCCCUGAGGUUUUAAAAUUGUUUUCACAAAACUCAUUUUCAUUGAUUUUUCAUCCUAAGAUUGAUGAUUUUAUAUAUAUAAAAAAUCUCUAAAUUACAAAGUUGGCCUUUGAGAUUAGAUUGCAUAUACUUCAUUGAGGUUGAUUUUGUCAUUUGCAUAAGUACUUUUUUCACUGAAAUCAUCAAUGUUUGGAUAAACAAUCAACGAAAAGGGGUUUUGUGAAAACAAAUUGAAACCUCUUGGGGUGUGUGUAAUUUUUGAGACAUGAGGGGAUUUUGUGAAAACACAAGAAAUCUCAGGAGUGUUAGUGUAAAUAACUCUUCAAAAUUUUCAUUGUCUUCAUCAUCUCAAUGUUAUCAAUAUUAUCGAUAUUAUAGCGAUAUUUUUUCCAAAUAUUGCUGAAGUGUGAGAGAAAUUAUCAACAUUGAUAUUUUUUGAUAUUAUCAAUACUUAUACGAUAUGUGUAUGAAUAUGUUCCAAAAUAUCUUAAAUCCAAAAAAACAAUAAUAUCCUCGAUAUUUUAGUCCUUAAUUUAUACAGUUCCUCUCAAUCUGUUCAACUUUUUUUUUCCUGCAAAAUGUGUGGUCACAUCUGCUCCUUUGUGUCCGCUUUGUUAAAAGAGUGGAGUGGGAUCGGAAUAUGAUUAUAAUGUGUUAUUUUUUGCUGGCAUAGAUUGAGAUUCUUUUUCAAUCACUUUCUUCUAUGUCGACAAGAAUCCCACCUUGGAACAAGACAAUGCCUGCUCAUGCAUGAUAUAUUUGUUUUAUUUGUUUUAUUUUUUUUAAUUCUAUCAAAUCACAUAAAAAGAACUUACAUCAGCAAAAUGACAUAAUAAUUUAGUCCCUCUUACUUCUAAUCGGCCUCUUUUAGGAGAUUAAAGGAUGUGAUAGUUCAGGAGAAAGUUUGUAAGUUAAAAUCUAAUUUUCGAAGAAAGUAGAAGUUUAUCAAGUAUAGAUUUGUUCUUGGAUUUUGUGUUUAUAUUGUAUCACAGUAUUCCCUAAAUGCAAUGGGUUUGGGAUGAGAGAAUUAGCUGCUACAGGACAAGACCAUAUGGGGAAAUAUACCUUUUCUUCAAUAGUCCUGAAAAGGAAUGCGCUUCUGGGAAUAAUCCAAAUUUGUGGGCAUUGAUGCAAUCAUACACAAGUUAAGCUUUAAGGUUGCUUUCUUGAUGACCUUUCUCCAGAUAUUUUAUUGCAGCAUCAAUUCUGCACAUCUUUAUCACAAGAAUCCAUUAUUUGGUAUAACACGUUAUUCAAUCCAUUAUUUGGUAUAACACAUCUUCAUCAUGAUUUUUGUCUCUUCUGCCAAAUUUUUAUCCAAAUAAAACUGAAUGAGACAUGAUCCUGGUUGCAUAUCUGAAAAAGAAAUAACUUAGUUGGUAAUAAUGGAACCACCAAAUUUAUUGAUGGCAGAAGAUUGUGAACAAAAUAAUAAUAAAGGGAAAAAGGAAAAGCCAAUAAUCCUUCCAACCUUUGGCUCCACCCGUGUAGAAGUGUAAUACAAAUUAGGAAAAAAUAUGGGCUUACAUGUGAAUUCACAAAUUAUGGGCUUACAUGUGAAAAACCUAACUAAAAGAUAAAUUUAUAAUAAAACUUAUUUCUUGCAUUGAAUUUAUAUAUAAACCCUAAAACUUAUAAAUUGAAGAACAAAACCCAAUAAGGGCUAGUUGUAAUUUAUUUUAAAAAAAUUUGAAUGAUGUGAGAAAUGCUAUUAUUAUCAUUGCAUUAUGAUUUUUAGAAGAAAAAAAAACAUUGAUGACAUUGUUGUAAUAUUAAGGUUUUUCAAGGGGGCAUGGUAUAUUUAGUCAAUUUGAAAAGUCAAAAAAAUUAAUUUUUAAGAUUUCGGUAUUGUAGGGUUUUUCUAUAUUUGGGCUAUAUUUAUGGGCUUACAUGUGAAAAGCCCAAACUAAAAAAGAGAACAAUUUUGUGAAUUCACAGUCAUUCAUAUUCAUUGUAAUCUCCAAAUCUUUAGACACUUCAUACUUCAAUAUUGCACACCUUCAAGACAAUUGAGUUUACAUAGCUAACUAAUACCACUAUACCAAAAUUGUAGCAACGGAUAAUAUCCGUUGCCAAUGUGCCCUCCUUACCGUGGUACUGGUAACCGAUGCCUAUUACAUAAAAGGCAUCAGAUAUUAUCCAUUGCCUAUUCCGUUAUCAAUUUUUUCAUAAAUAACGAUGUCUAAGGAGUACCAAGUGCCAAAAAAACCUUGACCCCCGACGCCUAAACCUCCAAUGGCAUCGGUCAUUUGUGUAAGACUGAUGCUAAAUAUUAUUUACAGCAUCACUAAUCUCAAAUAUAUUGAUGCUUAUGACUUAACACAACCCAAAAACCCAAAAACCAUACGGCUGUUGAGACUUAUGUUGUAUGUCAUCAAUUUUUUUCCUUCUAUCUUAAUGCUGCUUUUAGUUAUAGGCAUUAGUUUUCAUUGAAUUGCUGAUAUUGUUUAACUUCAGUUUAUUGUGAAAAACUGCGGUUGUGAUAAGCAAUAGAAUCUAUUUGAAAGUGUAGGCAUCACACUACAAUAGGAUAUCAAUUGCUUUCUCAUAUGUAGAAGCACAUACAAUAGAAUAUCAAGAGUACAAUAUAACAAAAUAAAAUUUAAAAAAUAAAAGUACUCUAGGGCCGCUAGCCGGUAGCUGCAAGAUAGGAUUUAGAGCCACCACCAAUAUAUAUAUAUAUAUAUAUAUAUAUAUAUAUAUAUAGAGCUUCCAUUGAGGGAUCUCUCAAAUAAGCUUAUUUGAAGGAUACCCUUGUAAGACCAAUUCUGCAUUGUAUUUCACAAAUCCAAACUAUCUAUUUUGUAGAUAUUCAUUCAAAGAUCAUCUCUACAAAAAAUCACUUGAAUCCGAUAUCAUUUGACCACUCGAUUAAAAUAUUGAAAUUUUAGUACAUUUUUGAAGCACCUUGUUCAUUGAUUUUGUAGAACACAAUUAGAUGUCUAAACGGUUUUUGAUUUAUCUAAUUUUUUUUUGUAAAGAUAAUCUAUGAAUGAAGACUUAAAAAAAGGAUGGUUUGGAUUGUUGAAAUACAAUUAGUAGGGUACCCUAAAUGGCAUCCCUCAAUAGAAGGGGACUAUAUAUAUAUAUAUAUAGAUCAGGAUCGAAGGACACACAUUUUUGACACUUGACACAUAUUUUAAAUCAUUAGAUAACUAUUCAUUCAAUGGUUGAGUUUAUAUAUCUCACAUGACAAAUUAGUUUCUUUAAUAAUUUUCUCAGGAAUAUAAUAAUUCUAUUAACCCUCUCUAUCUACAACCAAAUAAUAAUAAUAAGCCUAGCCGGUGACUCUGCUGUUUGUUCUUAGAUUUGUUUGUUGUUUGCGGGAUCUUUGGUGGCUGUCGUGUUGUUCUAUGCUGACGCAGCAGUUUCAACAAUGAUGUGGGUAGCUUCGGUUGCUAUGCUGGUGUAUUUAGAGUCUUUUCAGGAGAUUUUGCAUCUUUGUUUGGGUUAGUCUUGCUUGUCAGUUAUUGUAAUAACAGCUUCAACUCUUUCGGGAUUGAUGCGUGUUUUUUUUGUUUCUCUGCGGGACGAAGGAGAACCUGGGUUAGUAGUUUGCAAUACGAAGGCUAUCCUUGUCUUUUUCAUAUAUGUGUUUAUGCCGGACUGUUUUAUGCCCUGCUUGGCUUUAAAUGGAGGUAUACUGUAUAAGAUUAGUGUUUUCGAUGGAUCCCUCUCUGGUUUGUUACCCCUUUGUGGGUAGUGUUUGUAACUCCAUUGUGGGUCAUAUUGGCCUUUGUGUUUGUAUUGCCCUCUGUGGGGUGAAUUAUUAAGGGCGGUUAUCUAUUGAGAACACCUAUAUAAGAACACUACAUGAGAACACCGUUAGAUAUAAUCUAACGGCUGCAUGAAAAACAAUUGUAAGUGAAACUGUUGCAUUAGAAUAAGGCCUUCUUCUCUAUCCUCCCUCCAAAACGUCCCCUCCAAAUAGACGUCCCCUGUAAACCAACUGUUCGCUUUGUUCAAUUAGGAGGUCAAUUUUUUUAUCAGCUUUGAUUGAGGAAGAAUAAUAACACUGAAGAGAGAGCGCCCCUGUAAUUCCUUAUUAGCUUUGAAGAAGAACACUGAAGAGCGCCCUCAUUUUUCUGGCUUUCUCAUUUAGGCGAAACAAAGCAAUCUUGGAUUUUAUAUUUUCAUCUUUGUGGUUUGGUCAUUCUGGUCUAAACAUUCAUUAAUCCUUGAGCAAUGUUGAAACUGGCUUUGAGUUGGAAACUAGUGACCGCGACCGUUAUGGUUCUGUUCUCUUGGUUUUGAAAUCCUUGAGCAUGGUCGAAAUAGGGGUUGAGGAAGAUGAAAAGUUUUUGGGGUUGACAUUUAGAUCUAAAAGGGCGACAUUGUGAUAUUUGUUGAAAUUUUGAAGUUGGAAAUCACUUACGGGGUAAGUGAUAUAUUGUAUUUGUCAACUUUAUUAGUAGGCCUCAACAUGAGUUACGUUAGUUUGUAUGUAGGUCUUUAAUGUUUCAUCAGAGAUUCAUUUUCAUAUCAUAUGCUAGUUAAGAUAUAUUUGAAAGAUCUUUGAAAGCAUGUGCCAAUAUUGGUAUGAUGGUGGUGAUGUGAUAUUCAGGGUUAAAUUGCAAGAAUUGUGAAAUGAAGUGUGAAGGACAGGUGACACCGGAAGUAAGUUCGGAGUUCAAACCAAAAUUGGAACUUGAAUUUGACUGCUGUAAGGAUGUGUUCAAUUUCUAUAACAUGUAUGCCGUGAAAGCCGGAUUCGGCAUUCGGUGUGCUACAAUGAAAACAUGCACAUUGACAGGAGAGGUAACAAGGAAAGAAUAUGUAUGUUGUAAACAAGGGUAUUCUUUGAUAAGCACUGUUAGUCGUAAGAGAAGACAGCGAGGUUGUACUUGAACUGGUUGCAAGGCUGAACUUGCGAUUUUGUAGGUAAAAGACAAGAAUAAAUACAUUGUUGUAGGAUUCAAUGAGGUACACAACCAUGAAAUGACCACAAUUGAUCAAAUCCAUCUAUUGAGAUCUCACUGUAACUUAACAGAGUCUACAAAGGUCUAUAGUGCACAUAUGAGCAAAGUUAAUAUCCCUAUAUAUAAACAGGUAAGCCUUCUUGAGGUGCAAGUAGGGGAAUUGGAAAAUAUUGGGUUUGUUAAGAGAGAUGUCUAUAAUUAUGUAAGGGAUGUGCAUGGUGAGGUGAUUGGGCAUGAUGCAAGUUGCUUAAGGAGUAUUUCUUGGCUGAGUAAGAAAAUAAUGAAUCAUUUUAUUUCAAGAUGGAGGUAGAUUCGGAAGGAAGGAUGGGUAAUAUUUUCUGGUCAGAUGCAAGGUCAAGACGAGUUUAUGGUUUUUUUUUGGAGAUGCGGUGGUAUUUGAUACGACGUUUAACAUGAACCACUAUGGGAUGGUCUUUCCGCCUUUGUUAGGCGUUAAUAUCCAUCGACAGACAAUGUUGUUUGGUUGUGCGUUCAUAACUAGUGAAACCACUGAUUCAUUAGUAUGGUUAUUCGAGGAAUUCAAGAAAGCUAUGCCAGGUGAGCGACCCAAAAUUAUCAUCACUGAUCAAGAUGCAGCCAUAUCAAAGGCAAUUGCUAUAACUUUCCCAACAACAUUCCAUAGAUAUUACAUAUGGUAUAUCUUGAAUAAGUUUAUGGAGAAACCCAGCAUUGGAGAAUGUUUUUCGAAAAUGUGCAAAUGCAUAUGGGGUAUGGAUACGAAAGAAGAAUUUGAUGCGAAAUAGGACGAAAUCAUCACAAACAAUGGGCUGAAAGACCUUCCAUAGCUGAGCUCAAUUCAUGCUUUACGGAAGAAUUGGUUUCCAUCAUAUGUAAAGCAUGUGCUCUCGGUUGGAAUGUCAAGUAGUCAACGGGCUGAAAGCUGUCAUUCAUUUUUCAAACAAUAUAUUAACCGGAAAAACACAUUGAUGGAAUUCAUUGUAUGUUCUAAAAGAGCUAUUGGUUCACAGAGGCAUAAUGAGUUAAUGGCUGAUCAUGUUGAUAACAAUGAAAAACCUCCACUGUCAUUUUGAACACCAAUGCAACAUCAAAUGGCAUGCAUUUACACUCAGGCAAUUCUUGAAAUGUUUGAGAGGGAAGAAUUCAUAAGCCUUUUAUGCUUAUUCGAACUUGUAGAGCAAAAUGAGACCCACUGCAGGUACAAAGUAAGUGAGUGGGUAAAUUCGGGAGGGACACGGAUGAAGGAGCUUGUGCAUGAUAGAGAUGUCGAUAAAGCUUAUUACAGCUGCAAAGGAUUUGAAUUUUGGGGUAUUCCGUGCCGACACAUCCUAACCUUUUUAAGAAUGAAGCAGGUUGAGCACUUUCCAGACAAGUACAUAUUGAAACGAUGGCUUCAAAAUGCAAAGUGCAUCGUAGUAUAUGAUAAGAAUGACAAAGAAAUUAAAGAUUGCAUUGACGGUUUGCUUUUGGUUAAGAGAUUGAAACUUUGCAAAGUUGCAAGUGAUUUGAUUGAUUCGGCUUUGUUGUGUGAUGAAGGUUUUGAGUUGUUGGAAAAAUCAUUUGAAGACGUUCAUGGGAAGCUUACAAGGUUGGUGUCAUCAAGAGCUCAUAUCGAAGAAGAACCCAAGGAGAGGUAGGAACUAGUUCUCCCCAAGUGAGAAUGAGAGAUCCACAUCAAGUCAAAGCAAAAGGCCAUGUGAAAAGAGUUAAAGGACAAAAAGAGAAGGCAGCGGAACAACAUAAACGUCGGUGCACUGAAUGUAGGUAGACUGAUCAUGAUAGAUUGAGUUGUCCAAAACUUACCAGCCCGUAAGUGAAUAUGUUGUAUAUUGUGCUUUGAAUUUUAUGUCGUUGUUGUUUAUUAUUAUUAUUUUUUGGAUGUGGCUGCUCUUCAUCUUCCGAGGCAGAAGUUGGUGCUCCAAUUGCAGAGAAUUUGUAGCCCACUCAGAGCAUGUAGGCCAGUGAGCCUACUAUGAUAGAGUCAUUUAUGCAAGAGUUUGAUUUCAUUUACGGUCUCGGAGUUUUAAUAUUUGUUGAUACCUAUUUGUGUAAGUUUUGAAUGUAUCUGGAAGCGUUAGUAAAUCUUAGAUAAAUGCUUCAUGUCUAUUGAUAUUGAACUAUGGUCUAUUAAACACAUAAACAGUCAAACUGUGUAAAAACAAAGAUACUUUUUCAUUCGAUAAGUAUGAAGUGUCACACACAUAUCACAUGACUUACAUUAGGAGAUACAAAAUAAUAAUAAUAAAUAAAUAAAUAAAUAAAACUACAUUAAAGUCAACAAUAAGUUACUCGAAGAUCCACUUAGUUCUCAGCAUUAUAGUUAUCACUUUACUCAAAGCGGCCACGUUCCUCCCAAUCUAGAAUGAGUUUGUCAUUGUAGCAAUCCUGACACCACUUUAAGUUUAGGGGUUUACACUCGCAAACAAUGAGAGAUGGGGGCUUUGGGGGAGAAGGGGUUGAGGACCGAUAAUAUUGAACAUUGUCUGGACCUACCGCGAAUAGAUCCCUUCACGUCUCACAAAGACGGUCGUGAAGGAAACCAUGCUUGCAAUAAUUAGGCGUAACUCAAACUUUCGGAUCCAUAUUUGGUUGAAGGUGGAUGUCCCGGAUGUCCUCUGCUGGUUGAUAUGGCUAUUACCAGUCAUUAUCGUUGCCUUUUGCUGGUUGGUGGCCUUUCUCUGUUUGGUGUACAUUGCCGAAGAUGAUUUCCUGUGCAGAAGACGGGGUUAUGGCAUCCCAGUCAAUAUCUUUGUGGACUCUGUAGUGAACCGUCAAAAUUUCUCAAAACCUUCGUUGAAAGUCACAGACAUUGUCUGGCCAUACUUGUUGCCUCCUUUGUGGAUGCUCAAAGAUUCGUACGUAGCAUCCUCCUCUAUCAUAUGCAAAUUCUAUGCUUUGUGCUUUCUUCUCUGGGCACGAAUUCUGUGCAUCUCUUUUCUAUAACGCGCUUUGUUAACUUGCCGUGUCAAAUAAGCCAACUUCUGCUCAGCUUCGACACACUUCUAAGUCCAAUAAUGGGCCAAGAAGGAGUUAUGUUCCAAUUUGUUCUUCAUAUCAUUUAUUUUCAUAGCGGGAUCAUUGGAGUCCCCCUCGCUUGUGGAGGAGGUUGGAAGAGGCGAUGGUGGUGGAAGAGACCUUGGAUAUUCGGGGGCAUAUUCCCAUGACCCAUCGGAGUCCCCCUGAUUCGUAUUGGCACUUGAAUUGGCAGACAUGUUUUGAAAAAAUCUUCAAAUUGGGGGAUUCAGCUAAAGGUUUCUAUAGAAAAAGACAACUCCAAAGAAGAGAAAAGAGCAAAGAAGAUUUGGAUGUAAGACAAAGAGUAUCCCAUAGCCAUAAGGCAACGUUUAUGUAUGAUGCCCGGAAGUUUUCAUUUUUUAUUUUCUUUUUUUGUCCCAUUAGUUUUUUCUUUUGUUUUUUGUUAAGUAAUCGAGUAUUUGGUCACUGGAGAUAUUGUACUCAUAUUUGGCAUUGUGUUUUAACGAGGCAACAUGAGCGCAUUACCCUUAUGUCCCAAAUAAAGUUGUACUCUUUUUCCUUCGCUUAGGUUUUUUCCCACUGGGUUUUUCCAAGCAAGGUUUUAAUGAGGCAACCAAUCUAGGGACAUGUGGUCUUCAAGGGGGAGUGUUGUAAAUAAUAUUGGUGAAGCCCACAUAAAGAGAAAUGAUGGAAGAAAAAUGAUUGUAUUAAGUAUGGUAGUCAAAAGAAGAAAUGAUGGUGUUAGAAGUGGGAUGAUUAGUCAAAAGAUGAAAUUAUAAUGUUGGGGAGAAAUCAUUAUGUCUCCAUUAGAAGCCUUUUACUUUGCCUAUAAAUAGGCUUGCUCAUUCACUUGUAAUACACACCAAAGAGAAGAGAAGAAAGAGUGAGGAAAGAAAGAACGGAAGAGAGAAAGAGAAAGAGUGGGAGUCAGAGAGAAGAGAAAGAGUGGAGUCUAUCUGAGGAGAAAUUCUGUCAGUGUAAACACUACAAAGAGAAAUAUAAUCUCACUCACAAUAUUACAGUGGUACUUCUCAUCAACUGAUUAUUCUAGUUUUAUAACACGUUAUCAGCACGAGAAGCUCUCAGGUGAAGGUUUUUAUCCCCACAUUUAUUUUAUUUAUAGUAUGGAGUAGGUUUAUUACCCAUACGGCAAUAUUUAUUUAAAAGGGUAGCGCGGGUUUAUCGUCCAUGCCUUUACUUUUAUUUAAAAGUAUGGAGCAGAAUUAGUGCCCAUACAAGUACAUUUACUUUUAUUAAAAGUAUGAUGUGGAAUUAACCCUCAUACUUUAUGAAUUUACUUUACUGUACAUUUACUUUUAUUAAAAGUAUGAUGUGGAAUUAACCCUCAUACUUUAUGAAUUUACUUUACUGCACAUUUACUUUUAUUAAAAGUAUGAUGUGGAAUUAACCCUCAUACUUUAUAUUUCCUUUUAUUUAAAGUAUGGUGCGGAAUUAACGUCCAUACAGCAAGCAAUUUACUUUAUGAAUUUACUUUAUCGCACAUUUAAUUUUAUUUAAGGUAUGGUGCGGGUUUAUCGUCCAUACCAGCAAAUUCAUAGCACUUUAUUUUUUAUCAUCAAUUAAUAUACCUGAAUAAUGAGGGCCUGAAAUUCCUAUUAAUAAGUGGCUUAAUGUCCCAGAUCUCGAGCCUAAAGUUUCGGAUGGCAAAUUUGGCAAAACUAGAGUUUGCUGCCUUGGACCUUUCCGGGGACAACUAUUUAUCAUGGGUCCUGGAUGCCAAAAUUCAUCUACGAGCCAAUGGCCUCGGACAAACAAUUGUAGAUGAGAAUGAUGCUUCGCCUGAAGAGAAUGCGAAGGCCAUGAUCUUUCUUCGCCGCCACAUCCAUGAAGCGCUGAAGAGCGAAUAUGUGGUGGUUGAUGAACCGUUGGUUCUAUGGAAAGCUCUAGGUGAAAGAUACGAUCACCAGAGGAUGGUGACUCUCCCAAGAGCUAGAUACGAAUGGACUCACUUGAGAUUUCAAGAUUUCAAGUCAGUGUCCGAGUAUAACUCUGCUAUGCACAGAAUUACCUCAUUAAUGAGGCUAUGUGGGGAAGAUAUAUCUGAGGAGGAUAUGCUCGAAAAAACUCUGAGCACUUUUCAUGCUUCAAAUGUCUUCCUUCAGCAGCAAUACAGACAUAGCGGUUUCAAGAAGUACUCGGAACUUGUAUCCUGCCUAUUGUUAGCUGAGCAGAAUAAUGAGCUCUUAUUAAAGAAUCACCAAUCUCGCCCAACAGGCUCAGCACCACUUCCUGAAAUAAAUGCUGCAUCUCAGGAAGUGAAUGCCACUUCAUCUCGUGGUAGUAUCCACAAACGUGGGCGAGGGGGCAAGCGUGGCCGCUGGCAAGGAAGCAGAAAAGAUCGUGGUGCUCGUUCAGAGGGUUUCGGUCCAAGAAGCGGUCCAUCCACGAAUGGCAAAAAUACAUCCCGUAAUAAGGGAAAGGCACAGAUGAGCCAUGUGCCUAGAAAUGUUGAAAGCACUUGUCACAGAUGUGGUGCAAAGGGACACUGGGUGCGCGCAUGUCGUACGCCCAAGCAUUUGGCGGAUCUCUAUCAAGCUUCACUUAAGAACAGGAAAGUGGAGAUAAAUUAUAUUGAUCAUGCUCCACCAGCCACAGAUGGCUCAUCAGAAAUAUCGCGUCAGCUAAACAAGACGCAUCUGGAUGUUUCUGACUUUGUUACUGAAAAAGGGAAUGAAGCUUCUGAGUCCGAAUUAGAUUAAAUUCCUUAAUGUACUAUUUGUAUUAGAUGAAGUGUUGUUUAAUUUUUCAUCCAAUAAAAGUGGUAAUGUUUUCUUCUUUAUUGAUUACAGUGUGUGUGUGCUUAUUUGAAGGCAUGGAUGUAAAUUAUGGAUGCCCUCAAAACAAAGGUUAUGGCAAAAAUAUUUGUCUCGCAGACAGUGCGACUACUCAUACGAUCCUUCAAGAUCGGAAGUAUUUCUCAAAAUUAAUGCUUACAAAAGCAAAGGUAACAACCAUAUCAGGUCCUGCAGAUCUGAUUGAAGGCUCAGGAAUAGCCCAAAUUAUGUUACCAAAUGGAACAAUACUAUCCAUUCCAGAUGCUUCGUAUUCAUCUAACUCCAGAAGGAAUCUAUUGAGUUUCAAAGAUAUACGUUUGAAUGACUACCAUGUUGAAACAAAGAAAGAGAAAAACAUGGAAUAUCUUUGCAUUACCUCCAGUGAUACCCAAAAGCGUAUACUGGAGAGGCUUUGUGCGCUCUCAUUAGGGUUGUAUUAUACAACCAUACGGACAAUUGAGGCACAUAGUGUCAUGGACCAAGAGUCCAUUGACUCAAAUGCUUUUAAGCUUUGGCAUGACAGGUUGGGUCAUCCUGGAUCCACCAUGAUGCGUAGAAUCAUCACCAACUCUAAAGGACAUCCCUUGUUGACUAAACACAUUAUGUUAUCAAGUGACAUCUUUUGCCAAGCUUGUUCACAAGGGAAGUUGGUGAUCAGAACAUCACAACCGAAAGUUGAUGUUGAGUCUCCAUCAUUUUUGCAGAGAAUUCAAGGGGACAUUUGUGGACCUAUUCAUCCCCCAUGUGGACCAUUUCGGUACUUUAUGGUCUUGGUGGACGCAUCUACUCGAUGGUCACAUGUUUGUCUUUUGUCUACUCGGAAUAUGGCAUUUGCUAGACUUUUGGCUCAGAUAAUUAAAUUACGAGCCCAAUUCCCAGAUUAUCCCAUUAAGUCAAUCAGACUCGAUAAUGCUGGUGAAUUUACAUCUCAAACUUUUGAUGACUACUGCAUGUCACUAGGCAUUGACAUUGAACACCCUGUUCCCCAUGUGCAUACUCAAAAUGGCUUGGCAGAAGCUUUAAUUAAGCGCCUUCAAUUGAUAACACGCACUUUGCUAAUGAAAACAAAGUUGCCAGUUUCUGCUUGGGGAUAUGCCAUUUUACAUGCAGCAUCACUUGUGCGAUUGAGGCCCGUCGCCAACAAUCAAUAUUCUCCAAUACAACUCGUAUUGGGGAAUCAACCAAACAUUUCACAUUUAAGAAUUUUUGGGUGUGCGGUAUAUGUGCCCAUUGCACCACCGCAACGUACUAAGAUGGGCCCUCAACGCAGAUUGGAAAUUUAUGUUGGUUUUGAGUCACCAUCUAUCAUCAGAUAUCUGGAACCCCUGACGGGUGAUUUUUUACCGCACGGUUUGCGGAUUGCCAUUUUGAUGAGACAAUCUUCCCAUCAUUAGGUGGAGAAAAAUCUGUGUCUAAAGAACAAGGCAAACUCAUUCCUGAAAAACGACAUGAAUUAUCGUGGAAUGUAUCCACAUUGUCUCAUCUCGAUCCUUAUACUGCUCAAUGCGAAAACGAAGUGAGAAGGAUCGUUCACCUCCAAAGUAUUGCAAAUCAGAUGCCAGAUGCAUUUAAUGAUGCAGCAAAGGUGACGAAAUCUCAUAUCCCAGCUGCAAAUGCACCCGCACGGAUUGAUGUCCAUAAUGGACAAGGCAAUGUGCCAGCAAAUGGUUCAUCUGUUGCAGGCCUGAAGUGUGGCAGACCACUAGGCUCAAAGGAUUCAGUUCCUCGAAAGAGGAAGUUGAUGGACAAAAUGAAUCCAAAUGAAAUAAAUAGAGAGCCCACAAUUCAUAAUUCAAAUGCCCCCAAAGAGGGACAGGUACUUCCUGAAAAGGAAAACGUCAUUGUCUCAUCUCGAUCCUUAUACUGCUCAAUGCGAAAACGAAGUGAGAAGGAUCAUUCACCUCCAAAGUAUUGCAAAUCAGAUGCCAGAUGCAUUUAAUGAUGCAGCAAAGGUGACGAAAUCUCAUAUCCCAGCUGCAAAUGCACCCGCACGGAUUGAUGUCCAUAAUGGACAAGGCAAUGUGCCAGCAAAUGGUUCAUCUGUUGCACGCCUGAAGCGUGGCAGACCACUAGGCUCAAAGGAUUCAAUUCCUCGAAAGAGGAAGUUGAUGGACAAAAUGAAUCCAAAUGAAAUAAAUAGAGAGCCCACAAUUCAUAAUUCAAAUGCCCCCAAAGAGGGACAGGUACUUCCUGAAAAGGAAAACGUCAUUGGUGAGACAAGUGCCCUUGGAGUGGCAACUGUACCUGAAAGUCAAGAAAUCUCCAUAAAUUAUGCGUCCACUGAUGAAUUGUGGAGUAGAAAUGAGAUAAUAAAAAAUGAUGAUAUUGAGCCAUGCUCUAUUAAUGAAUGUACACAGAGGCAAGAUUGGCCCAAGUGGAAAGAUGCAAUCCAGGCAGAAUUAAAUUCUUUGGAAAAAAGGAGUGUUUUUGGACAUAUUAUUCCAACUCCACCCAAUGUGAACCCUGUAGGUUACAAGUGGGUAUUUACAAGAAAGCGCAAUGAGAAAAAUGAGAUCUCAAGGUAUAAAGCGCGACUCGUUGCGCAAGGUUUUUCACAAAGGCCUGGAAUUGAUUAUGUGAAAACGUACUCUCCAGUAAUGGACACAAUUACAUUCCGUUACUUAAUAAGUUUGGCGGUUUCGGAAAAACUUGAAAUUAGACUCAUGGAUGUCAUUACUGCAUAUCUGUAUGGAGAAUUGGAUACAGAUAGAUACAUGAAAGUUCCAGAAGGAUUCAAGCUGCCUGAAGCAGCCAGAAAUAAACCACGGGGCAUGUUCUCAGUUAAAUUGAGAAGAUCAUUAUAUGGGCUAAAACAAUCUGGACGAAUGUGGUACAAUCGUCUCAGUAAGUAUUUACUGAAGGAAGGAUACACAAAUAAUCCUAUUUGCCCAUGUGUGUUUAUUAAGAAAUCAGAGUCUGGAUUUGCGAUAGUGGCAGUAUAUGUCGACGACAUGAACCUGAUUGGAACUUCUGAAGAGCUUCAAAAGACUGCUGAUUAUCUCAAACGUGAAUUUGAGAUGAAAGACCUUGGAAAGACAAAAUAUUGUCUUGGCUUGCAGAUUGAGCAUAGUGCUAAUGGAAUUUUGGUGCAUCAAUCAAAUUAUACUGAAAAGGUAUUGAAACGGUUUGGCAUGGAUAAAGCCCAUCUACUUAGCACUCCAAUGGUCGUUCGGUCGCUUGACACUAAGAAAGACCCAUAUCGUCCAAAAGGGGAUGAUGAAAUGGUCCUUGGUCCAGAAGUACCAUAUCUUAGUGCAAUAGGUGCUUUAUUGUACCUGGCACAAUGUACCAGACCAGACAUGUCAUUUUCAGUAAAUCUGUUAGCAAGGUACAGUUCUGCUCCAACAAAGCGACAUUGGACCGGCAUCAAACAUGUUCUACGAUACCUUCGUGGGACAACAGACAUGGGCUUAUUCUAUUCCAAUGAAUCGACCAGCUCCCAGAGUAUUGUUGGUUAUGCAGAUGCAGGAUAUCUCUCUGAUCCACAUCAAGGACGAUCACAGACUGGGUAUGUAUUUACAUGCGGAGGAACUGCAAUCUCAUGGCGCUCAACGAAACAAACACUAGUGGCCACAUCUUCCAAUCACUCAGAAAUACUUGCCCUCCAUGAAGCCAGUCGUGAAUGCGUUUGGUUAAGGUCGGUGAUCCAUCACAUCCGAAGCACGUGUGCCCUACCCUCAACAACAGACACUCCAACAAUCCUGAAUGAGGACAAUGCAGCUUGUAUUGCUCAGAUCACAGGAGGGUAUAUCAAGGGUGACAGGACUAAGCACAUAUCACCAAAGUUUUUCUAUACACACGAGCUCCAGAAGAGUCAAGAAAUCAAAGUCAGACAAAUCCGCUCAAGCGAUAACCUGGCAGAUCUCUUCACUAAAUCAUUGCCGAAAUGUACAUUCCAAAAGUUAGUGCAUGGCAUCGGAUUACGACAACUCUGUAAGAAAUCAAGUUGGAGCAUGCAAAAUCAGGGGGAGCAUUCAAGAGUCCUCUAACACAGGACAUAUGCGCGUUGUACUCUUUUUCCUUCGACUAGGGUUUUUUUUUCCUCACCGGGUUUUUCCUAGCAAGGUUUUAACGAGGCAACAUGAGUGCAUUACCCUUAUGUCCCAAAUAAAGUUGUACUCUUUUUCCUUCGCUUAGGUUUUUUCCCACUGGGUUUUUCCAAGCAAGGUUUUAAUGAGGCAACCAAUCUAGGGACAUGUGGUCUUCAAGGGGGAGUGUUGUAAAUAAUAUUGGUGAAGCCCACAUAAAGAGAAAUGAUGGAAGAAAAAUGAUUGUAUUAAGUAUGGUAGUCAAAAGAAGAAAUGAUGGUGUUAGAAGUGGGAUGAUUAGUCAAAAGAUGAAAUUAUAAUGUUGGGGAGAAAUCAUUAUGUCUCCAUUAGAAGCCUUUUACUUUGCCUAUAAAUAGGCUUGCUCAUUCACUUGUAAUACACACCAAAGAGAAGAGAAGAAAGAGUGAGGAAAGAAAGAACGGAAGAGAGAAAGAGAAAGAGUGGGAGUCAGAGAGAAGAGAAAGAGUGGAGUCUAUCUGAGGAGAAAUUCUGUCAGUGUAAACACUACAAAGAGAAAUAUAAUCUCACUCCCAAUAUUACAGUGGUACUUCUCAUCAACUGAUUAUUCUAGUUUUAUAACACAUUGCGACUACUCUGUAUUUUUUUAUGUGUUAUCAAUAAAAUUACUAUCACUUUUAAUCAAAAAAAAAAAAAGUAAUCGAGUAUUUGAUUUAAUUAGGUUCAAUUCAGAUUAAAGCCUCGUAUUAAUCACAGGAUUAAAGCCUCUUAUUAAUCACAGGAUUAAAGUUUCUUAUUAAUCACAGGAUUAAAGCCUCUUAAUUUUCCCUUUGAUUUGUUUUUCGUUGGGUUAUAAAGGAGGAGUGGUGUCUUCCCUUUAAUUUUUUUUUUUUUCAAAGUGUUCAAAAGCUAAAUGCCAAUUAUUUAUUUGGGUUGUUGUUAACUUCAUGGGUAAUUAAUAUAGAAAAGUGGAAAGUUUGUUAGGUUAGAAUAAAGGUAAAUCAGGAAAAAUCUUAUUAAAGUAUUGUUUCUCUCUCAUAAUAAUGUCAUCAAUUAAAUAAAAAAUGAAUAAUUAACUAUAGUUAAACCCAUGGACAUGUGUAAACUUUUGGGAAGGGUGGUGAGGGUACACCUUGAGUUAAAGUUGUGAGCAAAAAUGCACCCUUUACCCAAACCUUUAUUAAUUAUAUUAAAACCAAAAAAUGAAUAAAAAAAUAAUAUCUUUAAAAUAACAAUAAAAGGAAAUCAAAUAAAAAGCAACAAAAAAAAAAAAAAACAGAAAAUACCAUUUUAGUUUUUUAAUAUUUUAUUCAUAUUUGAAUCAAUUUAAUAAAAAAAUACCAUUUUCCCCCUGCAUUUAACAAAAAAAGUUAACAAAAUUGAUUGAAGGACUAUUUGUCAUAAUGAAUGUGAACUCUAAAACGAUUAACCCAAAUACUAAUGAAUACUUCUUAGUCAAAAUAUUAUUUAUGAAGCUUUAGUGAACUCUAAAUGAAGUGUUGUUGAAGCUAUAAUGAAUCAUUUCGAAGCCUUUAUGAAACAUAUUUUGGUGGCAAAGAAGUGAUGCGGCAACAUUGCGAGUUUGGUUGUGUCAUUUCUCUAUUAUUUUAUUGCAUUAAUUUUAAAAUUAUAAAAAUAUAUGAAAGCUUUAAACAAGUUCCUUGCAAUGACUCUUCGUAUUUAAAGUUGUAGGGGUCUUUUUGUUCCAGCAGCUUGACGAAUGGGCUUGGGUUGCUGUAAGAGAAAGACAAACAAAAUUCCCUCAGUGUUUGAGUUCAAAAACCAGGCUCCAAAAGAGUUUUGAAAAGUUUGCUGAAACCUUAGAAAACACUUUUGGAUUCUUUUCACUAAUAACCAGAUAAACGUGAUAGAUUAAUAAGUGACUUGGCUUGAGGAGUUUGUGGCAUGGGAGCUAAGCCUUCACAAGUUUAGCAAUUUGAGAGAGAGAGAGAGAGAGAGAGAGAGAGAGAGAGAGAGAGAGAGAGAGCUAAAAGCAUGAACUUCUUACAGAGAGAAAAGGUUCAGAAUAGGGAAGAGGAAAAUUAGGAAGAUUUCUAUCUCAGGAAGAGAAAGAAAGCAAUGGAAGUAGAAGACGGGGUGUCUUGAGUAAAUUUCCAGUCGCUUGACAAAGCUUGGUCGCGCUCUGGAUGAUGGGUCUUUGUUGGGUAGAGGAAGCUCCUUUUAUAGGCGCUUAGAACCCUAAUUUUAUCGAUCCUUCAUUCUCACUUUUCCUUCGCUUCUUUCCAUUCAAUCCUAUUAAGGGUUCCAAGAGUUUUAUGCAGCUAGACCUCUUUAUAGGGGUGAGGCGCCACCCACUUUUCUCCUUGGUUUCAUAAUAGAGCUCGCAGAAGAAAAGAAGAAGGGAUAGAGCAUUUGCCCAACGGGUACUCCUCUUAUGCACAUGAAUUUCCUUUGAUUUCUGCAAUGGCCUCUUGUUUGACUUGUUAUGGAGCUUUACAAGGGCUAAAUACGAUACUAGAUAUUUUAUAAGGCGCUGGGCUGGGCUUUUCCUAAGGUAUUGGGUCGUUGGUACUCUAUUUCCAGCGGUAUAUGAGUUUUGUUUUGUCAAGCUGCUGGAAGUAGCUCGUUUGCCUUGUUUUGGCAAGGUGUUGGGCGUUUUAACUAAUGUGGGGUUUUCUAAGUGUUGCAGCAGACCCUUAGAUAUUCUCCUAAGGUAUUGGAUCACUUUUCUCUCUCUCAUGCUAACCCAUGUACUUGUGCCUGAGGAAUGGACUUGAGUUUUAAUGCCCUAAAGCGUCCCAAAACUUCCAUUCCUUAAACCCUUAAAGGGCCUUGAGAGUGCUUGUACCCAUCCAUAUCACAACCUUCUCAACAAGCCCCGAAUAUUUACAUGCCUUGGGCCCACUUAAGCUUGUAGCAUGGCUUGGAAUUAGAAUAGCGGUUCUUUUGCUUGGCAUCACAUGUUUAUUUAGCAUGUUUGUACUUGAGUUCUAUUAUGCAAUAAUAAGCUAUGGCCGAGCCAAGUAGCACUUGACAGGUCAGUAAGCGUGAAUUUAGAGAGCUGGUGCGUUUUGACUCUUUUGACGUGGCGGAUCCGUGUGUUUGCUUGGUGUGGCGCGUGGCCCAUAACUCGCGCAGGUGCAUCCCACAAGUUCUCAUAUGUCCCAGUUGGGCUCCUUUUGCGGUUAAAUAUUUGUGCUGGGCUAGGAAUGAGCCUGGGCCCAGCCUUUGGAUUUUUGAAUCUCAACAAAAGUGUCAAGGCAACAAAGAUUUCUAAUUUUUUGCUUUCAACUAACACACACAAUAUGGUUCUUGUUAUCCUGCAUUGAUAAAAUUACAUAUUUGAAAUCAAUAAGCAAACCUCUAAUACCAUAUUACGAACAUAAUUACCAUAUAAGAGAUCAAAUAAAUGCUUAAAUUCCAAAACUCACCCAAUUACUUCAAAAAGGGAGAAAGAAAAAUAGACUUCCAAAUAAAUUUAUUCAGCACUCUAUUUAGUAAUUUAUUUUUGUGGAUAUCAGCAUUAUUUUAUUCAAAUGAACCAAAAUGGAAAGACAGUAGAGUAUGAACCUCAUUUGUUAGAAACGGUAACUGAUUUCAAGCCUUUGAGAAGGUGACCUUCACGAACAACGUAGCGUUUGCGUGAGUACUGUAGCCCAAUCCAAUUAGAACGAACGAGAUAAAGCCAACCAUUCAUUCUUUGAUUACUUUGCAACCUACCCGUUUCGAAAAACCUCGAUUGUCAACAAAUCCACCUAUGUUGUUUCAAUUCUGUGCCUUUUAGGCAUUUUUAUUAGACAAAAGAAAUAUGUUCAGAGAAAAUAAUAUUUUAAAAAAACUUCAAUUAAAGCACAAAAAUUUAUCCAGAGAAAAGUACACAUAAUAAACCAAACAUAUUUUCCCCAUAUUUUUAUAGUUUUUCUUCACAUCUUACAGCUUGGAUACAUAUAGGAUACUGUAUUAAGUGUCCAAAGCAGAAUUUUUACACCUUCAUGAAAGCACAUGCGUUUGUAACAAAUAUGCUCAAAAUGAACCACACAUUUGUUCCAAACAAAAAUACUGAAAAGAACCAAAAAUAAUUUUCUCCAACGAUGGUUUACUCCAUGGUGAUCCUGUCCCAGUUGUAGCUUAGGACAACACAUCUUGCAUACAAAUGGAACAGGUCAAACCCUUUGUGUGCUUCUGCUUCCCUCAUCUGCACUGCCUCAUUAGAACCACUGCACCUUUGAAAACCUUUCCUUUUCGCAAGCCUAACCCUCACUUUCAUUAUUUUCACUGAUCAAAGGUGUAAUUUUACUUUUGUUUUCUCCUUCCCCAAGGUUUCUUCAUACCAUCUUAGACGUAUCUUCUGACGUUUGAUUUCCAUCAUCAAUGCAUCGUACUGCAUCUGUUUGAUACAAGCUGCAUCAUCGUGGUCUUCAGAUGAAAACUUUAUGCAUUUUGCAGCUCAUUCAACAACAUCUUCAACUUUAUUAUUCCUUUGCGACAAAGGCUUCGCAUUUUUUGGUUGAGUUGUUAUAAGUAUGGGGGGAUUUUGAUAGGUGAACACAUUGUGAGUUUAGGGUUGUUUGGAGCAAGUGGUGGUGCAAUGGGAGGUAAAAUAUUGAACUUUGGUGUUUAUAUAGCAAUACCCAUAUUGAUUUUACCCACCAAAAUUAAACUGUUGACUUGGAGUGGGGAGCUGCAACUUUAGUUACCUUCAUAACUGGUAAUGUGAUAUCUGCAUUAUUAGUAUCAUAAACGCUAUUUUCAUUUUCUUUACUGGUGAUAUGCAUUGAUAUUUACUAUCAUAUUUGCCAAGAUGAAACUGUUGACUUGGUCAUAUUCAAAUGUAACUAAGUUACCUUCAUAACUGGUGAUGUGAUAUUUGCAUUAUUAGUAUCAUAAACGCUAUUUUCAUUUUCUUUACUGGUGAUGUGCGUUGAUAUUUAGUAUCAUAUUUACCAAGAUGAAACUGUUGACUUGGUCAUGUUCAAAUGUAACUAAGCCAUAAUUGGUGAUGUGAUAUUUGCAUAAUUAUUGUCAUCAAAAGUAUUUUUAUUUUUUUUGACUGGUGAUGCGCGUUGAUAAUUAGUAUCAUAAAUGCCAAGACCUGUUCGCCUCUAGUUGGGGCAAGAAGAGAAAUUUGCCGCUUCCACCUUCAUCGAGGUGUGUGAAUUGUCCUUUCAGUCACACCGGUUGGCAAACGAAGACAAUAAUACAUGUAUAUCCAAUGUUUUCUUUGUCCACAAAUAGUCGUACCGUGUUAAUUGAAUAAAGUAAGGCGACGACAGUUGGGAAACUUUCCAAUAUAUAGAACCCGACACUUUCUUGUUGGUCCAGAAAGGACACCGUUAACUAUUCCUCCAGAUACCAUUUUUACUCCCUCUUCUCCAACAACCCAGAUGGACAUCCCAAACUUGCCAUGGUUAUCGGUGCUGUUUUUGGUUGCAAAGCACUCCUCUGAAGAUCUAUACAGCAUGUUGGGGACAUACAAGUUAUUUCAAGAAAUGCUCAAUGAUCGUGAGGUUUGGCGAACUGUGUCAAUAGAGAAGUACUAGUGGCACGAGGAUUGGUACGGGUUUUUUUUUUUUUUUGGUUCAAUUGGUAUGGGUUUCAUGAAGGCAAAAUUGUUGAGUUCUUGUAAAAGUGCAAAAAACAUAACAAUCCAGAAAUCACUCACAGACAAGCUUUUCAUGACUUCUUCAUAUGCAAAGAUGAUGAGGCGGUCAACAUGAGGGUGGCAACUAUGGCAGGGCAUAUGGAAUCCUGCUACAUUGUUGGCUUGCUAGAGCUAUUGAACCCUAGUGAGGGCAAGGAGGAUGCAAUGGAAAGUUUAUGCCAUCUAAGUAAAACCAAGAAAAUUGACAUGCAAGCAUGCAUGGAUUCAAUUAUCUAUCGACUGCUGAGGUAUAGUUUGGGUGUGGUGACUCCUCCAACGCUUGCAAAGUUUACUGCUGACGAAAGUUAUUUUCAAGAGUGCUUUCAUUGUGAGGGUAAUUGGGAGUAGUAUUUAUCAUGGGACCGUAGGGUUAGUUACUCUUACGACGCAGAGUCUUGGAAUUACUUUGAACUUGCAAAUGGAAGAGGGAGCUGUUGAUACUCAAAAUGGCCCGGCCAAUAUUGAGUCCAACUUAGUGAUUAGAUGUGCUGGGUCUUCAGCAGGGAAGAGGGCUAAGGCCCUUGGUGAAAUAUAGGUUGAUGGGAAACCUGCAGAAGACAAAGUGGGAGAAGCAAUCGUUAAGCUUCGGACACCGGUGUGGUGCCGGCCGAAGGCUCUCCGAUGCCUAAGUCAGUUACAAGUAGUAAUUCUGGCAGAGUAACAGUAAAAGUGGGAGAAUAGUUGUCCUUUGUACCUGGGUACUGUUCCCUAUUUAUAGGGAGGUGAGGGUAGGAGGUUUGCACAAAGUUCCAAUGUGGGACUUUGUGCAAGUCGUCGUGGUGGCGACACGUGUCCUGGAGAUUAGGUUUGGCAGUUGGGAGCUUCGGCAGGUGUCUGGCACCUCAGAAGUGUGUCUUCCUUCGGCACAGGAGAAGGCGUGGCUGCCUUGGUGCUAGUCACUUUGGUGCUGGGUCUGCUCGGUUCAUUAUGGUGCAAACAGUAGUCCCCCAAGUUCGCGGUCGAGAAGUAACUUCUGGGUUGGGAACUUGUGAGUUUUUAUAAUUGUAACUGAGCAUUCCAGCUUCGUUGGGAGUCGUAGGGCACUCCUUAGUCCCCCAAGUUGGCAAGCUAGGAGUUGCGUCAACACAUGGUAGCUGGGUACCGGGGUACUUGGGCAUGUUGCAGAUAAGAUGGGAGCUGGGUCAGUAGGGGAGCCAGACCUUCGAAGGAGCCAGGUCUUGUGGAAAAAUUCGGAGACUCCAAUUCUUCCAUGGCUCUCGCCGUUCGGCAAGGGUCUAGCUCCCUUCUUUUUUUUUUUUUUUUUUUUUUUUUUUUUUUUUGUGAAUGGCCAGGCCAUUUGGAAAUUUUGGACUCUCCAUAGUUCUUCCAUGGCCCUUGCCGUUCGGCAAGGGUCUAGCCAAUUUUUUUUUGUUUUUUUGUUUUUUUUUUUUGAGCUUCGGGAGCUAGGCCUUCGAGGGAGCCGGAUCUUGAAAAUUUUGGAGACUCUCAAAAUUUUGCCAUGGCCCUUGCCGUUCGGCAAGGGUUUAGCCAUAUACAUAUAUUUUUUGUUUUGAAUGGCCAGGCCUUCUUGAGUUGGGGCUUGGGCAUGUGGAAAGAGUUGGGCCCGUGAUGGGCUUCAGCAAGUAACAAGGCCUAGGGUUUUGGGAGGAGGAGGUAUACAAAUAAGAGGGUGGCCACCAUGCCGUUCGGCAUUUCCUCAUUCGGCACCUUGGAGUAGAACAAAUUCCUGGAAUCCCCUUGCCGUUCGGCAAGUUCUUGGAGUCACGGUUUUGUGCUUGUAUUGAUUUUGGCUUCGGGUCAAGGGAACAAUGCUUCGGCAAGCGGCACAAACUUGGAAGGGUUGGUGACGGCUGGCCAAACUUGGAAGGGGCUGGACAGCCUGUGGCGCAAAGAAACUGCUGGGGUGAAAUUGCCGUUUGGUUGGAAACGGCUGGGCUGUUUUGGCUAGGCGUCGGGGUGGUGCUUCGGCAGCAAGACUCGGCAGGCUAGUUGGGUUGUGCUGUGCCGAUCGGCAGGGUUGGUCCGAGGAGGUGUUGCUGUGCUGCGAGCACAUCGGUAGUGGCUGGACACUUGCCGUUCGGCAAGGGUGAUUGGGGAGCAGGGCUCGGUGUGAGCGAAGUCAGCGGGAAGAGAUUGGCUUCGGCAAUUGAGCUUGCCGUUCGGCAGGAGCCUUGGGGAUGGCUGGAGUUGUGCUUCGGCAGUUGUGAGCACGGCUGCGGCAGUUGUGAGCACGGUUUUGGCACGGGUUGGCUUCGGCAGCAGCACGAUUGUGAUUUUUCUUCGGCAAGCCAAGGCAUCAGCACCGAGUUGGAUUUUGUUUUUGGCAAGGCAAGGUAGCAGCACCAAUUUGGAUUUUGAAGACCCUUGCCGUUCCGCAAGGGUGAUUUGGCCUAGCUGGACGAGUUGGCGCGGUAGCUGGAGCAUGGGGGAGCAAGGGUGAGUGGUGCUUCAUUUUUGUUUGCUCAGCCCUUGCCGUUCGGCAAGGUUGAGGUUUGGUGUAAUUGGAGCCGAGAUCUUGUGUUGUUCGAGGUGCUGGACCUUCGACGCAUCCGGGUGGAGUUAGACUGUCCAUACUCGGCAGGUGAGUUAUCCGUAUGUUUCUGUUCGGGCCUUGUCGUUCGGCAAGCCCAGCUGAAUUAUGUUGUGAAAUUGGUUUGGGUGUCUUGAUAAAAUUUGGGUCUUGGCCUUGUAGUAGGAUUGGGCUUACGAAAUAGGCUAGGACACGUGAAAAUAUGGGGACUCCAUUUUGUUUUUGCACGGGCCUUGCCGUUCGGCAAGGCCCCUAAAUUUCCCUCAAUUUUUGUUUUUGGUUUGUGUAUUUUGAAAAUUGAAUUUCAAAUUGUGUGUAGGUACAAGGGAUUUGGGAGGGAAUAUGAAAGGGUGCUAGGGUUUGUUCGUGAAACGAGGCGUGGGUACCCUUAGUUGGCUACAAAUAGGAACUUGGAGUGGUGAAGGCACCACACUUGAGUUGAGUUGAGAAAAAUUGUGAGAAUUUGAAGGAGAGGAGAGGCGAUUUCCGGCGAUUAGUUUGUGGUGGUGCUUGUGGCUGAGGUGAUUUCCGGCGAGUCGUUCGUGGUGGUGCGAUUAGACCUCAUUUCGCUUGACUUUUUGAAUUGAAAUGUAUUGUUUUGCAUGAACAUGUUGAAGGCUAGGAAGAACACAUUGAACAUGAGCAUGAACAUGAUGAACACGUUGAACAUAUGUAUGAACAUGUAGAAUUCUUGCCUGGAUACCAAAGAACAUGUAGAUUUGCCAAAUUUUUGUUGUUGUGGUUCGAUCCUCCUUGCAUGUGCAUUAGUUCCUUUUUCAUGUUUUUUUUUGCAAAUUGUAGAUGUCUGAAAGUUCUGAUAGAGAAAGUCCUGAGCCCCCUGCCUUUGGCGGGGAUGACACUGAGAGUGAAGAGCCCAGCCAAUAUAUUUGUUCUGAAGAGGAGAGUUCAGAGACAGAGGGUAUGGUAGAAGGAACCAUAGAAAGUAGGAUGAUAGGGCCUGGGGGUGAGAGGGCUGAGCCAUCGGGAGACUCUGGGUCGGCUGCAUAUAGGGAGAUGCAGAGAAAUUAUAUAGAGUUAGAGGCUAUAGCAAAUCGGGUUCUAGCCUUGCCUCAAACGCAAGAAGUGGGUUCGAGCAACCAGGCAUCACCAUCAAGGUCUGUGGGUAUAGCCGUGGCUUCGGUAUCAGAGGGAUUAGACAUCCGGGUUGGUGUCCCGUUGUCGCGGCGGAAUACACUUACAGAAGCGAAAUUGGCCCAGCUACGAACAGAUUUUUGUGUGCCAGCCUAUGUGGGCUUGAGGUUACCCACUGAGGCCGAUAUAGUCAGAUAUCCUUCGGAUGGCUCCGUGAUGAUUUUUACGGAUAUGUAUCGGCACGGCUUCAGACUACCGUUUCAUCCGUGGGUUCAGAUGAUGUUGGCCAAGUUGGGGUAUGCACCGGGGCAGUAUAAUCCCAACUUUUGGAUUCUUCUUCAUGGGGUGUAUAUUGCCUGGUGGUUGGCUGGGUUAGGGGAGCCAACGUUUGAGCAAUUCAUGUACCUGUACUCCAUUUCGAAGCAGCAGGGGAAUUUUGGCUGGGUACAGGCCAAUUGCCGAAAGGCGAAGGAGAGGGGUUAUUUUAUUGGACACAAGCCCACAACGCAAAAGUCCUGGAGGAACAGGUGGUGCAUGGCCUACGGGGACUGGGAGAGUCCUCCAGGGAAGAGCGUUGUCCAGCACAUUCCUACCCACUUCCAGUCUAUAGGUCCUUAGCCCCAUCCCUUAAGAUUGUCUAAUGCUUGAUUGUGUUGUCUUGGCUCCUAUUUUUGGUUCUGUAUUUUGUCUGUGCCAGUAUAAAUGGCUAAGUAGUAUCUGACCUUUGGUGCAGGUUCAGUGAAGUGGGGGCCUAUCUCCAAGGAGCAGGAAGACGAGGUUGAGUGGGUGAGGGCGCAGUUGUCGGAGACUGAGCGUGAGUGCGGGAACCUAGUCACGCAGAAGAAUUUGUUUGAGUCCGGACUCCUUCAAGGAAGUAAGUACCUGGGUCACAUUUAUGAGUUGUGUGCUGGGCCUUUUGUGGUUGUGACUAAUGUAGUUGUUUUGUUUGUUUGGACAGUGGCUGGCAUCAUAAGGGGGAGCACGAAGGUGGCCGUAGACAUUGAUGAGGCCGAGAUGCAGAAGCGGCUGAGGGAGUCUCGGGCCAAGAAAGCUGAGAAGAGUGCUGGAAAACGACCCAGGGAUGAUGACGAGGGUCGGGUCGCGGACGUGCUGGGGAAAAGGAAAGCCUUGGAGGAGGCUCAUCAGCAUGUGAUGGGGUCAGGGCCGAGACUUCCGCCCUUUGAUCUGCAGGCACCGCCGAAGCUACCCUUCGGCAUGGAGGACGUGUUCGCUGAAGGGGUAGAGAAGGUAGACUUCGGCAGGCUACGCCAGCAGAAGAAGGAGGUCAACCUGGCGAUGCACCGGCAGGAGGUGCCUUUAGUGAACGUUUUCCUGGAAGGCGUGAAGAGCGACCCUGAGGCUCUAGCGAGGACUCCAGCUUCUUCCUUCAUUGACCGGGCCCAAAAGACGAUCCUCACCUCUGCCUAUGUAAGUGUUUAGGUCCUUUUUGAAUGUAUUUGUGUUGGAGUAUUUAUGUGUGGAUUGACUAACAUGGUGUUUGUUUUGCAGGCCUUUGGCGAGAUGUACGUCAGCAUGGCCAAGGCUGACAAGGAGAUCCAGAGGCUGAAGAGGCGGGAUGAGCUAGCCAAGAGCAAAAUGGCGGAGGCGCAGGAGGCCAUCCGAGAGAAGAACGCCUUGCUGGUUCAAAAGGCGGCCCUGGCCAAGGAGGUGGAGGAGCUGAAGAGAUCGAGGGCCGAGGAGGUGGCUGCUGCCCGAGUCGAGGCGAUUGAGUCCUUCCGAUCCUCAGAGGAGCUGAAGAGCUACAUCAUGGACCGACUGGUUGAUGAGCAGCUUCGCUGGGAAGAUAGGUUGGUUAGGUUCAACCCCUCGGUGGAGAUUAACUUUGACACCAGUGGCGAGCCUCCUGCACAUACCCCUCCUGCUGAUGCUAGCGCCCCGACACCAAAGGCUGAGCCGGCCAGUGAGAAUGCCCCGUCGACCGAGUCUUGAAGGCGUUGCCUUCGUUAUAUUUUACAGUGAUUUUGUACUUUAGUGAUUGUGUUGGAACACUGCUUAUUUUGUUUAUGUAUGAACACUUGUCCUUGCCUGGAGCAAGGGUGUUUUUAUUUAUGAUAUGAGACUUGGUUUGAUAUCAAUUGUGUUAGUAAAAAUGAUAACAAUGUGAGUGUAUGAGAAUGAGCCGGAGUCAGGCAUUUCAUUGAAAUAGAUGCCGAAAGGCAGAAGGUACAAGUGGUCUAGGGUCUAGAUACCUUACUUCUACCUUACAGUAAAUAAUCAAGACCAAAGUAUUAUCCUAGGGUCUAGAUAUGUUUACUUGUAAUAAUACUUGAGGUGGUCAGCAUUCCACGGGUGAGGCAGCGUCUUGCCUGUGGAAUCACGAAGCUGAUAAGUGCCGGGGCGGCAGAUUUUGAUAAUCUCAUAAGGACCUUCCCAUGUAGGGCCGAGGGUACCUUCGCUGGGAUUUUUGGUAGCCAAGGAAACUUUGCGCAUGACCCAGUCCCCCAUUUUGAAAGCACGGGGCUUGACUCGGGAGUCGUAAUAUUUGGCGAUCCGUUGUUUGUACGCGACAUUACGCAUGUUCGAUUGGUCCCGGAGCUCGUCAAUGAAGUCGAGGUUGAGGGCCAACUGCUCGUCAUUGGCCGUGGCAUCGUAAGUGGAGGUUCGGUAUGUGGGCUGGCCAAUCUCUACCGGAGCCACGGCCUCGGUUCCAAAUGAUAGGGAGAACGGCGUUUCACCCGUGGAUGUGCGGAAAGUGGUGCGGUAGGACCAGAGUACUUCUGGGAGUAGUUCUGGCCAGCAGCCCUUGGCUUUGUCAAGUUUUGUCUUGAGGGUCUUCUUGAUAAUUUUGUUCACGGCUUCGACCUGGCCAUUGGACUGAGGAUGGGCUGGGGAGGCGAAACACAGACGAAUCUUGAGGUUGGAACAAAAUUGUUUGAAUUUGGCGUUGUCAAAUUGCCGGCCAUUGUCGGUGACGAUGGAGUUAGGGAUGCCGAAGCGACAUACAAUGUUUUGCCACACAAAGGAUUCGAUGCGAGCCGCAGUGAUGGUGGCCAAGGCCUCGGCCUCAGCCCACUUGGUGAAGUAGUCUACGGCCACGACUGCAUACUUGACUUGGCCCUUGCCCUCUGGCAUAGGUCCAAUGAGAUCCAGUCCCCAUUGGGCAAAUGGCCAAGGGCUGACGAUGGCAGUCAACGGUUCAGCCGGGAGUUGUGGAAUGUUGGCAAAUCGCUGACACUUGUCGCAUUUCUGGGUGAAUUCCUGGGCGUCAGUGUGGAGCGAUGGCCAGAAGUAUCCUUGGCGGAUUGCCUUAUGGGCCAGCGAGCAUGCGCCCGAGUGGUUACCGCAUAUGCCUUCAUGGAUUUCUCGGAGGACAUAGUGACCCUCCUCUGGAGUCAGGCAUCGGAGGUAAGGAAGGCUGAAACCCCGCUUGUAUAAGGAGCCGUUAAUGAUCAGGAAACGGGCAGAGCGAUGGCGAACGCGUCAUGCUUCUGCCGGAUUAGCCGGUAGUGUUUGGUUCUGUAAGAACUGGAGGAUGGGGUCCAUCCAUGUAAGGCUGUGAUCAAUAGUGCAGAUGAGUGGGGCUUGUGUGCUGGGCUGGGCCAAAAACUCGAUGUGGAUGUGGCGACCCAUUCCUUGUUCCAAGGCUGAUGCCAACCUGGCUAGUGCAUCGGCAUGGCUAUUCUCGGAGCGCGGCACUUGCCUGAUAGAGUGGGCGUGGAAGGUCGCCAGCAAGUGCCGAGCGCGCUAGAGGUAGGCCGUCAUAGAGGCAUCCUUAGCCGUGAAGUCCUGGUUGACCUGGUGGACCACGAGUUGUGAAUCGCUGAAUAUCUGAAUUUGCCUGGCGUCCAUCUCUUUGGCUAAUCGAAGACCAGCUAAGAGUGCUUCAUAUUCGGCCUCAUUGUUGGAGGCUUGGAAUUUGAAGCGAAGGGCGUACUCGAGGGCAACCUUGUCUGGGGAGAUGAGAACAAGGCCGGCCCCACAGCCCUGGGCAUUAGAAGAGCCGUCUACGAAUAAGGUCCACAGGGGCUAGGUUAGGUCGAGAUUGCCUUCGGUGGGGGUUUGGUCCUGGCUGGGAGGGGGAUUGGGUUCGGUUAUGGGCUGGAUGGCUGCCGAAGCUUGAGGCUCCGUGAAUUCGGAUAAGAAGUCAGCAACGGCCUGUCCCCUCAUAGCCGGGCGGGGUUUGUAAUGAAGAUCAAACUCGCCCAGUUCAAUGGCCCAUUUGACCAGCCUCCCAGAAGUUUCUGGGUUCUGCAACACCUGUCGGAGUGGUUGGUUGGUUAAGACAUGGAUGGUGUGAGCUUGAAAAUAUGGUCGGAGGCGUCUUGCUGAGACGACCAGGGCAAACGCCAAUUUUUUGAUGUCCGGGUACCGAACUUCGGCAUCUUGCAAUGCUUUACUAACAUAAUGCACUGGGUGUUCCGCGUUGUCUUUUGAUCGGAUGAGCACAGAGCUAACAGCCGAAGCUGAGAUGGAGAGAUAAAUCACGAGGAUGUCUCCGUGCUCAGGGGUUGACAAUAAAGGGGCCCGGCCCAUAUACUCCUUGAGCUCGCUGAAAGCCGUGUCGCAUUCAGCAGUCCAGGUGAUGUUUCUUUUGGUGCCUUUAAGGGCCUUGAAGAAUGGGGCGCAGCGGUCAGUGGCUUUGGAGAUAAAUCUGGUCAGGGCUGCGACACGCCCUGUAAGGCUUUGGAUAUCUUUGACCGUCUUAGGUACCGUCAUGUCUAAGAUGGCCUGGAUCUUUUCUGGAUUGGCCUCAAUACCUCUCUGGCUGAUCAUGAAGCCCAGAAAUUUGCCGGAAGCCACCCCGAAUGCACAUUUGGUGGGGUUAAGCCUCAUUUUGUACUGCUUCAGGAUGGUGAACAUGGCGGAGAGGUUAGGGAUGUGUUGGUCAGCCGUGCGACUCUUGACUAGCAUGUCAUCGACAUAGACCUCCAUGGUAUUGCCAAUCAAGGGGGCGAAGAGGUGGUUCACCAGACGCUGAUAAGUAGCCCCGGCGUUUUUGAGGCCAAAGGGCAUCACCUUAUAGCAGUAGAGGCCGCGGUCCGUAAUGAAAGAGGUGUGGGCCUGAUCUUCGGGGUGCAUGAAGAUCUGGUUGUAACCUGAAUAAGCAUCCAUGAAGCUAAGGAGGGCGUGGCCGGCUGUGGCGUCGACUAGCUGGUCAAUGCGGGGUAGCGGGAAGCUAUCCUUUGGGCAAGCCCGAUUAAGGUUGGUGUAGUCGACACACAUGCGCCAGCCCUUUCUUGGCUUGCGGACCAUCACGACGUUAGCCAGCCAUGUAGGAUAAUCAACCUCCCUGAUGAAUCCGAUGUUGCUCAAUCGAUCAACCUCCGCCCUUAUGGCCUCAUAGCGCUCGGGAUCAUAAGCGCGGCGCUUCUGUCGGACUGGUCUGACGGCAGGAUUGACGCUAAGCCUAUGGGAUAUGAUGUCUGGUGAUAUGCCAGGCAUGUCAUUGUAGGACCAUGCGAAGACUUCGGAGUUGAGGCGGAGGAAGGCGACCAGGUCAGAGCGAAGUUCUGGCGAGAUGGAGGUGCCGAUCCGGACUUGUCGAUCCGGGAUAUCGUCAUGGAGGGUAACCAGCUCCAGGUCCUCCAUGGGUUAAGCCUGUGGUGCGAUGGACUCCUCCCUUGGGUCUUCAGGUGGUUCUGUGCCAGCUUGAGGAGGGGCGGGAGCCAUGGUUACCGAAAGGGCCUCGCUCCUAGGUUGGCGAUUGGUGGAUUUUACUGCUGAAGCAUAGCAGCUUCGGGCCCCGAGUUGGUCGCCGCGCACCGUGCCUGGGCCAUUAGGAGUGGGAAACUUCAACAGCAGCAUAUGCGUGGAAAUAAAAGCUCUCAUUUGGGCCAGGGCUGGGCGGCCGAGGAUGACGUUGUAGGCUGUGGGGCAAUCGACGAUAAGGAAGGGGGUAGUGAUCGUCGUCCGCUGGGGUGCGGCCCCAAUUGAGAUAGGGAGAUGAAUGCUGCCAAUGGGCUGGACCACAUCACCCGAGAAGCUCACAAGGGGUGUGAUGCUUCGGUCGAGUAGGUGAGGCGGGACCUGGAGUUCAUUGAAGGCUUCGGCAAACAUCACACUGACCGAGCUGCCAGUGUCCACCAGGAUACGCCCAACGUCGAAGUUAGAAAUGUCAGCCCGGAUAAUGAGUGGAUCGUCAUGGGGGAGGAUAACACCACGCUCCUCCUCCUCGCAGAAGGUAAUGGGGGCCCAGCCAGUCCUGUGGGUCUUUGGCAAGCGUCCCUGCUCGGUGCUGAAGACCUGGUGCGCAUAGGUGGAGCGGACAUAAUGUUUGAUGGAGUUGUUGGAGGUGCCAGCCAGGGUAGGACCUCCGCUGAUGGUGGAGAUCAUGUUGAUUUGUCGUUGGUGAGGGUUAGGCGGGGCUGGUAUGUUGCGUACAUAGUUGUCCAGCUUUCCCUCGCGGAUGAGCCCUUCAAUUAUGUUGCGCAAGGCAACACAAGAUUCGGUGUCAUGGCCGCUGAAUUGAUGAAAGCGGUAGAAGACACCCGUGUUUGGCAGGGGCUUGCUAGAUGGUCUCCGGGGGGGUGGCUUGGGGAUGAUAGGAGCUUCACGCACCAGGACAUUCUCGUAGGUGGUGUUGAGGGUGGUAAAUACUUCGAACCUGGGCCUGGGUGUGAAUGGAAGUGGGGCCCGAUCAGCAGGUCUAGGAGGGUUGCCUCCACUAGAGUAGUGGUGGUUGCCAUGUCUGCCACGUUUGUUAUUACCGAAGGGAUGCUGGUAGCUAUCCUUCCGCUUAUGUUGUUGGUUGUCCUGGGCACUCGGGGCAGGGGUAGAAUGCUGAGGUGGGGCUGGGGCGGGUGCUGAAGCAGGUGGAGGAUCAGCGAAAGCGUUGCGCAUCAGGUUAGCUGGGCCACGCUUGGAAUUGAAGUAUUCGGCCUUAGCAUGGACCGCUGCCUGCUUCAUCAGCUCUGCAUAUGUGUUCCAACUGUUGCUAUGAACAAGGUAGCGGAAGUUGGACUCGCGGAGGCCGCUCUUAAAAGCGCCGAACGCAGCGCGAUCGUCAGUGUCUGGGCAGCGGGAGUACUCAUGACUGAACCGAGCUGCAUAUUCCCGAAGGGGUUUGUCCUCAGCCUGCCUAAGCAUAUACAAGUCGUCGGCAGAGUAUAGGCGAUCAGUUUGGAUCAUAAAAUGGUCCAGGAACGUCUGCUUGAGACUAUCGAAGGAGUUGAUGUGCGGGGGUGGAGCCUGUAGAACCAAUUCAGGGCCGCGCCGCUGAGGUGGAAGGGAAAAGGAGGCACAUGCCUUCAUCAGUGAGGCCUUUGCACCCAAGGGCAGACUGGAAGGAGUGGAUGUGGGUGAGAGGGUCCUCCGUGCCAGUGUAGAAAGCGAUGCGGAGUGGCUAGAUAUCUUUCUCCUGGUGGUAGUGGAGGAUGCGUUCGGUAAAGGGCCCUGGUCGUGGUUUUGCCCAGAGGGGUUGAUGGCUGCGUUGUUGUUCGCUUUCCAGGCGCCGGACCUUUUCAAAGAGAAGCCUCAUGGCCGGGUCGGCAUGAGGAAGAGUUUCAGGUGCCAAAGGCCUGGGGGCGGGGCAGACAGGGACUGGGGAUUGUUCCCAAUUUUUCAGCUCCCCGGUGUGGUAAUUUGGCCAGGUCUCUGAAUUAUAAAAUUCCCAAGUAUCCGAGUCCCCGACACCUUCCUCGUCGGGUAUGCGGACGGGGGCUGGCGAAGGGCCCAGGUGUGUCACCCGUGGGUCUUCGAGGUUGACAGGGAUAGGGAUCGGCCUUGGCUGACGGUCCGAGAGGCGAUCCCUGCAAUCUUGGUAGAUCCUGUAAAUACGUAUGGAAUUUCCCCCUAAUUUCGGGAUUUUUCCUACAUUUGAAACUAUUUUUGCAACAAAAAAAAAAAAGUUGAAUAAAGUAAUCCGGAAAUCUCUUUUCACUAACAUAAUGAUUUAAAUAUCGAAUUUAAAAGGAGAAAUAAGUGUAGGGUUUUUCCCAUAUUGAUUAUAACCCAAUAGGAAAUUUCCCCUUUAUUUUCUGAUUUGUCCUGCAUUUUUAUGAUUUUUGCAACAAAAAAAAAAGAAUAAAGUAAUCCGGAAAUCCCUUUUCACUAACAUAAUGAUUUAAAUAUAAAAAUUAACCAAAAACUCCUUGCGAAGUAACCAAAAACUCCUGACGAAGUAUUCUUCCCCACAGAUAAUUAGGAAUUCCCCCCUUUUUCAUAUUUUUCCUGCAUUUUUUACGAAUUUUGCAAACAAAACAAUUAAAAUAAUCAAGAAAUGCCAAGUGGCAGUACUAGAGUGGGGAGCUGCAAACCUCAACGACACGCGGCGCAUUCCCAUGCCACCACACGCCACUUUUUCAAUUUUUUAUUCAUUUUCACUUAAAUAUUCAUUUAAAAAUCGAAUUUAAGGGGGAAAAAUUCCUCCGGGAUCGUGACGAGAUUUCCUUCGAUGACAUAUCCGGAAAAAGGCCGCAGCAUACAAAUUUGGAUAUAGGAUUAGUGUGAUCGAACAAAUAAGAGUGUAAGGUUUACUAGUGUUUUCAUUUGCAUCAUCCACGUCUAGAGUUCGCUCCCUAAUUUUAUUUUUCAGUGACUCCUAAACUCAGUAUUGUAUUUUCCGUAUAAAGUAUUCUUCCCCUUAUAUACUUAGGAAUUUCCUCCAUUUUUUUUUUCAGAUUUUUCAUGCAUUUUUUUUCGAAUUUUGCAACAAAAACAAAAAACGAAUAAAAUAAUCAGGAAAUGCUAAGUGGCGGCGCUGGAGUGGGGAGCUGCAAACCUCAGUGACACGCGGCGCAUUUUCAUGCCACCACACGCCACUUUUCUAAUUUUUUAAAUUCAUUUUCAUAUGCAUCGGCUCCCAAUACUUUGGUUCUUAAGUACUUUUAACAACUGAUAUCUGUGGCUAAAAGUCAAUUUUCACAUAGUGGCUAAGUGACUCAUCGCUUCAUAAUGGUAGAUUUGAAAGCUUGAGGGCCAACGGAAAGAAUUGGAAGAGAGUGGGCUGUUGCCCUCCACGUUUCAUAUUCCUUUUUUAUUUUUCUUUUUUUUUUUUAAUAUUAUAAGGACAAAAAUGUAAAAUUCUUAUAUGUUUUUGAAUAAUUUCAUUUAGAGGGGUGUAUUCAAUUAGGAUUGUAUACGAUUUUGAAAGUUUUUUUUUUAAGUGACAGAUUUUCUGGAAUUAUAUAACUCCUAUAGGUUUUACUAUAGACUUCCAUACUUUUGUAUGAACUUUUGUUAUAGAUUCAGAUAUAUUUGUAUAGACUUCCCAAUACUAUUUUCUUUUAUCGCUCUUUCUUCCCAACACUAUUUGCUUUAAACUAUCUUGACCUAGCCACUAGUCGACCAUCCCUUUUUUUUUUUCCCCCUCCAAAUUCUUCCUCUACUUGUGUGCACAACAAUGAAUUUUCCUUUGAAUUCUCCAUGAGUUGGAAACUUUCAUACCUAAACAAUGAAUUUCCCUUUGAAUUUUCCAUGAGUUGGAAACUUUCAUACCUAAACAAUGAAUUUCCCAUGAGUUGGAAACUUUCAUACCUAAACAAUGAAUUUCCCAUGAGUUGGAAACUUUCACACCUAAACAAUGAAUUUUCCUUUGAAAUUUCCACGAGUUGGAAAUUUCCAUUUGAUUUUGUUCACGAACAACAAACUCUUCGUCCAAAAAUUCAAUUUAAAAAAAAAAAAACCCUUUGUCCAAAAAGCAAGGGCCCUAUCAUCUGGUUGUGUUAUCGGUGAUGGAAAUAUAUCUCAACCUUUCGCCACCUUGAUGUUGGCUUCACACCGAGAGAUCUCCAAGGGAAACUUAUUGGAGAUCGAGAAAUCUCUAGCCGAGCUUUCCUCCCAGCAACUCCAACUGGUUGAUUUGAAGAAAUCACUAAUAGAGGAGCUUUGCUUAAUACAUGACGCUUGUAACCACCCAAGGUUAGUGCAUGGCUUAGUGCAUUGUUUGCCAAACGAUGGAAAAAAAUUUAACACAGAGAGGAAGAAAAAAAAAAACGUCAUAUGAAGUCUUUGGGGUGGAGGUUGGACUUAUGUUGGCCUUUAUUAUUUAUACCUAAACCCUACAAAUUCUCCAAACUCCAACACUUAAUUAAAUCCUUCCAAAUCUAUCUUCUUGGUAAAUUUAUUUGGACUUUUUCCAAGUCCUAAUUGAAUACACCCACAUUUAGAUGGAUAUUUUAAAAGUUCAAAUAAGUCUAAAUUGAAUACACCUAAACCGUUAUAGACUUUUUAAAAGUUUGUAUAAAUCCAAAUUGAAUACACCCGGAUUUUUAAAAUCUUUUUAAACGCUCUAGAAUCCUUAUUGAAUACAACCCCCUUAGUUUUUUGGCAUUGACAAUUUAUGAGUUUGCAGCACAUAAUAUACGAUUAUUUUGAUGAAAAUUAUGUACCUAAAGUUGGGAAAAUAAAAGCCAGUCCCUUAAAAAAAAAAAAAAAUUAAUUAAAAAAAAACCUUGACUAUUUGGUAUGCUCUACUCACAUGCAGGUCGCAUAACUGUUCGGUACACCAAAGUGAACGUUCCAAAUUGUAAUAUAUUUUGGAAGCGUGUAUAUCAAAAGUUUCUGGAAAAUGAUUCAAGCAUUAGUGGACCAGAGCAAUGAACAUAUCAAGCCAAUGCUUUUCGGUUCAAGACUAUCAACCAACAGUGUUCUCUUUGGAAGGCAUGCUUGACUAAGGCCAAUACGAACCCACAAAGUGGCUCAACAAAAUUUGAAUAAAAUAAUCAGGAAAUGCCAAGUGGCGGCGCUGGAGUGGGGAGCUGCAAACCUUAGUGACACGCGGCGCAUGCCAAUGCUGCCACACACCACUUUUCUAAUUUUUUAUUCAUUUUCAUACGCAUCCGUUGCUAAAAGUCAAUUUUCACAUAGUGACUAAGUGACUCAUCACUUCAUAAUGGUAGAUUUGAAAGCUUAAGGCCAAGGGGAAAGAAUAGGAGGAGAGUGGGCCGCUGCCCUCCACGUUUCAUAUUCCUUUUUUUUUCUUUUUUUUAAUAUUAUAAGGACAAAAAUGUAAAAUCCUUAUAUGUUUUUGAAGAAUUUCAUUUGAUUUUUUGGCAUUGAAAAUUUAUGAGUUUGCAGCACAUAAUAUACGAUUAUUUUGAUGAAAAUAAUGUACCUAAAAUUGGGAAAAUAAAAGCUCGUCCCUUGAAAAAAAAAAACUUCUGUUUGUUUGGUAUGCUUUACUCCAGACGCAGGUCGCCUGACUGUUCGGUACACCUAAGUGAACGUUCCAAAUUGCAAUAUAUGUUCUUGCUCACCACUAGUACGUAGCAUGCAGUCGGCAAACCUUUUAAACCUUAAACUAUAGCCCGAUCCAAAUUAACAAAAUAAACGCCAAAUCGGAGAUGGGAUUUGAGCGUGAGCAUAUUGUGCUGCUUCCCAUGAUAGCUAAGGGUCAUCUCAUACCAUUCUUGGCACUAGCAAAGCAAAUGCAACAAAAAACAGGGUUUACCAUCACCAUUGCCACAACCCCACUCAACAUUCAAUACCUGCAAGCUACCAUUUCCUCAACUUCGUCAUCAUCAAACACUCAAUCACACUCCAACAAUUUUGACAUCAACUUGGCUGAGCUUCCAUUCUGCAGCUCAGACUUUGGCUUACCCCCAGACACUGAGAACACAGAGAAUUUGUCUAUGAAACAUAUUGGAGAUCUUUGUGCUGCAACAGUGAAUCUUGAAGGUCCUGCUCGCCGCCUGAUCUUGGAUAUCAUUGAAAAAGAAGGCCGGCCGCCACUUUGUAUUAUCUCUGAUAUUUUCUUUGGAUGGGCUACUCAUCUUGCAAAGAGCUUAGGCACUGAGAAUGUGACUUUCACAACAUGCGGUGCUUAUGGCAGUGCAGCCUUCAUGUCCAUUUGGCUUAACCUCCCACACCGUUCCACAGCUUUAUGCGACGGCUACUUCACGCUACCCGGGUUUCCAGAUCAGUCUCGUUUUCAUAUCUCUCAGCUGGACCACUAUUUAAGAGCAGCAAAAGGUACAGAUUUUUGGCCAAAAUUUUACCAGUCCCAGCUUUCGCUUUCUACCAAAUCUUUUGGUUGGUUGUGUAACACAGCUGAGGAAAUUGAGCCACUUGGAUUGGAGAUUUUGAGGCAUUACUUUAGGCUUCCUGUUUGGUCCAUUGGACCUCUUAUUCCCAAAGAUGCUCUCAAGAACUCAUCCACUUCGGAUUUAAGAGUUUCAAGGCAACCUGCUGAAAAAUGCAUGGAAUGGCUGGACUCACAUGGUUCAGAUUCUGUUGUUUAUAUUUCCUUUGGUUCUCAGAACACAAUCAGUGAAACACAGAUGAUGGAAUUGGCUAUUGGGUUAGAAAAAAGUGGAAGGGCUUUUAUUUGGGUCAUUAGGCCUCCAGUUGGGUAUGAUAUAUGAAGGGAGAAUUCAGAGCUGAAUGGUUGCCUCCAGGGUUCGAAGAUCGAAUGUGUAAAAGCAAGCAAGGCUUGUUGGUGCACAACUGGGCACCACAGUUGGAGAUUUUGUCACACAAAUCCACGGGGGCAUUUGUAAGUCAUUGUGGGUGGAAUUCAGUGCUGGAGAGCCUAAACCAAGGAGUUCCGAUUAUAGGGUGGCCUUUGGCAGCCGAGCAGGCGUUUAACUCAAAGAUGCUGGUGGAGGAGAUGGGUGUGAGUGUGGAGCUGACAAGGGGAGUGCAGAGUGUUAUUGUUGGCAAGGAGGUGAAGAGAUUGAUAGAUUUGGUAAUGGACAAAGGUGGCGAAGGAGGAGAAAUGAGGAAAAAAGCUGGUGCAAUUAAGGCGCAGAUAAGAGCAGCAAUAAGAGAGGAGGCUGAAUUCAAGGGAUCUUCUGCAAAGGCAAUGGAUGAUUUUCUUGAAACCAUCCUAUCAGCAAGACAAGAACAUAAAUCUAUUAUUGGUUAGAUAUCUUUACUAAAUUUUUCUGAUCCAUUUAUCUUUUCCCUUACUUCAAGCCUCUUGUUCAACUAAUUGCGUUGUAUUACCUUGUUAUAAGGUUGAAGAUGAACAACCCAUCAAUUUUCAUAUGCAGCCCAUGUGGAAGGUAAAGAAAGCGGGUCUGCCACAUUAGGACCACUCUCUGGGGCCAAAGCUACAUUGGGACUAGUGUGGUCUCAAGUUUUUUUAUAUUUUAAAAGUAAUAUAUUGUUAUGUAUUUUUAUAUGUAUAUUAUUUGAAGUACUUUGUAUUUUGAUAUGUAUUCAUAUGUGUUGUGAUGGACCUAUUAAGACACAAGGUGUCUACUUGCUUGGCUGGUGGUGUUGCACUUUAGGUGUGCAGAUUACCUUAUUUCUAUUUUCAGUAUUUAAGUAAAUGUCUUUGUCCUUUUAUUUUCAUUUACUUAAGUUUACAAUGUAAAUUAGGAAGUACCCCUUAUUGGAUUCAAAUAAAAAUACUAGAAAAUCAAAUUCUCACCAAAUCAAAAUUUGAAAAAUCAAUUUUAGUGCAAAAUACGAUUUAGGCUAAAAAUGAUGGUUCAUUAAGUCAAUAUAUAUUUCAUGCUAAAAUCUCAUAAAAUCAAGUUUUCUUAUUUGAUGUGUAAAGAAUAAAAGCCGCCAAAAAUUAUAUUGAGAAAAUGAUUAUUCCGAAAAAACCAUUUUUCAUACUUAGAUAAUAUUUUUACAUAAAAUAUUUUUUCAUGUAUGAUAUAAAUUUAUGAAGGGACCUAAGGUUUUUUUUAAUUUGUGAAAUUUUGAUUUUUUUUCUUUCUAUUGGGUUUAAUGGGGGAAAAAGCUUUAAAGAUAUUUGCUAAAUCGCUACUCUUUGUCUAUCUCUUGCAAUUUUUCUUGUUCAGAAUGUAUUUGUCUAUUCCUUUGUCGAGGACAAUUAUGAUUAUAACCAAUAAGCAACAUAAUUCUUGACAUAUGUGAAAUAUAUAUUAUUUUUCGUAUGUAUUGUGAGUUCGAAUUUUUGAUUCUUUAUAAUUUGUAAGAGACCUCUACACACAUGAAAUCAUAACUUCGCCACUGCAACUCUCCCAUCUUUCCGUAAGCUCCUGAUCCUUUUUUUUAAUAAAAAAUUUCCAACAGCUACUCCAAAAAAGUUGCUGUUUCAUUUAUUUUUAAUUCCAACAUAUACAACGGGAAAAAUUCAUAUCUAUACUAAAUCUAACUCUGGAUCAACCUAGCUAGCCUGUUUGAACUUUUGACAUAGAAGCAUUUCUGGCAGAGCUUUCCUUUUCCUUUUUUGUCCUGUUGAUUUCAGCUUAAACAUAAAACCCAAAUAUUUAAGUACAAGUCACGUUCCUGUUUUACAAUAGUAUAAUAUCUUCAGCAGAAAACGAUUUCCUGCGUUCAUUAAAACACGCACAGGACAUUUCACUAGUACUACGUUGUUGAGAGUAUUUUUUUAAUAAUUUAAUGGUAAUUAAUCACCAAUUAAGUGUGGUGAGCAAAAAUAUUCUCAUAUGACAUUAUCAACGAAUUUAUUAGCCAAUCUCGUGUAGUCUUCGCAUUGCAAAUUAAUGGUGAGUAAGAACCAACUGGAGUUGCGCUUAGCCUGAGUCUUGAUGGAGACACAACGGGAGACCUCCUAUUUCUUUGGUCUGCCACGACACCUUUUUGGUGAAUGGCAGGCAGAGAACUGAAUAAUAGGCAUAAUAUCAAAGGGCUCAGAGGUUGCUGAACCUUGGGAGACUGGGGGAGGUGCCUGAGAGAUGGGAUCAUUUAACGCUGGAACCACAUGGGCCACAGUGAUGUCUGGCUCAUUCAGUGAAACUGACGGAACACGCGGCGCAGCAGUAGAACUCUCAGACUGACAUCGAAGAUAGGCCACUGCAUCAAGCACUGUGUCAUUGUUUGGGCCAAAAUCUUGUUCAUCCAAUCCAACGCUACAGGCCUAGAAUAAUAAGGACAAAAACGCUGGGCCUAAAAAGUCUGGAUUCUGAAAAUAAACAUGAACCAAAGGUCCAAAAUCCAACAAAAGCCCAGCCCAGAACCUAUCUCAAGCUUGGGCUUCGAAGAAACUAAAUUGGGCUUGGUAUGAUCAAAGUAAAAAGUGUUAACCCAAAAGAAAAUAGACCCACGUGAUUUUUUUCUCUCCAACUUGGAAAAGUCAAACAAUUUCAACUGGGUUGAUAAAGAGUUGACAGAGGCAGGCAAAAAGAAGGGACGUCUCUGAAAUCUCUACCACCACAAGAUCAAAACCCUUUUAUACAUUCAGAGAUAUUGUUUCUUCUCCAAAGAAAAUAUCAUCUUUCAAGGGAUACGUAGGCUAAAGUUCUCAAAAAGAGAUAAGCAGGAAAACAGGGAGUUGUUCAAACUGGAAAAGCAAACUGAACAUCACGGUUUGAGCACUCACAAAGGGGCAGUUGGAAUUAAAGAGGGGCUAGGUUCUCUUCCAAAAAACAGAGAAGUGAUUGGUCUUAAAAGAACUGACUAUUGAUAGCCUAUCUGUCAGAAUUGAUAAAAACCCCUUCUUCUUUGUAUUUAAAAAUGGAAGAUCUUUUGAGAAUUUUGCCGCCCAUUAUUGAAAGAAAGAAACCUACUCCAGAACAUUUCUUUAAAUAUAAAGAGAGGGUGAACAUAGCAGAGGACACUCAUUUUCAACAAUCAAUCAAACAAUCAAAAAUCAACCAAAGGCAAGAAACUCAAAAUGAUCACUUGAUCACUGAGAACCUUCAAACAAACUGGAGCAACCAAAAGCUCAUUUGAGCCACAAAAGAAGCCAGCUAUAGAUCAGAACUUCCAAAGUUCAGACUUAGAGAAAUAAGUCAUUCAAAACGAGACUUGUCUCGUUAUAAAUUUGGUUCAGCAAAAGCCAAGACAAGCAGAGUUUGAGUUUUCACAAAUAUAAAAACCUCAACGAAUUUUAUAGUGUAGUUCCAGCUUAUUAAGUCCUCAAGUCCAACCACUUCUGCCCCUUCAAACUAAAGAAGCUGCAGUUCUGCCCGCUUAAAAGCCUCCCAAGGCUUGAAGUAGAUUAAAGCUCUGCCAAAAUUGAACUUUGGUGUCGAUUUAUAGCUAAAGUUAAGCAGUUGAAGUUGUUAACAGCUCAGUCCAGCAUAAAUAUACUCAGUCCAGCCCGGAUCAGAAGUUUCUACCCAAGCAGAAAUGGAAUUCUAGCAGUCUUUUUGUCUUUCUAGAGUUGAUUUUUCCCUUUUUAAUUCUGUAGAAGGCAGUUCUGCCUAAAACAGUCCACUUUAUUGUCAUCUAUUCUGGCUAGAACUACCAAUUUUAUACUGUGAUAAAUUAUGAAGUCCUCAACAUUCUAAGGCAGGAAAAGAACUUACUUGGGAGAUAUACCUCACCCAGAUUCACAAUCGCUUGUUUAGAAAUCAGUAACAUGGGGCGGGAGUUAUCUGUUUCAAAGAAGUCUGCUAGGAUUUCUAGCGGUGGCACGCUUGCACACCAAAGAAAGUUGGCUUGUUGACCAGUCAACGGUUUUCAAGGCAAUGGGGAACUUGGCCUUUCCAUCACAGGAAUAAAAACAAAACGGGUGAAUAGUGGCGGAGAGGUAGGACCGAGGGAGAGAUGUGUUAGCAAGAUCCUAGUGUAAUUAGGAGAUUUACUUCCUAAUAUAUUAUGAUUCUAUUUAUUUACUUUUGUAUAGAUAUUAUGUAAUUAGGACUUUAUCUUAGUUUCCUAGUAUAACCCUAAUAGGGUUUGUACUCUUGUAUUAUAAAUACCUCAUUUUGGAGAAUGAAAUAUAAUAUGAAAAUAUUCUACCCACUUUAUUUGACAUGGUAUCAGAGCAAACUUUUCUAGUGACCUGUGUGUUGUGCCCACCUGUAUUCUAGCCCUAUAUUUUUUCUCUACCUGUGCCGUGUGUGCCCCCUUUGGGUUUGUGAGUUGUGUUGUCGUGUUCAUGUCAUUCCUGUCUUCAUGCAUCUGCCGUAUUUGCGCCUUUGCUGUGUUCUGCGGUGUACUCUGCUGUGUUUAUACCUCUACUGUCUUCGUGUCUGUCUUCGUGCAUCUGCUGUAUUUGUGCCUCUAUUGUGUUCCAUUGUACACUCUGCCGUGAUCUGUUGAAUUUCUGCUGCAAUCAUGGGUGAUAACUCCUUUGUUGGUGCUGUUGGUGCUGCUUCUGGAAAUUUAUUUGGUUCAGACUCUAUUCCAGGUACUGGCUCCAAUACUUGGAUAAUUGAUACUGGUGCUUCUGAUCAUAUGACUUAUGAUGCUACAUUUUUUGAUGAGUUGUCUAGUAACACCCGUGACCCAUACAUAACUAGUGCUAAUGGCUUGCCCUUUUCAAUUACUGGCGAGGGCACAAUCUCUCUCACUCCUACUCUGUCCUUGUCCCAUGCGUUACUCGUUCCUAAUAUCCACUGUAACUUGUUUUCUGUUGGCCAAGUACUUGAUACUCUUAAUGCUUCUGCCACUUUCUAUCCUACACAUUGCUCUUUUCAGGAUCUCAAAACUUGCGAGACGAUUGGGCAUAUUAAACGGAUAUGGGGGUUAUAUUAUUUGACAUUGCCUUCUGCACCAGUUCGUGAUCGUGUUGUUCAUACUAUUCAAAGUUGCAGUGUCAAGGACAAACAACAAAUUUGGUUAUGGCAUCGUCGCUUGGGACACCCGUCGUUCGGCUACCUUGAGCAUCUGUUUCCAUCUCUAUUCAUCUUUUGUGAUGAGUCCCGUUUUAAGUGUGAGACAUGUAUUUUGGCCAAGAGCCAUCGCACUGUGUUUCCUUUUGUUCACCCGUUUUCGUUGUUUACUCCUGAGGUGGAAGGGCGAAGUUCCCCACUGGCUUGGAGACCACUUGUUGGUCGACAAGUCAGCUUUUCUUGGUGUGUGAGCGUGCCACUGCUAGCAAUGUAAAUUCUAGCAGACUUUUUUUUUAGAGUGGAUAACUUGCGCCCCAAGUUACUGACUUCUAAAACAAAUGAUUGUGAAUUUGGGUGAGGAAUAUCUCCCAAGUAAGUUCUUUUCUUGCCUCAGACUGGUGAGGACUUUCAUAAUUUAUCUCAGUAUAAAAUGGUUGUUCUGGCCAGAAUGGAUAAUAAUAAAGUGGACUGUUUUCAGGCAGAACUGCCUUUUACAAAAUUAAGAAGGGAGAAAUCAACUCUAGAAAGACAAAAAGAUGGCUGGAAUCCCAUUUCUGCCUGGGUAGAAACUUCUGAUCCGGGCUGGACUGGGUAUAUCUGUGCUGGACUGUGCUGUCAACAACUUUAGCUGCUUAGCUUCAGCUGUAAAUCGAUACCAAAGUUCAAUUUUGGCAGAGCUUUAAUCUACUUCAAGCCUUGGGAGACUUUUGAGCGGGCAGAACUGCAGCUUCUUCAGUUUGAAGGGACAGAAGUGGCUGUUCUCGAGGAUUCAGCAAGCUGGAACUGUGCUGUAAAAUUUGUUGAGGUUUUCAUAUUUGUGAAAACUCAAACUAUGUUUGUCUUGGCUUUUGUUGAACCAAAUUUGUAAAGAAAGGGAUCUCGUUUUCAGAAGACUUAUUUUCUAAGUCUGAACUUUGGAAUUCUGAUUUGAAGCUGUUUUUCUCUUGGGAUCCAAGUGAGCUUUUGGUUGUUUUCUUGUUUGUUUGUUUUUUUCAUUGAUUGAUGAAUUGAGUGUCCUUUGUUUCCUUGCCUACUUUCGUUUUUAUAAGAGACCCUCCUGGGGAGGUGAUUUUUAAUCCUAAAUAAUGGGCGGCAAAAAAGAUCUCUUAUAAUGUAAAGUAAAAAGGGUUUCUUAUCAAUCAAGGCAGAUAGGUUCUGAGCAGUCCCUUCCCUGGUUUCCUGGGUGGCAGCUUUCUAAUUCAUCCAACGCCACCGUCUAUGUGGGCUUUUUAUGGCGGUUUGGCUCUUUUUCUUUUGUAUUUUCUGAAUGGUUCCCCGUUUUUCCGUUCUGAUUUAGAAAGCGUGAUCCGUGAAUUUCUUGGGAGAUGGUGUAUUGAUUUGGAGCAAAAUCUCGAACACAGAUGGGUUUUUGAUCUUCAAUUGGCAGUGUUUCAGAGACGUCCCUCUCACAUUUUAAACUUUAGUUGGAAUUGCUGACUUUUUCAAAGUUGAGGCAAUCACGUGGGUGUGUCUUUGAUCCCUUGGGUUUGAACCUAACAAAAAUUACGGGCUGAUCUUUGAAGCCCUUUUCGGAAGUUUCCACGUCUGGGCUUUCUUUGGGCUGAGGCUUUGUUUUCAACAUUUUUGGUGUGAAGCCCAAUCUAUCUGGAUCCCAUUUUUGUUUUUCUCAAGUCUUUGGGCUGGGCAGGCAAUUUUAUCAUGGGCCCGUCUUUUGGACUUUGGCGUGCUGAAUUUGGGCCCAAACACCUUUGAGUGACAGUAAAGCUGCAAAACCUUUUGAUUUAGUACAUUCGGAUGUAUGGGGACCUGCUCGUGUGACUUCUAAUGGUUUCCGUUGGUUUGUCACUUUUAUUGAUGACUGCACUCGCCUAACAUGGGUGUAUUUGAUGAAGGAUAAACAUGAUGUUGCUUUUAUUCUUUCUGAAUUUUGUGCCAUGGUGUCUACUCAGUUUCAUGAUCGAGUCAAAGUGUUUCGGAUUGAUAACGGAGGUGAAUAUGUGAAUAAUCCCUUGACCAUUUUUUUCGUAAUCAAGGCAUUAUCCACCAAACUACUACUCCAUUUACUCAUCAACAGAAUGGUGUGUCUGAACGCUAGAAUUGUCACUUACUUGAAGUUGCUCACUCCCUUCUAUUAGACAUGUCUGUUCCCCAUCAUCUUUGGGGUCAUGGUGUUUUGGCCGCAACCUAUCUGAUUAGCCGUACCUCUAGUCGGGUUCUUGAUUUCAAGACUCCGCUCGAUGUAUUGUGUGCCCAUACUUCUCCAGUCUCUGUCUCUUAGUUGCCUUCGAAGGUGUUUGGGGUUGUUGCCCACGUUCAUGUCUACUCUCAUCAACAGAGUAAACUGGAUCCAUGUGCUCUCCGCCGUGUCUUCAUUGGUUAUUCUACUACUUAUAAGGGUUAUAAAUGUUAUCAUCAUCCUACUUAGAAGGUGCAUGUUACUUUGGAUGUGACUUUUCAUGAAGAGGUACUGUACUAUGUUACUCAUUCCUCUCCAAUUCAGGGGGAGAGGGGGAGUAAAUUGGAGAGUAUCGGAUUGCAGGAUCUUGAACUUAGAGAAGUGGGUGAGGAUGAUACAAAUGAUGAUCUCGGAAAGAAAACGACUGGUCGCCUAGUAGAUAGCAACCGGUCGCACAGGUCUGGAGCAAAAGAGGACGCACUCUGCCUAGAAACAACCAGUCGCCCAGAUGGACACAACCGGUCGCGUGACUCGAUGCCUGAUGAUAAUACACUCUGCCUGGAAAUGACCGGUCACCUAGAAGAUAGCAACCAGUCGCGUGACGCUGAUUCGGGUGUUGAAAGGCUGGAAACGACCGGUAGCCCAGAUGGGUGCGAUCGAUCACCUGGGUCAACUGAUGCUAUUCCAUGUGUUUCCUGUGAAUACGAGUUUGAUACAAUACCCCCUUUACCCUGCCAUUACCCUAGUCCAAUAGUGAUACUGAGUCAAGUGAGUUAAUUUAUGAUGAUCUGUCUGUGUCUACUUAUCAAUUACCCUCACGAACUACUCGUGGGAAACCCAAAGUACAAUAUUCUCCUGAUAUACAUGCCAAAUUGAAAUAUCCCAUUAGCCAUUAUGUCACAACUCAUCGUUUAUCUAAGUCAUAUGCAUCAUAUUUGUGUCAAUUAUCUAGUGUAUGUGUGCCAACUAAGCUGUAGGAUGCUCUAUCUAAUCCAAAAUGGACGGAUUCCAUGAAUGUGGAAAUGGAUGCCUUAAACAAGAAUAAGACAUGGAAUUUAGUUCCUUUGCCACAAGGGAAGAAAGCAGUUGGAUGCAGAUGAGUGUUUACUUUGAAGCAUAAGGCUGAUGGUUCCAUUGAUCGUUACAAGGCUUAAUUGGUAGCCAAAGGGUAUACUUAGACAUAUAGAGUGGAUUAUCUGGAGACAUUUGCUCAAGUGGCAAAGCUCAAUACUGUGCGUGUGCUUUUAUCCCUUGCUGCUAACCAUGAUUAGCCCUUAUUGCAGUUUGAUGUCAAAAAUGCAUUUCUACAUGGCAACCUUCAGGAAGAGAUUUACAUGGAUCUUCCUCUUGGUAUUCAUGUGACCUCUAAGGAGGUGUUGUAUGUAGAUUGCGGAAGCCCUUGUAUGGAUUGAAGCAAUCUCCAAGAGCGUGGUUUGGAAGAUUUGUUAUAUCUAUGUAGAAAUUUGGGUAUGUGCAAAGUAAUUUGGAUCAUGCUUUGUUUCUGAAGCGCCACAAGGGUAAAUUGACAACUUUAAUAAUUUAUGUUGAUGAUAUGAUUGUAACUGGAGAUGAUCAGACAGAAAUAUAGAGUCUCCAGAAAUAUCUGGCGUCUGAGUUUGAGAUGAAAUGAUUAGGUGACUUAAAGUAUUUUCUCGGGAUUGAAGUUGCCAGAUCUAAACAUGGUAUAUUCUUGUCUCAAAGGAAGUAUAUUUUGGAUUUACUUGCAGAAACUGGAAUGUUGGAUUGUAAACCAAUUGAUACUUCUAGUGAACAGAAUCACAAGUUGGGGUUAUAUCCUGAUCAAAUUCCUACUGAUAAGGAGCGCUAUCAACGGCUUGUGGGGAAAUUAAUUUAUUAAGCUCAUACACGUCCUGACAUUACAUAUGCAGUGAGUGUAGUGAGUCAGUUUAUGCACUCACCUAAUGAAGACCAUAUGGGAGCUGUGACGCGUAUUUUGAGAUAUCUCAGAGUUACCUGGCAAGGGGUUAAUAUUUUCCAAGUAUGGUCAUACAGAUGUGGAAGGAUACACAGAUGCUGAUUGGGCAGGUUCAGCUACUGAUAGGCGUUCUACGUCUGGGUAUUUUACGUUUGUUGGUGGUAAUCUUGUUACUUGGAGAAGCAAAAAAUAAAAAGUGGUGUCUUGAUCUAGUGCUGAGGCUGAGUAUCAUGGGAUGACCCAUGGCGUAUGUGAGUUGUUGUGGUUGAGGAGAUUAUUGAGAGAUCUUGGCUUUGGACCUAAGAAACAUAUGGAUUUAUAUUGUGACAAUAAGGCUACGAUUGCAAUUGCACAUAACCUGGUGCAACAUGACCGUACAAAGUAUGUGGAGCUUGAUCGAAAUUUCAUUAAAGAGAAGUUGGAUGUGAAGACUGUUUCCUUCCCAUUCAUCAGUUCUGAGUAUCAAUUAGCCGAUGUCCUUACAAAAGCUGUUUCUACCAGUAACUUCCUCAACUCGCUUGAUAAGUUGGGCAUGUGCGACAUCUUUGCUCCAACUUGAGGAGGAGUGUUAGCGAGAUCCUAGUGUAAUUAGGAGAUUUACUUCCUAUUAUAUUAUGAUUCUAUUUAUUUCCUUUUGUAUAGAUAUUAUGUAAUUAGGACUUUAUCUUAGUUUCCUAGUAUAACCCUAUUAGGGUUUGUACUCUUGUAUUAUAAAUACCUCCUUUUGGAGAAUGAAAUAUAAUCUAAAAAUAUUAUACCCACUUCAUUAGACAAGAUGGAGUCACCUUGGUCUGUUCACGAGAGAACGACCGCCAAGACCAAGUGCCCGAACUAAGACCAAGUGCCCAAACUACUAGGAUCGCUCGAACCAUCAUUGAUCCACAUACCUGCUUGUGGAGGAGAAUGAAGCGGACUCUUAUAUGGGGGUGAAGGAGCCGAUGUACGGCGUGCGGAGGAACCUAUAGAAUUGCCCCGCAAGUUGGUACAACCUUCUAGAUCAACCAAAGCAGAGGAAAAUUGUGCCAACAGAGAUGGAGUGAGUGAACCCUGAGAAAGCUCGUACUUAUCAACACACGCCUAAGUAGGAUGACCAAUUUUGCGAAAGGAAAACAAUAUUUAGGGAGAUAUUCAUACUUAAAAUCCACUAUUUGCUCCCCACCUCAGUAAAGGUAACAGGUGUUCGGCGGAUAAGAGGCUGGGUGACAUCAAACCUUAUACGAAUACGGAUAAAAUGCCUCACACAAUUAGUACCAUUACGAUUAUCCACCCAAAGAACUUCUCCGAGAAUAGCCCAAUUGCUUUAGCAACAACAACAGUCAUGCAGAAGGCAGGAACACCAUGGAGUUGAACUCAAAAGGUACCAAGAGUUAAGGGCAACGAGUCCAUAUUCCCAUGAUUCGGGAUAUCCGCCAGUAAUAUCAAUGAGCACCCAGGGCUCGAUAUCAAGAACCCGCUUCUUAUAGUGAGCACAAACAAAUAGAUAAAUAAAUAAAUCUUCUCCACCCUUGACUGCCCUAUGUGCUAUGAGGCUUCUGAAACUAGUACGUGCAUGGUGAGGCACGUCAACUGUGUAAUGUGUCUGGUUUGGUGGUUUAUUAAUGUAACACCCCGACUCCAAAUUAAAUGAUUAUUUUAAUCGAUUUUUUUAAAAUUACGAAUUUACCCUUGGGAUAGGGGUAAAUUGAUCACUUUCUUCUUCGGAAGGAUUUUGGGACCACGAGUGGCAUUUCUGGGUAGAUGGUACUGAGACGAAUUCAUAGACACGCGGUAGGCUUGAAUCGGGGUUGUAACGAAAAAGUUACGGGCAAAAUAGUGUCAGUGGCAAACUUGUAAAUAUUUCAAAAAGUUUGGUAAAAAUCAGAUUUUCACCUCAGCUCUCUCUCUCUUCGCGCGCGACACUCUCUCUCUCCUCAGUCUCUCUCUCUCCACGACGUUCACUCUCUCUCUCCUCGGCUUGCUCAGUUCCGGCCACGGCAGGACCCGAGAUCGGUCCCGUUCGACUCGUCUCGUCGCCCCGGUCAAGCUCUGCCCGUUUUCCCCGUCGGAAACCAGGGAUUCCGGCCGCGAGCUCGACGGUUUUAAACAGAAGCAUUCCAGCCGUCGCGCCGCCGCCUCCACCGCCCAAACCCGGUGAUUGAGGUAUGGUUUCUCUUCCAUUUUCCGAGUUCUAGCUGAUGUUGGUAUAGGUUUUGAUCGAUUUCGAGUCUAGAAAACUGAUUAGAAAUCUAGGUUUUGGGCCGAAUUUCAACAUGAAAUUCCAGCCAGUUGCCGGCCGAAUUGGAGCUUCUCGUAGUUGAAUGAAGUGAUCCUGACCUCAAGUAGAAGCUAGGGUAGGAAGGGUGAGCUCGGGUGUGGAGUUUUUUCGUCACCGGAAUUACUCUGCACACUUAUGCGCUGCCGGCGCGUGUGGCGGCGCGUGGGCGAGUCUGGUGAGGAUGUAAAUUGACCCGAUGAGAUCCUUAGGUUGUCACGAGCGCAUAGGAAUUCGCGGAUCUCGAUUCGGAUGUCGUUUGGCUAUCGAACGGAUUUUCGCAUAUUAUGCGUUAUCCGGGUUCGAUAGGUUCCGACCGUUAGAUCUUUCCCAAUUUAAAAUAUGUUGUUCUAGGUAUUCCUAGGACCGUAUGGGACUUCACGAAUUCUGAAUCGGAGCCCCGGAUGUUCCGAUUCAAAAAUGUAAAGUUUGCGGGUUAGCGAUAACCGUAAAAUCGUGAACGCUUCCUAAACCUGUAAUCGGACCUUAGGGUACCAUCUUCGACGUGCACGUAUGGGAAUUUGGGGAGUUAAGCAUUUAAUUUGUAAUUUCCGCUUAGACGUGGUUUUUAUAUUAAUUAACGAUUCGUAUUUCGAAAUAGGUAUUUCGACUGCACGCACGCAGCAAGCAGGACCUUCACGUGGUCAGGCAGCGAGGGAAUACUUGUGAGUGGACUUUGUUUUAAUCAUAUGCCUGGUUUUAAUUAAUGAAAGAUUUUGCAUAAUGUUUUAAUGGCUCCUGGAUUUUUUUAUAUAUUUUGGGCAUGGAUUAAUUCUGAUGGGUGUAUAGCAAUUGGCAACAUAUUAUGAGUUUGGCCUUUUGGGUUUUGAGAGUGUAUUUCAUAUAUGGAUUGUGGGGAGGUAUAUUUUGAUAUAUAUUCUUUUUAGAUGAGAUAUUUGGGUUGUUGGAGGGUGACAUGGAAGAGUGUGUUUAGAGAGGAGUUGUGGGAUUACACUACGUAAGUACCUUCCCCAGUUACUAGUCUCACUAGCGGCGUUGGAUGUUCCGGCGGGUGAGACACUUUCCGUAUGCAGCGUUGAAUGUUCUGGCGUACGGAAAGAUUGUGUAUAGAGUUUAGGGUCAUCACCAUGGCGUUGGAUGUUCCGGUGUGUGAUGAUCCAGUCUGCGCGCGUAGGACAUAGUUUGAGAGCUACACAUGGCGUUGGAUGUUCCGGUGUGGGAGCUUUGGAGUUUCGUCCCCCGGUUGGACCGCUCAUCCCUAGACGCAGGAUAGCACCUGGAAAUCCUGCGGACUAGUCAAACGAUCCCCCAGUUGGAUUGUUUUCCCCGGUACCUAGGUGGUGUGAUGAGUAUAUCGUAUAGCUAUUUAUAGUUAUUUAUAUAUAUAUUUAUAUGUAUAUUUAUUGAAUAUGUAUAGUUGAGUGUGAAAGGAAUUGGAGUUUGUUAAUAGUUGACAGGAGUGGUGAGUUUGAGAGAAUGGGUUCUUUUUGAAAGAGAUAACUGAUGUUUUUAGAUGAGUUUUACUGAAGCAUGUUUUGAGUAAUUUCUUAUUGAAUUGUGAACCUGCAUGACUUGAGCAUUAUUUUACAUGGUGGGGUUACUAUGUUGUUUUUAACUGCAAACCUGGUUUUUGUCCACUCACAUAUUUUCUGUUUUGCGCCCCCCAGCCAGUAGUUGCUCUUGGAAGUGCAAGUGGUGUACGAAGCGGAAUCGGUGCAUCUUUCUAAUUAGGAACUGUGUAAAUUCUUCUACUCAACUGUUCUUGUAAUCUAAAUUCAGUAGAUGCUCUGUAUUGCCAUGGUAGAUUUUACUUGUGAGGCCGGAGGCCACUCUAGUAUGACUUAUGUAUGUAUGAAAGCAUGCUGCUGGUUGGGAUUAGUAUUACUGUGUGUUGCAGGUUGAAUAAAUUUUGUUGGGAUUGCUUAAAUUGCAGGGGAGACUCUGCCAAAUUUUUGGUAGAAAGUCUCGAUUAUUUAAUAGGUGGGCCCAGCAUCGGGAUGAUGUCGGGAUCAAGACGGAGUCCGCCUCGGUCUUCGAGAAAUUCUGGGGCGGGUCCUGUCAAUUAAGCUACAUCUAAGAAAACUUUUCAGUUUUCUCUCCUUUCAAGCCUCAUGUUGAACUAAUUGUGUUGUUUUAGGUUGUUUUUUUAAGCACAUGGAAUUGGGGAGGUGUGUUUACACAUAAACGUUUUUGGGUAAUUUGGGGUUUCGAACCACUUGUCCACAUGACUUGAGGCUAAAGAGCUCAACCAACUGAAUUAUACACAAGUGGUCUUUUUUUUUUUUUAAAUGUUGUUAAAGAUGAAGAAGAUAUACAACGAACAAAAAAACAAAAAAAAAACCAAGAACUUAGAUCAUUAAAUGGAGAUGUAAAAAGCCGACAGUUUCGAUCAUUGAACUAUUAUAAUUACCAAUUAUCAAACUCUUCGAAUUACCAUUUGCAAAGCUCAUACAACCCAUCAAUUUUCCUGUCCAUAUGAGUUAAUCAAAUGGAUUUGAUUUUCUUUACUUUGCUAAGGUGUUUUAAUCCUUUACAUUGAUUUUCUUUAACUAUUUGUGCCAAGCGCAACAUGGAAACUGCAAUUUCCUUAAUUUCUUUAAAACUUUAGCUCAUAUUCCUUACUCCAGCUAUUACUAUCCACUGCUAAAAAAAGGGCUAAAAGCACGAUCCAAAGAGCACAAAAAAGAGAUUCAUAUCGUUUUGAAUCAAAUUUGACAAUAUAUGUAGUAUUUGUGUGAUAUACAGAGAAGACACAAUUGUUUUGUGUCCAAUGCCAACAUAAGAAAGAAAUAAUUGUGCCUAAGUAGUUUAAGCACAAAUUGUGUGGCCAAUUAUCAUAUUAGCAUAUAGAGUUUGUCACUUCAGUGCAAGAAUAGUUGAAGCUUUUGUAACCACAAAAAAUCUAUUUUUGUGCCAUUUUGCUUAGAGCAUCUCCAAGGGAGAUGUCAAAUACCAAACAUCAAAUUUAAAUUUGAUGGCUGAUGUGGCAAUUUGACAUCUAACACAGUUUUACACUCCACCUGAUAUAUCAAAUUAAAUUAUUAUUUUAUUAAAUUUUAGUGUUGAUUUAUUUACUACUUCUUAGAAUAUAAUUUUUAUAUUUUUAAUUAGAAAAAAAGAAAAUACUAAAAGACAAUCAAUUAAUUGAAAAAGAAAACUACAAGACAAUCAAUUUAUUGAAAUAUAAUUCACAAUUCACCACCUCGAAGAAUUUUCAUUCUAAGUUGAGAACAAUAUAGUAUUUCCUCAUCACACAUUCCAGAUGUAUCCAUAGACAUAAUUUUCGUCUCAAACUCCAUUUGUUUGAGUCGAAGUUUAUUUUCAUCUUGCUCAACUUUCUUCUUAAUAAGCUCCAUUUUCAUUUCAUCUCUUUCCUUUUUCUGUUCAUGUAAUGUUUGAAUUUGCACCAAAAUAUAGGAGUGGGCUCAUCGCUAGUGGUUUCUUUCAUCUUUCUCUUUUCGGCCUUCUUACCUAGUGGUCUUUUUGUGGGAGCAUAAGUAUCGUUGGUGUUGUCUUGGUAAACAUCUAUGGGAGUUCUUUGAGUAGACAAUGAUGAGAAACUAGUCAAGCGCUUCUUACUCACUGAUUCUUGCGUUUGUAACCACUUUGGUUGGUGCCUCAAUAAAAUCCAACCAUCAGGGGUGAUGCCACAUACAGGCCUGCAGUGGUCAUGACCCCCGAAAGCUCCAUGAAAAAGCCACUAACUCUUAAACACAUGCUGCAAUAUCAAUUAAAAUAUAAGUCUAUAAAACUUUAUAAUUACUGUAUUGACCCCCCAAAAGACAAGCUACUAGCUCCGCCACUGCCAACCAUAAUCAAGGAUGAACUUUGCUUUGUGUUUUGCUUCAUAUGUAGCCUUCGCAUCCCCAAUCUAAAGAAUAUUAAAAAAAACAAAACAAAACUCCACAUGGGAAUAAAUUUAAUAAUUAAAUAUACUAAUACUAUUUAAAUAAACCUUAUCUUGCUCGGUUUUGCCACUCUGAUUUCUCUCAUUUAUAGUGGCAAUACAUCCAGAAAAUCUAUUGACCUCCUUUUGAUUUUUUUGCCAUCGUUGAGACAGCAUUCGGUCGGUUCGAAUACUGUCGAACCACUUAUUUUGGUUGUAAUAUUCCACAAUUCGUGCCGUUUUUGCUCAUUUCCAUGUAUAGCAUCCAUACUAGUGUUUAACCAUGCACUAAAAAGAAGACGAUCCUCAUCUUUGUUGAAGCCAGCACCUCGAAUCUUUUUCCUUUUAGACACUUCCACAUUGACUUGAUCACAUACUUCACUUGAAAAUUGAGAUUGUUGAGUAGAAAAUUUUGGAAAUUGGGAGUAUUGAGAAUCCAUAAUGUUUAUAGAUGAAUAUUUGAGAGAUUGUACGUAAGGAUGCACAGGCAAAUAUAAAAAUGUGGUAUUUAUAGAGAUCAAAUGUGAGGUUGGAUUUACAGAAUUGAAUUCUGGCCGGCUGGACUGGGCUUCUGGUAUCCAUAUAGAAUCUUCUUGCAUUAGAAUUGCACGUCAGUACAUUCAACUGAUGAAGAUCAGUUGGAAAUCGAUACCAAUGACAGUAUUGGCAUAGCUAUAAUCAGUUUGAGUCAUAGAGAGGCUUAAAAAGUGGGGCAGAACUGAGAGUUUGCGUCCGUUCUGCCUGUUCUGAGGACUAUCUGCAUGAGAUUAAGACAGCCUGGUGUCUCUAAGCAUUUGUUAUGCUUGAAUUGAGAUUUAUCAAGUGGCUGGAUUGGCAGCGACUGGCCUGGAAUUGCAUUUCAGUACCUGGUCUGCUUGACUGGGGAUGAUUUGUUAGCUAUUCAUAUGAGCUUAAGACAUCAAGGUGUCUCUGAGCAUUUGUUGAGGUUUUCAUAUGAUGAAUAACCUGGCUUCUACCUAGUUCAUUUGUUAUGAACCUAAUUUGUAACGACAGAAAUAUGAGUUCUGCUUGAUUCUGUUGAUUUGAAUCGCAUUUGCAAUGAGAGAAAUCUUGUUUUCUUCUUGGUGAGUUAUUUUUCUAAGCUGAGCUUGAAGUCAGAAAUCUGAGUUCUGCUUGAUUUUCUUGAGAGCUGGACUGAUACUGUAAGCUUGAUAUCUUGGUUGCUUAUGAAUUUGAAGGCUUUUGAGAUUGUGUGAUCUUUGAUAUUGUCAGUUUGACUAAGAAUUUUUGGUUGUUUGUUUUUGUUGGUUGACUUUGGUUGUCCUCUCUCCAGUUCACGUAUCCUUGUAUUUAUAGGAAACAUGCAUGAAGAUGAUCCCGAAAAAUCUAAAGAACAAUUGUUGGGAAGUGUCACUCCACUGACCCUUAGCAGAUAAGGAAGCAAUAACUGUUUUGAUAAAAGCAGCAAAUAUCAAGAGCUAGCUAUGGUGAUCAAUUUUGUCUCUUUGCCAACCAAUUCUCUUGAAUGCCUCCUGCCCGUUUCUUGUGAACUGGGAUUAAUUGUCUUGCCAAUGAAACUACACGAGUGAACUCUGCCUUGACCUUUCUAGCUUCAAGGUUGUCAAUUUGGUUUUGGUUUUGGUUUUGCGGUGGUGAUCAACUUUCUUUAAGAUCAAAAGAAGGUAAAUUUGGGUAAAAACUAAACCAAAUUAUUGUGGGUCUUAGAUUAAAUUACCAUUGGGGAUAACUAAGAUCUAUUUACUUUAGGUAAUUGAUUUAAUUUUACCCCACCUGUUUUGAAAUGCGUGUAGGGUAUUCUCCAUUUUUGGCAAAUAGACUUUGAUCGCAAAGAUAGUCCACCAGAAAAUUGGGCCGGUGUACAGAAAUGAGGCCCAAACACAUGACCUUGAAAGAAAAAAAAAGUAGCAACAAACUUGUGCAAGCAUAAAUGAAACGAUUCAAAGUGAUAUGCAACGGUAAUAUUUUAUAAUUUGUUUUGUUUUGUAUUACAUUGUUUUCUUAUAGAAAUUAGAUUUUACUAUGGACUGAGAUAAGAGUAUGAGACUAAUCAAACGUAAAUGAAACAAACUCUUAAUGUUGUAUAUGAUAGAGCAAUGAUCUUAUCACAAGAAGAACAAACAAAUGGAUACGGACCAACGUUUUCUCAGAGUCCAAAUUAACACCAAAUACACUUCUGAUUUAAAAAACUGAAAUUUAAAACAAGACAUAUGCAACUAAAACUUGAAAUAACAUAGUACUGUAUUUAAUUACGAGUAUUGCCACUUCUCUGUCACGAAUAUGAUUUCGAAUAAAAUCUUGAAAUUUCAUUGUCCGCUUAUGUGAGAUCAUAAGAACAAUACUUUCACCUCUUCUUGCAUCAUAAUCUCGAGGAAGGCGAUCAUCACGAUUCACGUUCAUCUUCAAUGAUCAUGUUAUGCAUUAUGAUGCAUGCUUUCACGAUUCGUUGAAGCGUUUCACGAUCCCAAAAACGAGAAGGACCACGAACAAUUGCAAAAUGUGCUUGGAGCACUCAAAAUGCCCAUUCAACAUCUUUCCCUCGAAGACUCUUGAGCUGCUGCAAAAGUUUUGGCCUUUGGUCCUUGGGGGCAUGGAAUAGUUUUGACAAAUGUUGCCCAUGAUGGAUAAAUUCCAUCAGCAAGACAAUAACCCAUUGUAUAGUCGUGACUAUUAAUUGAGUAAUUGGGUGGAGGAGCUCGGCCUUAUCGGAGGUCAGAAAAUAAAGGAGAAUGUUCUAAGACAUUUAUAUCAUUAUGUGUUGGAAAUCACAGUCAUCACAGUCAACGCCAAUCAAAGCUUGAUUUGUGGAUUGAAUCUCAGUGAAUAAAUCAAAUUGUAAUUGCUGUAAUUAGGUCCUAAAGUUUAGAUGUUUGUCUGACAGUUUACCUCUUUUAGACUAGACGUACUCCUUUAUAACCAUGUAUAUGAGUUGUACAGACAUACAAGAAAAUACAGAGAAACCUUUCUCAUUCUUUUCUCCAUUAUCAGUUUCUUUAUGGUAUCAGAGCUCUUGAACAAAACAGAACAUGGACUUUAUGCCCCUUACCACAGGGAAAACGAGCCAUUGGGAGCAAAUGGGUCUAUAAGAUUAAAUAUCGUUCUGAUGGCACGAUCGAAAGAUACAAAGCCCGCCUUGUCGCCAAGGGUUAUACACAAAUGGAAGGUCUUGACUAUACCGAAACCUUUUCACCCGUAGCCAAAUUGGUCACCCUCAAAUGCUUACUUGCUGUUGCUGCUGUGCGACAUUGGUCUUUGCAUCAAUUUGACGUCCAAAAUGCCUUCCUCCAUGGCGAUUUGGAUGAAGAGGUUUAUAUAUUGCCUCCUCCAGGCCUUCGUCGACAGGGGGCGAAUAUGGUGUGUCGACUUUAGAAGUCACUUUACGGUUUAAAGCAAGCAUCACGCAAUUGGUUCUCAAAGUUCUCAACAGCCAUCAAACGAGCCGGAUUUCAACAAUCUAAGGCAGACUAUUCCUUAUUUACUAAGGUACGAGGUGCUUCUUUUACAGCAGUGUUACUUUAUGUAGAUGAUAUGAUCAUCACAGGAAACGAUAACACCGCAAUUGAAGAGCUUAAGAGAUUUUUACACAACAAUUUUUGGAUCAAGGACUUAGUCCAUCUAAAGUACUUCCUUGGAGUUGAGGUUGCCUACUCAAAGCAAGGUAUUGCUAUUUCCCAGCGUAAAUACACUUCGGAUAUACUUGAGGAUGCAGGUAUGAUUGGAGCAAAACCAACUAAAUUCCCAAUGGAACAAAAUCAAAGGCUCACACCUUCAGAUGGUGAACUACUCAAAGAUCCAUCACAAUAUAGACGCCUCAUUGGUCGGCUUAUAUACCUCACCAUCACAAGGCCGGACAUCACAUUCUCGGUCCAUGUUCUCAGCCAAUUUAUGCAACAACCAAGGAAACCUCACCUUCAAGCAGCGUACCGUGUCCUACGUUACUUGAAGAAGGCACCAGGCCAAGGUGUCUUAUUCCCAUCACAUGGUAAGCUGCAAUUGAAAGGAUACUGUGACGCUGACUAGGCAAGUUGUCCAACAACCAGACGAUCCGUUACAAGAUUUUGCAUCUUCCUUGGAGGAGCACCUAUGUCUUGGAAAAGCAAGAAAUAAUUAAUCGUGUCACGCUCCUCAGCAGAAUCAGAAUAUAGAUCCAUGGCAUCUCUUACCUGUGAGUUAGUGUGGCUCAAAUACCUUUUGCAAGACUUGCAGGUAACACACUUGCAACCAGCCCUCUUAUAUUGCGACAACCAGGCUGCUCUACACAUUGCGGCCAACCCUGUGUUCCAUGAACGCACGAAACACAUUGAAAUUGACUGUCACACUGUGCGUGAGAGAAUACAAUCAGGUUUAAUCAAGACAGCUCAUGUUUCUUCAUCUCAACAGAUAGCCGAUAUAUUCACUAAGCCACUUGGCAGUGCAUUAUUUCAUGCUCUCCUUCGCAAGCUAGGAACUUUGGACAUCCACGUUCCAGCUUGAGGGGCCGUGUUGGAAAUCACAGUCAUCACAGUCAACGCCAAUCAAAGCUUGAUUUGUGGAUCGAAUCUCAGUGAAUAAAUCAAAUUGUAAUUGCUGUAAUUAGGUCCUAAAGUUUAGAUGUUUGUCUGACAGUUUACCUCUUUUAGACUAGACGUACUCCUUUAUAACCGUGUAUAUGAGUUGUACAGACAUACAAGAAAAUACAGAGAAACCUUUCUCAUUCUUUUCUCCAUUAUCAGUUUCUUUAUUAUGUGAUCUUGGUAGCCCAAAGAAAGAAUGCCAUAUCCAUAGAUCUUGAAGCCAUAGCUUUGAGAAUCAACAAAGGCUCGCGAUGGUCUCCACGAGCAUACACCCCUUAUCAUGCAAUCGGACAAUUUUUCCAUUUCCAAUGCUUACAAUCGAUGCUACCAAGCAUUCCUGGAAAUCCACAACUCUCAACUAUUAAUAACCUAGAAAUAUCCUCAAGUAAUUCCCACAAAAAAAUGUCAAUAACCGCUUGAUCAAACCUUUUCAUUGAUUCAAUUGAAGUAGUUUCACCUAUCUGCAUAUAAUCAUCGACAGCAUCAGCUGCAACUCCAUAAGCAAUCAUUCUCAUCAAAACAGUGACCUUUUUUAAAGGUGAUAAACCAAUUCGACCAGCUCGAUCCCUUUUUUGGGCAAAGUAUGAGUCAUAAUCUUCUACCGCAUUUACAAUUCAAAGAAAAAGUGGUUGGCACAUUCAGAACCUUCUUCGAAAUUGAGUUGGAGAGUACCUAGGAUUCUCAGCAAAAUAAUCAUCAUAGAGUCUUUGGUGCCCUUGUAGUCAUCCUUUGUCGAUAUAUCGGCACCACGAUGUUUACUCAUUUCUCCUUCCAUAUUCUUUUGUUCCUUUUGCAAAGCAACCACUUCCAAUAUUUUCGUCAGACUCUGAAUCAACAAGAUUCCAAACCUGUCGAAUCAGAAGAUGAAUCGGAGAAAUGAUGAGACAUGUUAGGGUUCUUCACAAUUCACAGUAAAAGAAAAGAAAAUUUUUUGGUAUAAAAGAAGAAUUGUGUUUGAGCACAAGUUAUUUUUUUAUUUAUAGCUUUUUGAAGAAAAUUAAAUGAAAGAGGUGUGUUUUAAAAAAAAUUGUUCAACAGUAGGAAAUAAGUUGGAAAGAGAAAGAAGGAAAAAAUUUGUAUCGGCCAAAUCAUUCAAGAUAAAGAAGAAAAAAAUAAGUGAAAGUAACACUCAGCUGUCUUUAAAAAAUAAUAAAAUAUUUAUUUGACAUCUUGCUUUUGGAAUGUCAAAAGUAACGAUUGAACCUCCAGCCUUAAUUCCACAUUAGCUUUGACAAUUCGGUUGGAGGUUGGAGUGAUGUGAGAUAUUAUUUCUUGCCGUUAAAUGUCUAUGUGGCACUUAUCAAUUGGAGAUGCUCCUAGAGCAUCCCCAAAGGAGAUGUCAAAUACCAAACAUGAAAUUUAAAUUUGAUGGCUGAUGUGGCAAUUUGACAUCUUACACAAUCUUACACUCCACCCGAUAUGUCAAAUUAAAUUAUUAUUUUAUUACAUUUUAUUGUUGAUUUAUUUUUAAUUAACAGGAAAAGAAAAGAAAAAAUAAUAAAAUAUUCAUUUGACAUCUUGCUUUUGGAAUGUCAAAAAUAACAUCUCAACCUCCAGCCUUCAUUUCACAUCAGCUUUGACACAUUGGUUGGAGUGAUGUCAAAUGUUAUUUUUAGUCGUUAAAUGUCUAUGUGCCACUUUUAACACAUCGAUUGGUGAUGCUCUUAUAAAUUAUAACCGCAAAAUAUUAUUUUUCUUUUAUUACCAAUAAAAAAAAUAUUUUUUUGAUACUUAUAUACAUAUUAUUUUAAAUAUUAUGACAUAGUAUUGAGCACUAAUAUUGAAUUUUAUAGUUAAGUCCACACACAUUUCAAAAUAUAGUUGCCUAUAAAGCACAAAUACUGGAAUUGUGUCCUUUUGUGACCUAUAGAGCACGAAUACUAUAAAUUGUAUCUAGAAUCAUUUCAAAUUUGGCCAAGUGGCAGUGAUCUACGUUUGCAUGGAAAAGGUGACCUUUCCUGUUGAAAUGAUGAAGGGGCAGGUUGGCCUUACCUAUAUUUGAUACAUUCCUGGGAAUGCGGCCAGUCCAAGAAUGGAUAUACGGUAAAGAUGUUUUGGCAGAAAUUCUAGAAAAGACAAGGCACAAAAGGAAUUUUAACAAAAGGGCUACUUAUUUUAUUCAGAAAAGUGUCGCCUGUAGGCUGUAAGGCCAGCUGUGGAGAUUCCGUUUUGACGUAACGGUUAAGUGAUCAAAUGCAAAAUUAAAACCAAGGCCACGUUUGGACUUUGGCCUUUUGGAAAACAGCAUGUUCAUACGUGCGGGAUUAAUCAUGACUACGGCUUUUUGAGACGCAUCGGAUCAUUGAUAGUUCUGUCUUGAUCGAGGCACCUCCUAAUCGUUUGAUUCAUAAGAGAAGUCAUUUUAAUACCCAAACCUCCUAAUGGUUUAGGCAAACAAACUGUAUCCCAUUUACCUAAAUGAGUUUUAUGAUGGGUCUCACUACUUUCCCAAAGAAAACUUUUAGAAGAUUUGUCAAGGUCUUCACAAAGAGCUUGAGGAAGCUUAGCCAUCUGCAUAGUAUAUUGAGGAAUAGAAGAAGCAACAGACUGGAUUAAAGUGAUUCUUCCAGCCAUAGAAAGCAAUUGACUUUUCCAAGCAGAAAGUUUAGCUUGAACUUUAACCAGAACCCCCUUAUACGUAGCUUUGGUAACCCUCCCUUGAACAAGGGGAACACCUAGAUAAUUCCCCAUAUCAGCGGAUCUGGAGGCACCACAAAUUAACUCAAUUUGAUCAACAAGGUCAGACUUAGUAUUGGCAGAUAUGUACAACAAAAAUUUCUCAAAAUUCACUUGCUACCAAGAGAGCUCACAUAACUCCUCAAGAAAAUUUUUCAUAACCAUAGCUUGCUAUUGAGACCCAAAAAAUUCACGGUUGGGCCCGAAUAAAUUAUUGGCCCAAAGCGAUGCUCUAUUAAGAAAAGACGUAAAGAGAAGUGCACAAAAAUCCACCACAUGCGAGUUACAAUUCACGUGCCACGCUAAAUAAAUAAAUUGUUGUGCUAGGAGUUGAGAUAAAAUAUGCCUGAUUUACGAACCCAUGCUAAAAUUAAACAUGGCAACCCUUUCCAAGGAUAAUAAAAUAAAAACAUGCCAAGCGACAUACCAUGCCAAGCAUGAAAUCGUUAUUUCGCACACAACCACACUACAAACCUAAGUGGGCCCAAGCCACUCAAACGCACGGGGCUUGCUUGAGUGGGUUGUGGUAUGGAUGGUAAUUAAUCAACAUGAGGCCCAUUGAUGGGCCGAGAAAUGGAAGGUCUCGGGUUGCUUGGGAGCCUCGAGACUCAGGCCCAUUUCUUAGGCCCAAACAUGUGGGUGAGAACAAGAGAGAAAAAAAUAGCCCAAUAGCCCAAGCAAAAUAGCCUAUUGACACAACCAAAAAAGCCUAAUGUUUAACAAAAAUAACCCACUUGCUUAAGGAGCCACCUUGGCCCAUACAAAACCCCAAAAUAAGCCACAAAAAACCUCAGCCCUUUGCUGAAAAAUAGAAGCUAUGUAGAGAAAGUCUGCAGGAUCAUUGAACAAAGCUGCUGGGAGGUUCCAACACAUGGGAGGAGCAAGUUCCAAGCAAGAAACAUUCAAGGAACCAAAGAAUAUUAGCCUGCGAGCUGCCAGAAGCACCCUUCGAACCAGCAUAUAUAUCCUAACUCAUUUUCUCAUCAGACUUAGCCAUGAAAAAAAGGGAAGAAAUCGAUAAAAGAGAUGGCUGGGAAUGGAAGUCUCCCAUAGAGACAGCUACGGGAAAAGGAGGCCUUGAGCUCCAAACUCUGAUCUGGUGCAAAUAGGCAGAAGGGAUUUCAUCAAGAGGGGAAAAGUCAAGGAAGGAGAUGAGAAAGGAAGGGAAAAGCUUGGCCAAGAUGGGUAGAAGCCAUUAGGAUUUCUUGGGAAGUGAUGGUUUCCAACGGCUAUAAAAUGAAGUCUCUUCCACCCAACAAAACUCAACUCAAACCCACGCCUAGAGAGCAAGCUUUCUCUCUAACUUGCAAAAAUCCAGCAAUCUCGUGCACUGUUCACCCUCUUCUCCAUUCUUCUCUUCUGGUAGACAGAGUAUCUGUCAAGCUGGCAGAAGAGCACUGUUCUUCAUUUCUCUUUUCCUAAUCAAAUCUCCUACAAAUCCCUCCUUUCUCACCUUAACACUUCCCUUUUUUCCCCUAAGAAAGCCUAAAUUUCCCCUAAGUGCUAAACCCAUGUUGAUUUUGCUUCCAUGCCAUAUGCCACUCACGCUGAGCUUAAAAGUUUAUCUGUAAGCAUGAAGAAAUUAUCUAUAAGCUGUCAUUAUUUUGGUUGGUGAAGGUAGCCAAAAUACUUCCUAAGGCUCUGCUGCCCUUUCGAAGUGUUUUCGGGGCUUAAUUUUCGAAUUCAGACAAGGGGGAUAAUUCCAUCAGUCUGCCCUUUACGGCAGCCCAGCCCAUUUACAGAUGCCGGAAGAAAAAGCCCUUACAUAAAUUGGCGACUCUGCUAAGGAUUAAGCCAUUAUCUUCAUCAAUGCCUCCAAAGAAGAAGACCAGAAGCAACAACAUGACCUCCUAAGAUGGGCCAAGCCAUGCUGACUCAGAAUCAAGGCAACAUGCCUCAUCUAGAGAAGAAGAACGUGCAAGUGAGGGAAUUUUCACCCUCACAGACCUUGUUGCAGCCAUCCGUGCAAUGGGAGAAACUCAAAGGGAGAUAGCAAAAACAAUCAAGGAGCUGAAAAACUCUGCUGCUAAGCCAAGCGAAGAAAACGAGAGACACCCACAAGAGGAAUCUGCUGCUGGUGGAAAGGGGUCUGAACAAAAGGGACCAUCUUUUGUCACCCAAGAUGAAGUAGUUGCCAUACUGGAAAAAGAACUGAGUCGAAGUCAGGAGGAUUGGAAGUACCUUCCUUAGCCACCGUACCCAUCAAGCUUGCUUCAAUAGCCGUAUCCUAAAGGCUACGAGGCACCAACCUUUGUCCUCUUUGACAGAAGGAAGGGGAGCCCGAAGGAGCACGUCAAUCGCUUCAUUGAUGCCUUGGGACCGCAUGCCGAUGAUUAUAAUCUCCGACUUAGAGAAUUUUCAAAAAGCCUUACCGAUCGUGCUUACACAUGGUAUACGACGUUGGCACCGGGCUCUAUUCACUCUUGGGAAAACUUGGCAAGCAGGUUUUGUAAGAAGUAUUUCCAGCAUGAAGAACGAGUCACCACUACUUAACUUAACAACACUCGUCAAAAACAUGGUGAGGAUCCCGUGGACUUUGUGUACAGGUUCCGGGACCUGGCAUUGGACUGCUACGAUGAGAAAGAUGAGAAGGCGCUUGUCGAAAUUUGCAUUAGCAAUAUUGUGGCAGAUUAUAGGGUUUAUUUGGAGAAUAUUGGCAUCAGUCAAGUUUCAAGGCUACUGGAAGUAGUAAGGAGGACGAGCAUGUCUGUCAAGCCAAUGGGACAAAGGACUUGGAAGAACGAGAAGAAGGAGACGCACCAAACAUUGGCCAUAAACAACAAGCCAUCCAACAAUUACAACUCGCACAAACGGAAGGAUAGGGAGACAUAUCCGCCACUACCAUGCAAAGAUGAGGAAUUUCAUGUUAUCCUUGACACGAUGAUUGCUGAUGGUGCAAUCAGGCCUGUUAGACCCCACAAAAUUCCUACCCAAGAAGAAAAGAAUGAUCCUAGGUACUGCCGUUAUCAUCAAUUUGUGGGGCAUCCAACUACUGCGUGUCAGAGUCUAAGGAGGAUUUUACAUGCCAAAAUACAUGAGGGAGUCCUUGAGCUUCCCUCAAGGAGGCAAACAAUUGAUGAAGACCCAUUGCCAAAAUGAAGGGGAAAAGAGGUAGCUGAUGUCGUUACAUGUUCUGAUGAUGUGCUCGAGGAUGAUGAAUUGUGCCACCUAUGGAGGAAUGACCCAAAGCCACCAGAAGCUAUGUGGGAACGUUGGGGAAACAUGGAGAAGGCAUAUUGGUGUAAAUAUUCGAAGCCUUCAAGUUACAACGCUCCAUGGCCACUCGCUGGUGGGUGGGGUGACGACUUGGGCAACGAAGUGUUCGUGUUAGACAUGCCGGAAGAACGCUACUCGGGGCCUUCAUCGGGGCAGUAGGAAACAACAACCGUGACGUUUCAUAACCUUACAGAGGCUGAAACAGGUGUGAUGGAACUAUAUUUAAGUUUGAAGCAGGGGCCCACAGCUUCGCAGGUCCUCCAGAGAAACCUGAAGUUCAAGUCACUCUUUGACCAACUCGGCUUUGGGCCUCAAGACAGAGAAGUAGCUGCUGUAGCUUUCAUGAACAUCUCUGCAGAGUCGAAUCCCCAUUGCUUCACCGCUCAACUACAAAGGUCAUUUUUGGGAAAUGACAAUGCUAUCGUCUUCACGGACGAAGACAUGGAAGUGCCACAUUCGGAUCAUAGAAGGCCACUUUACUUGGAAGGACAAAUCAACGAUGUGUUUAUAAGAAGAGCUUUGGUGGACACGGGUUCCUCUGUCAAUAUACUACCUCUAUUUAUGCUUACGGCAACUGGUAUCCAUUAUCCAAAAUCGUGCAAUCUCAAACAAGCAUCAGCGGUUUCAGGAAUAAGAGUGAAGUCACAGUCGGGCAUAUGCAAGUAAAUUUGAAGGUUGGGCCAAUUCGGUCGCUUACCAAAUUCUAUGUCGUAGACGUGGAUGUGGCAUACCAUGCUUUGCUUGGAAGGCCAUGGCUCAACAAGCAUAAGCUCGUGGUCUUUACUUAUCAUCAAUGCGUGAAGGGAAGGAUUGGGCUGAGACCAUUACGCAUACCUAGGAAUCAAGCACCAUUCAAUAAAAAUGAAGUUCGCUACUCCGAGGCAGAAUUUUACACCGAAUGCACAGGUGCUGGAAGUAACCCAUCCAAGGAUUUCGGGACCUAUCUUCCUUCAUGGACUGAAAUUCGUGAUCUAAGCAAUGAGGAGCUCAUCACCAUUGUCGAUCGGGAAAGAAAGAAGCACUCGGAGGUCAAUAAUCAUGCUUACGAUCAUCCCCAAUGCUCGAAAGUGACACUGCCAAAUGGACUCACAGUGUAUCGCUUAUGACGGGAUUGGGGGCUUAACCGUGUUCUACGGGAAAGCCCCGAGUAUGGAGGAGAAUCAAUGCCAACGAACAACCAUGAGGAUCCAGAUGACAAGGCACCCACGCCUUGUGUUUUCCAAGAACGAAUGACGGCAUCUAGACACAUGCAAGAUGGAUCAACAGCGGUAGCUGAGCAGCUGGAAACAAUUGAUUUGAGUGGAGAUCCAUCUGCCUCAAGGCCCAUCUCCAUCAGCAUUCAUUUAACAAGUAAAGAGAAGGAGGCCUUGGUAUCUUUGCUAAAGGAAUUCCGAGAUGUGUUCACUUGGAGCUAUGAGGAACUGCCCGGCUUAAAUCUAAGCUUAGUAAGUCAUACUUUGAAUAUCGAGCUUGGUAUAAAACCUGUUGUGCAGCCAAGGAGGAAUUUUUCAUCUUGAAAUUUAAAAGCAAAUCAAGGUGGAAAUUGAAAAGUUGUUAGCUGUUGGAUUCAUCAAGCCGAUCAAGCAUCCAACUUGGCUAGCAAAUAUUGUUCCCAUGAAAAAGAAGACUGGUGUAAUUAGAAUAUGCACAGACUACCGAGACCUCAACCGAGCUUGCCCAAAGGAUGAAUUUCGCUGCCCAACAUAGAUAUCUUGAUCGAUUCAACCUCGGGUCAAGGCUUGCUGUCAUUCAUGGAUGGGUUUAGUGGUUACAAUCAGAUCAAGAUGUCACCCAAAGAUGCCGAAAAGACAGCCUUUCGAACGCCAUAUGGGAAUUUUUAUUACACGGUCAUGCCAUUUGGUCUCAAGAAUGCUGGCGCCACCUACCAAAGGGCCAUAACGGUAGUAUUUCAUGACAUGAUGGGAAAAGAAGUGGAAGACUAUGUGGACGAUCUCGUAGUGAAGUCCAAAACUAGAGAAAUCCAUCAAGAAGUUUUGAGAAGGGUGUUGGAAAGGUGCCGGCUAUACGAGCUAAAGAUGACCCAAAGAAGUGCGCAUUUGGAGUUUCAUCCGGUAAAUUCUUGGGGUUUCAAGCACACCAGCGUGGCAUAGAUGUGGAUCCCGAAAAGACUAGAGCCUUAAAUUCUCUUGCGCCACCUAGAAACCCAGAGGAAUUGAAAAGUUUCAUCGGAAGAUUAUCGUAUAUUCGACGGUUCAUCUUAGGUCUCGCUGCCACUAUGAGUGUUUUUACUCCCUUACUCAAGAAGGGCAAGCCGUACGAAUGGAGUAAGGAAUGUCAAGAAGCCUAUGGGCAAGUGCAACAAAUAAUCACCAAGCUGCCCACUAUGAGAGCACCCAUUCCGGGGCUUCCUCUCAAGCUUUAUUUGGCUGCAACAAAUACAGCUGUUGGAGCUUUACUUGCUCAAGAUGACCACGGUGGAGAAGAAAGUCCUAUUUAUUAUGUGAGUAGGCAGCUAAGGGGAGCUGAAACGAGAUACCCAAGAACCGAACUCUUGUGUCUUGCCCUUGUUUAUACUGCACAACGCUUGCGACAUUACUUCCUUGCUCACAAGUUGCAGCUCAUAGUAAGGUCUGACCCCGUAAGAUACUUGCUCACAAGGCCGGUGUUAUCUGGACGUCUUGCAUGUUAGUUGCUACAGCUGUCUGAAUUUGAUAUCACAUGCAUCACUCCGAAAGCCAUCAAAGGACAAGCCGUGAUCGACAUGCUGGCUCUAUUUCCUGAAGUUGAAGAAUCAAUGCUUUCUAAGGAAGUUCUGGGGGAGGUGCCGGAAAUAGUUGCUGUUGUUACAGAAGAGGAACCAUGGACCCUCUACUUUGAUGGGUCUUAUACAUCGAAAGGUGGAGGAGCAGGUGUAGUGCUUGUCCCGAGGGGCAGGCCGCGGCCCUCUCAUUCAAGCUAAAUUUUCCAUGCACAAAUAAUACGGCGGAAUACGAGGCCUUCAUCAUGGGGAUGUCUACAACAAGGGAGAUGGGUGUAGAAAGAAUUAAAAUUAUAGGGGACUCAAACUUGGUGCUGAGUCAAUUGCAAGGGAAUUUUGCUAUGAAGGAGUCAACAUUGGCGCCAUAUCGCACAGCCGCUGAAAGGCUUGUUCAGUCUUUCAAACAAGUUGUCUUGGAACAUAUUCCUGGGGUUACUAAUAGAUAUGAUGAUGCGUUGGAUACUUUGGGAUCGAAGCUUUCAUUUGUUGAAGAACAACCCAACAUUGCCGUAAUCAAGAAGGACAUGCCGGUGAUCGAAGCAAUGGCCCAAGAGGAGCAGCUGGAAUAGGACGACUGGAGGAAACCUGUGAAAGAAAAAAUAAACAAGGGAAGCGACAUCAAAGAAUUGAAGGAUUAUGCGAUCAUCUUCGGGGAGCUGUACAGACGCCUUCCAGGAGGUAUUUUGACCCGCUACAUAGGGACAACAGAAGCACGAGUGAAGCUCCAAGAAGUACAUGAGGUCACUUGCAAUUUGGAGCCAAUAAUCAGCUUGUAUCGACGUUUGCAACGCAAGGGUUAUUACUGGCCAGAGAUGAAGAAACAAGCAGCCGAAAUGCAAGCCAAUUGUCCCAAGUGUGCAACGAUACCCUCCACCGAGGAAUCAUUCACCAUCUCGUUUGCGGAGGACUGGAGGGCUCUGUACUUGGCAUCCUUCAUCAAUGGAGUUUUGCCAACCAAUCCCAAACAUGCUCGCAAGCUCAAAAAGACAAUGAAAAGGUAUUUCAUAGAUGGGUGGACUCUUUACCGCAAAGGGUUCAAUUGUGAGCCAUUAAAAUGCUUGGGAGAGUCAGAAGCACAGCAGGUCAUGCAAGAAAUUCAUGCUGGAGAAUGUGGUGAGCACUAAGGGAUGAAGAGGCUUUACCGACAGCUGCUGAGUGUUGGGUAUUAUUGGCCUACUAUGACGAACGAUGCGUACAACUUUGUGAAAAAGUGCCACACAUGCCAAGUCCACGCCAAUUUAAGUCACAAGCCUCCCACCCUGCUGCAAGAUAUGCGCACUCCUUGGCCUUUUCACACUUGGGGGCUUGACUUCAUCGGGACUAUCCAUCCACCAUCCGAAGGCUAUAUAUGGAUCCUCACAGCCACUGAAUAUUUCACAAAGUGGGUUGAGGCGGUUCCUCUUCGGAAGGCCACGAGGGCUGCUAUUGCAAACUUCAUUCGUGAAUAUAUUGUAUGCAGAUUUGGAAUCUCGUAUAAGAUUGUCACCAACAAUGGCACCCCGUUUGUCAAUAAGCAAGUAGGCUCGACGCUUAGUGGCUAUGGUAUCAAGCAUCGCCACUCCACGCCUUAUUACCCACAAGGAAAUGGUCAAGCAGAGGCCAUAAACAAAACCUUAUUGAGGAUCCUAAGCAAAAUGGUCUAUGAGUAUGAAGGAGGUUGGAGUGUUCACCUGCCGGAUGCCUUAUGGGCUUACUGCACCUCUCCAAAAAGUGCCACAGGUUUCUCGCCUUAUUUGCUUGUGUAUGGGUCUAAUGCCAUUUCACCAGUAGAGAUUACCAUCCCCACUGCCAGAGUAUCAGCCGUUAACGACCUCGAAUGGGAGACAAAGUCAUGCUCGGAUUGGCGCCUUCUGGACCUCGAAGCUUUGGAUGAAAAAAGAGCGGAAGCCGAGAGGAGGAUAGCGUUGUACCAUAAAAAUGUUGCCCAAGCCUAUAACAAGACAGUCAAGCCUUGAUCCUUCAAGCAAGGAGACCUCGUGCUAAAAGUCGUGGAGCAUGUAAGAAGACAAGUGUCGGGACCUUCCAAGUUUGCCCCGCAAUGGGAAGGCCCAUUCACAGUCAAGGAGGUUUACAGCAGCGGCUAUUAUCGCUUGGUCUCUGUCAAAGAAGGCAUGCUGACGGAUCCCAUCAAUGGGAAGUGGCUCAAGCCCUAUUACUGCUAAGUUAAUUUUAUGCCUUAUACUUUUAUUAUCGUAUUUUCCCUAUGUUUUAAAAUGAACUCCUUCUCUCUUAUUUUCAUAUUUUGAAAAAGAAACUUUUGUAUGAUGCAUCAUCAUGGUAGCAAGGGCUUUGCAAUGAGAAUGAAGGAAUAUUUUGAAAAAUAUAUAUAUUGUGUCUCUAAAGUUUUACUGUUUGCAUAUUUCAAAUAUCCUUUACAAAAAAAAAAAAAGAAGAAGCAAAAACGUGCCGCUUAGCAGUAAGGCAUGCCAAGCAAAGUCACUUGGAUGGGGUCCCAAACCAUCAACAAGCAUCAUGCUUAAGAAAAAAAGAAUAGUAUAAGGCAUGAAAAGUCAAUCUAUUAUAAAAAACACUCAAUUUCGAGGUGCUCGAAUAACAUGAUGCGCACAACACCUGGGAGUUUUAUAAAGCCUGGGUAAAAAUCAUUCACAUACUAGCUUGGCCUUUUAGGCAAGGCUAGAAGCUAUUUUUCAAGCCUAAAGUCUAAAUAAACCAUGCAAAAGAAACUUCAGAAAAAUUCUGGUCCUGUCAAAAUUUUGGCAGCAUAUACCUUGUUUUUAAGGGUAUCCAACCUGUCAGAAAAUCUCAAGCAGUUCACAAGGACAAGAUUUGCCAACUAAGCAGUACAUAUAUAUAUAUAUAUAUAAGACAUGCGAAUUACAAUAUGCCUCAAGCAUUCAGAAAUUAAUAUAAGCUUCACUGGUUUAAUACCAAAUUACAAAGUCAUGAUGACGUAGCAGCUAGAAUGUCGAAAAAAAAAAAACUACAGGCAAAGCAAGAUAAAACUACACAUGCUAAAAGUUCAUGUGUCCAGUAGUCUCAAAAAAAAAAAAAAAAAAAACAGAACCAUGGGCCAAGCUAAUUGGUUACCAAGCCAAGGAGGGAUGACUUGAAAAAAAAAAAAAAAGUAUGUGUCAAGACUAGCUGAUGCCGGAAGGAGUAGCAUGAUAAAAAUAAAAACAAAUAAGGAAUGAGCUAAAUACCUUGAGGCUACGGAGAACGCCCGAAGAGGACAGAGGAGGCCCUGGGAGAUGCUCUGGUUGCUACUCCUGCCACGCAUUCAGCAUUGUCAGCAGAAAUGCCUUUAGCAAGAAGGAGGGCAUGUAAUUCCCGACGUUUGUCCUCUAAUUCUCGCUGUUUAAUAUUCAAGGAGUUGGUGGCAGCUCUUAUCUCAUCAGGACCGUGUGAUAAUGUCAUACUACGAAUGGCCCGUGCUCCGAAGACAGCGCGUGCUAGGUCCUUCACAAGGUUGAAAAGGAAGUCCACAUGAAAGCCUAGGGUUAUGGCCUCACAUAUCGCGUCCCGCCAACAAAAUAGUUUGUGAUCAGUGAUAUCAAGAAGCUGCAUGGUGUUUAUCCUGUGAAACACUAAGCCAAGGGCUCGAAAGGCAGUACACCUUGAGAAAGAAGUGGUGAUGUCGGUAGCUUCCAUGAAAUUGCCGUAGUUAUCCAUGAAUUUCUCAAGACCGCAACUGUCUCUGGAUACACAAGUGCGCCUUGGAAUGCCACAUAACCGUUGAAUUUGUGGCAAAGCGAAAGAAGCUCGUCGACGGACCGAAGAAUUAUGACACCCCCAUCGAAAAAGGCUUUGAAUGCCAUGAAGGAAUUUUCCCAAUCCUGCCAAGACAUGCUUUUCCCGGAUGAAUGCCUGCCGGAGGUACCUGCGAUAAAGGCAUCACCAUCCUUAUGGCUAUUGUCAAUGAUCUCAGUAGGAGGAAGCACUGCCGGAAGUGGUGGAGAGGCGUCGACAGCCAUAUCGGAUGUGCCCAAGAUAAGAGGAGUCAGAGGUGGCACUGCCGGAAGUGGUGGAGAGGCGUCGACAGCCAUAUCGGAUGUGCCCAAGAUAAGAGGAGUCGGAGGUGGCAUUGCUGGAAGUGGUGGAGAGGUGUCGGCAGCCGCGUCAGAUGUGCCUAGGACAGGAGGAGCAGGAGGCCGCGCUGCUGGAAGACCCAAGAUGGCGUCAGCAACAGUAGCAGGAAAGUCAAGGCCGGCCUCCGAUGAGUAACCUGUAGUGGGCACAACCUGCGGGAGAAGAACGAGGUAUGAAUUGCAAGUCACAACAGGCAGCAUGCAAUGUAAAUAUAUCAAGUAGAACAAGCAAGAAGGUCAUUCGAUACCAAUGUAAUGUCAACACGCUGCCCAUGGUCACUAGCAAACUCAGGAGGCAUGUCUGAGGCACCUGGCUCCUCCAAGGGAAUGUCGAAAUCCAAACAUGUGUCUUCAUCAUGGCUAUAGUAUUGGCCUUCAUCAGGGUCCUCAUCCAUGCCACUUGUGCCAUGAGUGCUCUCUUGCCUGUGGGUGCUAAUCUCAGCCUCUGCAGCACCACUUUCGUCACUGCUAUCAUCAUCAUCAUCGAUUGUUACAAUUACCUCAGGUCCAGAGCCUUCACCCUUGUCUUUGCGGGUACUAGCAAAUCUUGUUCGAAGUAUGCGCGUACUUCGGCGCUUUGGAACCAUAUGGGUUACUUUGCCUUUGCUCUUGGUUUUGGAUGAACCUGUAAAUCAAAAGAAGGGGGAGAGAUGGCGAAACAAGCUGAAAACGAAGUAAAAAUAAAUAAAUAAAUAAAUAAAGACAAAAGCCAAAACUUACUGUGGGGAGACGAAGCUUCCGGCACCUUGUCAAUCCCCUUGCUGCUGCCAAAACCCACGGGUUGCUGCUGUGGUAAAGGUUCUGAGAGAGUAUCCCUUUUGGGGCUGGGGGGACCACUUGCUGCCACCUUGGGGAUAAAUUUUUUAGGUCCCUUUACAGCUUGUCUUUUCUCAUCAACGUUGUGGCCCUCCUCCCGCUUUCGUUUUCCAUGUGCAACAUUUUUCCCGACACUAUGAGAGCCUGAUUUCUCUAACUUCCGCUUUAGCUUCAAAAAAUCACCAACAAUCUCUCCGCUUUUGGAAGUGAAAGGCAGAUUCCGCUUCUCACUUAAGGCGAUGACCUUCUCUUCUGACACUAAGCGAGCAUGACGAACUAUGGUGGGAAGCAAUCGAUCGCAAUGGGCAGCAUGGAAUCGAUUAAAUGUAGCAAAGCAGCGAUUCCAGUAGUUUUGGUAGGCUUUCGAGAGACCGCCAACACGCCCUUUGUUAGCCAAAGCAAGGGCAAAAGGCCUGCCAUCUCCCGACACUUGGUCCUCAGUCCAAAAGACUUUAUGCAGUGAAGAGGGCUCUCCGUGGAUAGGACUGAAAGGCACACCCUGAUUGAACCCAAGCUGUCAUCUGAUUCGGUAAGGCGAAUAAUGCACGAAAAUUUUCAAGUGGUCAUCACCCAGUGUAGGCAAAGAAAGGCACGCAGCGCUUAGCAACGCUUCCCUUCGCAAUUGACGGCCUUGUGCUGUCAUUAUUGGGGCCCCAACUAGAUCACCAAAAUCAGCAUAGAAGGGUAUACAUUUAAAUCCCUCCGUUAAAGCACAGUAAGGGCGAAAGAUAAAUCUCUCAACAUCGUCCAGCAGCUCUAGGAAAUUCUGGCCCUUCCUUUGCAUCAGUCGUGACCAUCUGCAAAUCAAAGGGAGACUCUCUGGUACGUAGGAACUCGCAUUAGAACCAGCGAGUGUCUUAGCCUUCGAGUAGGGAACUGGGGAUACCUCUAUCCCUCGGAAGCGCUCCCAUAAAAAGACUUGCAGGAAGCUGGAAUUCAGGAAAGUUUCCACAGCCAUGGUUCCUGCCGCUCCUUUCUCAAGAUUUUGAACCUGGUCAAGCAAGCGGUAUAGGUGCCCCAAGAACAUAGGGGCUAGAGGAAGCAUGCUGCCAUGUGCUAUCACCAAUGCCAAAGAAAAUACCCGCUCGUGCAGACAGUCUUGAGAAAAAUCACAGAAAGUGAAUCUUCCAAGCCAUAAUGAUAUAAACGCUGCAAGGCGACAUGGUUCAUUCCUACUAACAUCCCCGAAAAAUUGUAUCCAGUUGCUAAACCGCAAAGAAGUGCUAGGAGAAGUCGGGGCGCUCUUUCGUAAAGCCUCAAGCUUUAGUUUAUCUUCUGGAGUCAACGCAAUGUGAAAGAGGUCUUGGCUGCCGCAAAGUGGGAGGUGGAAGAUGUUAGCUACAUCCUCAAGUGUGGGAGCAAACUCUCCCCACGAACAGGUAAAGGUGUGCGUCUUGGUACUCCAUAGCCUAACCACAUGCCGGAGCAUCUUGGCUUCAAUAUGAAUGUUGCAAGCUUUAGAAAUAAAAAUCGCAUCCAACACUCGUGCCCGACUUAGAAUGUCACAAGUGGAAGGGUCUCUCAAUUCACGGUCAACCCACUCUGACCAACCCUUGCUGGUGCCACACGGAUAUUGAAAGAAUAAAGGGACUACCGGAAAUAGGCCCCUCUCUAUGCAGCAUCUCGAUAUGGAUGCGGGAUCAACCACUGGAGUUGUUUCCGACGCUGGCUCCUCUUCAAUGAUUAUAUCUUCAUCAGUGCUCUUAAGCAAAGGCGGCGGCCUCCCUAUUUUCAAUCUGUCAUCUGUGGAGUAGAGAUGAUCCCUAAGGAUGGAUGACGGAUUAAUCGAUGUCAUGGUAUCAUGGUACCUCUUGGCGAAAUGAUAAAUACCUGCACAUAGAAAUGUGGAAAGAAGCAAAAUAGAAUUAGCACACGUAAGAUACGUGUCAAGCACGGCUAGUUGAACUCAUCCAAGCAAACAUGCAAUUUAAAAUUCAAGCUCAUGACAAAUAAAAGUCUCACUCUGUGGUCAACAAGCAUGACAAGCAAGUCCCUUCUCAAAAUAAAAAAAAAAUUUCAACCAGGCAGUACAAACAUGCACUCUGUCAGUUUCUAUUCUGCACAAGCAACAGACACAAAAUCCAUGAUUGAUUAGGCAUGUGUUCUCAAGGAAAGAAAGCCUAGGCCAAGCACCAAUCUACACCUAUUCUAAAGUACCCAAAGUUGGCAGAGUCAUUUACCAAAAGGCUAAGACAGAAGCACCAAAAAUCCAAGUUAGAAGACUGAAGGAUUUGAAGGUUCCAGCAGUAGAAGCGUCAAGGGUUUCUAGCACUUACACCACCUAUGCCUGAGACGUAUAUACCUGUACAGAAAUAAACAAAAAGAGAAAGCACAUCAUGCCAAGAUUAGCCUUUUCACAUACAAAGAGGGAGCCCAUGCAAGAUAAAAGUGAAGAAAAUGGAAAAAGGGAGAGGGAAAACAAGAGAAAAUGCAUACCUCGUUGAAUCUCCCAAGGGAUGGCCUUGAAUGUAACAAGAAGAGAAAAAAAAUCGAGGAUUUGAGGAAGAAAUCUGCACCAAAGCAAACCCUUCCAGCAGCAGCGAACGGGCUUCUUUUGAACGAAGACGGGGUCGAGUCUGACCGGGGGCUUCCUUCCCAGCGGCUGGAGUUUUGUAAUUUCUGUCUGAUUGCACUCUCUCACUUGGUUCGAAUUCGUGGAGGAGCAAAGGAGAACGAAGGGAGGAGAGCUGAAAAGAAGUUUUGGUCUGGUGCGUGAAAGAGAAAGAAAUUGGAAGAAGUUAGUGUCUGGUGCAAGAAAAGAGAAAAAGAAAGGAAGAGAAAGAAGAAAAUAAUAAUAAUAAAAAGGGAAGAAGAAGGCGGUUGGUGUUGGGAAACUGCAAAUAACUGCUGGGACUAAUCAUGACACGCCGUCAUUUUGCACCCGGGAAGAAGAGAAGUUUCUUGCAAAUACAAAUCUGAUUUUUUGGGUUGGGUUUAAUUACUCAACCCAUUCCAGCACCUGCUCAUGGCCCAUAUAAUUAAGGGGGCUAAUGUUGAGACCCAAAAAAUUCACGGUUGGGCCCGAAUAAAUUAUUGGCUCAAAGCGACGCUCUAUUAAGAAAAGACGUAAAGAGAAGUGCACAAAAAUCCACCACAUGCGAGUUACAGUUCACGUGCCACACUAAAAUUAAACAUUGCAACCCUUCCCAAGGAUGAUAAAAUGAAAACAUGCCAAGCGACAUGUCGUGCCAAGCAUGAAAUCAUUAUUUCGCACACAACCACACUACAAACCUAAGUGGGCCUAAGCCACUCAAACGCACGGGGCUUGCUUGAGUGGGUUGUGGUAUGGAUGGUAAUGAAUCAACAUGAAGCCCAUUGAUGGGCCGAGAAAUGGAAGGUCUCGGGUUGUUUGGGAGCCUCGAGACUCAGGUCCAUUUCUUAGGCCCAAACAUCUGGGUGAGCACAAGAGAGAAAAAAAUAGCCCAAUAGCCCAAGCAAAAUAGCCUAUUGACACAACCAAAAAAGCCUAAUGUUUAACAAAAAUAACCCACUUGCUUAAAGAGUCACCUUGGCCCAUACAAAACCCCAAAAUAAGCCACAAAAAACCUCAGCCCUUUGCUGCAAAAUAGAAGCCACGUAGAGAAAGUUUGCAGGAUCAUUGAAUAAAGCUGCUGGGAAGUUCCAGCACAUGGGGGGAGCAAGUUCCAAGCAAGAAACAUUCAAGGAACCAAACAAUAUUAGCCUACGAGCUGCUAGAAGCACCCUUUGAACCAGCAUAUAUAUCCUAACUCCUUUGCUCAUCAGACUUAGCCAUGGCAAAAAGGGAAGAAAGCGAUAAAAGAGAUGGCUGGGAAUGGAAGUCUCCCAUAGAGACAGCUGCGGGAAAAGGAGGCCUUGAGCUCCAAACUCUGAUCUGGUGCAAAUAGGCAGAAGGGAUUUCAUCAAGAAGGGAAAAGUCAAGGAAGAAGAUGAGAAAGGAAGGGAAAAGCUUGGCCAAGAUGGGUAGAAGCCAUUAGGAUUUCUUGGGAAGUGAUGGUUUCCAGCGGCUAUAAAAUGAAGUCUCUUCCACCCAACAAAACUCAACUCAAACCCACGCCUAGAGAGCAAGCUUUCUCUCUAACUUGCAAAAACCCAGCAAUCUCGUGCACUGUUCACCCUCUUCUCCAUUCUUCUCUUCUGACAGACAGAGUAUCUGUCAAGCUGCCGAAAGAGCACUGUUCUUCAUUUCUCUCUUCCUAGUCAAAUCUCCUACAAAUGCCUCAUUUCUCACCUUAACACUUGUUUUUUCCCCCUAAGAAAGCCUAAAUUUCCCCUCAGUGCUAAACCGAUGUUAAAUUUCCCCUAAGAAAGCCUGAAUUUCCAUGCCACAUGCCACUCACGCUGAGCUUAAAAGUUUAUCUGUAAGCAUGAAGAAAUUACUUCCUAAGGCUCUGUUGACAGGACCCGACCCAAUUUCCGCUUUGGAAUCCGAGCCGAAUCCUGUGCGUGUCCGACACCUGGCGAAUGCCGGGCACGAAUGACCUUUUUACCCUUUUCUUAAACAAAUUUCUUAAAAUUUACUUUCGACUUCUGCCGAAAAUCCGGCAGAGUCUACCCUGUAUUUUGACCAACACAAAGUCUUCCACCUGUCAAACAGUCUCAAAAAUCCUACCAGUUCCUUAUGUUCAACAAGAUCUCAGAGCAUUUCUAUACAAAUUUACAGGAUUUACAAAAGAGUUACAACGAACUCCUACACUUUGGUGGUGGGUCGGAAGCUAGGAUGAUGGCCCGAGUGGUUUCCUUUGUUCUUCUACGGCCUGGGGGGCGCAAAACAUUAAAAGUGUGAGUGGACCAAAAUAGAGUUCUCAAACAGUGUAUGAACAUAAUAACCCCCACUGUAAAAACAAUGAUAAUCAUAAACCUGAAUAUGUAAACUGCACUGAAUUAGGGUAAAUUCAAGCAUUCACAUAAAUAUAUACAUGUAUAUAUAUAUCCAGAUGUAGGAUAUGCUCAACCAAGGAAAUAUUGAGUAAAAUCAAUGAAAUCAAUAUUUGCAUAAAAGCACUGAAAUUUCUUUAAAACUACCACCUAGGUGUACCCCUGUAAAACUGUCAAAUCCUCUGUAAAUCUGUCAAUUCCCCUGGCAGGUCUCGGUGACACAUAGUGUAUCCGAGCCGCAAACUGGCAGGAUUCAGGAGACCGUAGUCAGCCUGAUCCGCAAUCCUGGCACUCACGGUCCGGGCGUCCCCAAAACUCGUGAGGCAAAUGUCAAUUGCACUGACGUAACUGAAAGUAAACUGGAUGUCUGUAGACAUCAUCAUAUCCGAAGGCAACAUAAACCGAAGGCAAUCUGGAUGUCCGUAGACAUCGUCUUAUUUGACGGCAACCUGUUUCUGUAACCGGGUACCCACAGUGGUUUAAGGAAAUAUUAACUGCUGAGAAAAUAUCAAAUAUAAAUAUCAUAAUAUUUCUGAAAGAUCUGAUGAAUAACUGAAUCUUUAUUCAAUCUAUAACUGUGCUGCCCUUUCUAUCUGAUAGAAAACUCGAACUCUGCUUUCUAUAAUUCAUGGUGGUCUAAAAUAAUUAUCUUGGAUAAAAUCUGACAUCCUCUGUAUUCUGAUAAAAUCUGAGCUAGAUAUUUCUGAAUCAUAAAUCUCAAAGUCUGUUGUCCAAAUAACUUUAGCAAAAUCAGCUAAGCAAUGUAUAGAAGGAAUCUUUAAAUUCAUAGGAAUAAAUCACACUGAAUAAAACUGAUUCAGAAAAUCAUUUAAAAAAAGAAAGGUCCACUCACUGCUGGUCCGAGCUAGCUGGACCUCUUGAAGGUCCCUCCUGUGGUUCAGUUUGGCCUCUGAUGCCUGUUUAACUAUGAAUAUUCAAUUACUAAACUGCUCAAUAAAAACAUUAAAUUAAAUACCCUGACCCCCGGCUCCUAGAAAUGCGUUCUCUCAUUGUAAAGUCAACUCUAUGCCCACUGUAGCAUUUCAGAUAAUUAGAAUGGCCUUAAAAGACCGGAAACCUUACCAAGCGAUAAACUGUUAGACCGGCCGAUCCGGAACCCCGUGGGGUCCACGAUCUCCGAUGGCCGAUCUGGGAUUCUCUAGAGGUUCCUCACUGUGUAAAACCCAUGUCCUGCGAGUUUGGUCCGAAAUGGACGGUCGGAUUGGCCAAAAUCGCGCUAUCGCUUAAAACCCUAACCCUAGCCCUAGGGUUCGCGAUUCCGGAGUAUCCGGGACUCCGAUUCGAAAUCCGUUGAAUCCUACACGAUCCUGAAACAAUGUAGGACAACAUAUCCGAAAUGGGGUGCGAUCCAACGGCUAGACGACACUGCACCCGGAAAUCGCAUAUUAUGGAAAAAUCCGUUCGGGGCUCAAACGGACUCCGAAUUGAGUUCCGCGAAAUCCUACGCGCUCGUGAUGGCACGAGGGUCUCAAAACUGGCCAGAGCCGUGCCACCACCCUGGCCCACGCGCCGCCACACGCGCGGACCGAUCGGGUGUCCAAAGCGAUCGGGUGUGCAGGAAAAAUCUUGGAACCGAGACUCCAAACUCCUACCCUAGGUAAAACACCCCAUUUGGAGUCACUUUUGUUCUUGGACAACCCCCAAAAAGUGGCCGGAAAGGGCCGAUUCCGGCGGCCGAAGUUCGGCCAAUUUCAAAUCGAAAAUUAAGCAACCUAAAGGUGAAAUCGAUCUAAACCCAGCCAACCAUCAGUUAGAGCACGAAAAAUAGCUAGAAAUCGAUACCUCACACGACUGAUUUGGUGUCCGGAUGAGGGAGAAACUGAGGUUGGAAAAUCGGCCAAAACUGCUGCGUUUUCCAGCAGUUUCCAGCGGCUCCAGCAGGGGCGGCGGACGGGCUGAGGUUGCUGGCGGGAGCUGGCCGGUGCUGCUGGGUCCGUUCCGGAGGGUCGGGGUGGCUUGGAAGGUGGCUGCCCUUCUGGUUUUUCUGAACUCUCGGGAGGGAGAGAGAGAGGGAGAGAGAGAGAGAGAGAGAGAGAGAGAAUGAGAGAGUGAGAGAAGAAAACAGAUUUAAAAAAAUGAUCUCCCAAAAUUUCCAUUUUGCCCUCGUGAGUAUUUUGACCGUAACUUCUUCAUUACAACUCCGGUUCGGGUCUACUCCAUGUCUACGAACUCGUUUCGCCGUGCUCUACGCAACGGCAUAAGCGGAAUUGCCAAAUUCUUUUCCGAUCAAAAAGUCAAAUUUUCCCCUUUUAAAAUAUGCGAGGGCAAAAUCGUCUUUUGGCUCUCAAAUUUUAGAUAUUUUGGCUUGGGUUCUUACAUCUGUUGCCCUUUCAAAGUGUUUUCGGGGCUUUAUUUUCGAAUUCAGACAAGGGGGAUAAUUCCAUCAGUCUGCCCUUUACGGCAGCCCAGCCCAUUUACAGCUGCCGGGAGAAAAAGCCCCCUACACUUGCUAUACAGAAGCCUCGCCAAAAAAAUCAAGUCAUCCGCAAAGAAUAGGUGCGAAAUUAAAUGACCAAACCGCAAUGCCCUAACAGCGUUCCACUCAUUCUUUAACACCCUAACAGCAAUGAUGUGACUAAGCUUUUCCAUACAUAAAACAAAAAGGUAAGGGGAAAGAGGGUUACCUUGUCUAACACCUCUUUGAGGUUUGAAACUCUCAGUAAGCUCCCCAUUCUAGAUAAUUUUGUAAGAGACAUUCUUGACACAGCUCAUAAUAAGUUGAAGAGAAGUUUCCCCAAUACCAAUUUCUGCAAGAGUUUGCUCAAUAAAAGACCAUUUCAAUCUGUCAUAAGCCUUAGAGAGGUCAAUUUUCCAAGCUAUAUAUUCGGUUUUACCUCUUGCUUUAUGGAAUCUAUGCAAAACCUCUUGAGCAAUGAAAAUAUUAUCUGAAAUUUGUCGUCCAUGAACAAAGCUAACCCGAUUGGGGCUAACAAGCUUACACAUAAGAGGUCUGAGCCUUCCAACAAUGAUCUUAGAAACAACUUUGUAUAAAGUGUUACAUAGACUAAUUGGACGAAACUGCAGCAUGCUCUGAGGAUUAGUGAUUUUAGGAACUAGAGUAACAAGAGUACUGUUCAGAAACUCUUGAACGGAACCAGUAGAAAAACACUUAAACACCAAAACUUCAAUAUCUUUCUUAGAAAGAGACCAACAAUUAUGGGGGAAAAAAAAAACCAGAAUAGCCAUCGGGACCAGGAGCCUUGUAGGGACCAAUAGCAAAGAGAGCAUCCUGCACCUCCUUUCAGUCACCUCUUUAUUGAUAGUAGCCAAAUCAGCCUCAGGAGUAUGAAGAAAAAGAGAAGGCAAAGGACUAUGAAUGAUAUCAACAGCAUCAUCCAAAAAAAGCCCAUGAAAAUACUCAACAGCAAGCGCUUUCAAACCUUCUUUACUAGAGAUCCAAUCCCCAUUAUUAUCUUUAAGCCUUUCAAUCCUAUUCCUUCUUCUUCUUCUGACAAGAGUAGUAAUGUGAAAGAACUUGGUAUUUCUAUCCCCACCCUGCAGCCAAGAAACUCUAGAUUUUUGUUUCCAAAACACAUUCUCUUGAUCCAAUAAAUCCUCAAACUCCUGUUGUAGAUGCUUCUCUAGAUUGCUAAAAAAAAUGGGAGAAACCCUUACAAAGAGGCCUUUGAAUACCUUGAAGCCUAGCAAGAAUUCUCUUUUUCUUUUGAAAAAUUUUACCAAAGAUUUGAGUAUUCGACUCCCGAAGCAGGGGAAUCAACAUGUCCAAUUUAUUAGAAACUGAACCUUCCAAAUUCUUCCACUUAACUUUAAUGAACUCAGGAAAUAAACAAUGUUUAAGUCACAUUGCCUCAAAUCUAAAAGGUUUAAGCUCAGCUGAAGGACUCUUAUCAGAAAUAAGACUAAUCAAAAGAGGACUAUGAUCAGAACAUCUUCUAGGCAGAUGCCUCACGAAAGCUUCAGGAAAUAAAACCCUCCACUCCUUUUUACAAAUAACCCUAUCCAAUCUCUUCAUCACAAAAUCAUCACCAACUUUCUUAUUAACCCAAGUAAACUUGGGUCCCAAAAAUCCCCAAUCAAUGAGCCCAUGCUGAUCAAACUAGUCCUUGAAACCUCUACUUUUACUAGAUAAUUUUCCAAAUUUUUCAUCCUCAAACAAGAUAUCAUUAAAAUCCCCACAGACAACCCAAGGAAAGAUUCCAGGAAGCAGCAAUAAUAGAUCAGUUUUGUCAGAGAUAAGAUCUCCUAGCUGGGCAAGGGUACCCAUACAUAGCAGUAAAUAUCAAAGAAAUACCUCAGAAGUCUCAACACAAACAGAAACAGCUUGAUCCAUGUAAUUAAUGACGCUCAAGUUGAAUUUAGCAUCAUCCCACAACAACUAAGUACCACCAUAGAAGCCUACAACAUCAGAAAUUUCAGCUUUAGGGAAGCCAAGUUGAGAAAUGACUUUCCGAGCUUUACUGGAGCUAAUUCUAGGCUCCAAAAUAACCAACAUAUCCAACUUAUGUCUAUACUUAAGAUCUUGCAUAGCAAGCAAGGAUCUCUUAUUACCUGCCCCUCUAAUAUUCCAACAACCAAUCAUUAUGAUGGAAGGCAAAGAGAAACGGUCAAAAAAGACCUAAUCAGAAUUGGCAGACAAAGGCCCCAUACACUUGAGACCUUGAGCCUUGCCAUCCUUUGCACAACAAGCAGACACACCAAUGAUUAAAGCUUCACAAACUUUAGAAUCUAACUGCACACUCUCAGAAUCCUUCAAAUCUUGAAUUUCCAUAUCCUGAUCAACAACUCUGUAAACCACAUAAAUAAUAUUUCGAGCUUGAGGCUUAGAAAUGGAAUAAUAAUCAUUUCUACGAGCAUUAACCUCCCCAAUUUCCAAACCACCAUUAUCAAAGCUAGUCACAGGCCUCCUAAGAUUACCCAAAGCUUGGUCCAACUCAGACAUAGAAGUUAUAGUGGAAUCAUGAGGCAAAUUCUUAGAACUAGGCCUCAAGACAAUAGCAAGCCUAGAAGAAGAUUUAUUUGAAAUAUCAGACAAAACUUUUCUCAGCCUACCGACCUUUUUCUUGCCCUUAUUAGGAGGAAUUAGAUCAUUCCAACCAUCAUCAUCUUUACUUUGAAUAGCCUUCCCAUUAAUUGACAGAAGAUUCUCCAAAGUCCCAAAAACAUGUUCUUGCUCACUAUCAAAACAAUCGUUCUCCAAGAUAUUAAAUCUAGAACCAAAUGCAUCAUAAAUCCCAGCCUCAGAAUUAAACUUUUGAACAACUUCCUUUUUAUCUUUCUGAGGCAAAGCAUUGCUGGAAUGAAAAACUUUCUCCUGUCUCUUGUGGACGACCUCAGGGCUAACACCCUUUCCUUUAUCUUCACUAGCAGUAGUCCCAUUUUUAAAAUUCUUCUUCCAAGCUUUUCUAGUCGAAACAACAUUCCAUAUACCAAAACCUGCCUUAUCCCCAGUAGGGUCAAUUGGGCCUUUUUGAUUAUCAUCAAGCCUCAUCUUACGUAACUUCUCCACUUGAUGAGAACGCAUCUCUUCUUGAAUAUCCCCAGUCAUAUCCAUAUCAGUCUCAUUGUUCUUAUGGAUAGGGUUAGCAAAAGGACAAUACUCUUUAUUGUGCCCAACUCUGCAGCAAUUAAAACAAAUCACAGGGAGAUUUUCGUAUUCCACUCUAACAGGCCUACCUUCAACAACUAGGUUAGGGAUGAGAGGCUUAUUCAAAUCAAUUUCAACACAGACCCUUGCAAACUUACCUAUCAUUUGACCUACAGUAUGAACAUCCACCUUAUAUGAUGAGCCAAUCAAAUCCCCAAUACACUUAAUAGUCUCAGAAUUGAAAAAUUCAACUCCCAUACCAGAUAAUCUCACCCAAACAGUAAUGCGGGAGACAUGCUCCUCAGCUGCACAAAAAUUAGGUCUCCAUUUUUGGACAGCAACAUACUGUCAUGCACUACCCAAGGACCCCCAGUUAACAUAUACAACAAGUCCUCCUCAAGAACAAAACAAACAAUGAAGAACCCAUUGUUUAAAUCAACCAAUUGCAUUGGUCCCUUAAGUCUCCAACGCUGCUUCAACCGUGCAAGGACAAAAUUAUAGGUAUGAGUCUUCCCUACAAACUGGAUAAUCACAGAAUUUUUCCACGGUCUAUAGAUCUUAUUUUUAAGAUGUUCAGAAAAACGAAUCGAAGGACCACAAGGAGAAUCCUUAACUUCAUAAUCACCAGAUUCAAUAAAGAACCCAUCCUUCUCCAUUCCUUCGGUAUAUUCAAAACAAGAAGAGCUUAGUAACUUAUCUUUGAAAUUGACCUCUGGCAUGGGAGGGAUUUGAUCGGACUAAUCCAUGCCACCAUCAUCGCUUCCAGGAGGCGCAAAAUCCUCUGAACGGAAUUGUUUGGAUGAACCAUCCUUCAUGACAACAGGACUCUCCGUAGGCCGGUGAGCCGAAAACUUGAAACCAGGAGACGCAGAUGCCUUCGAGCCGAUUGGAUCUGAAAGAGUUGGGCAAGAGAACGCAGAAGGAAAGGGAGCCUGUGGAGCGCGUUCGAACACACUCAUAGUGACGACCUCAUUUUAUCUUUUCGGCACCUUUCCUUUUCCUUAUAAAAGUUUAUUUUCAAAACGAACCCAACACUUUCUUCUUUCUGCAACCUUUCUUCGCUGUAAAAAAUAUAAAUAUGAGAAGCAAGAAGAGAGGAGGCUGAAUUCAAGGGAUCUUCUGCUAAGGCAAUGGAUGAUUUUCUUGAAACCAUUCUAUCAACAAGACAAGAACAUAAAUCUAUUAUUGGUUAGGCCAUCUCCAAUCCAUGAGGCUAAACCCAAAAUAUCCCAAAGUAUAGCCUAAAAUGUCUCCCAACCUAAGAAAAUGAAAGGGCCAAAAUUUGGAAAAAGUCAAACUUGGGCCCAAAUAGCAGUACAAGUAUUGCCUGGACCUAAAACUAUUCGGUGGAGCCCACCUGCAUCUGAAGCAGCCACCAUGUGCAAAGAGUCUGAUGUGGGCCCCAACUCAUGCUGUGCUGCUGAUGGUUGGGUUCGUUGUGAUCAAUUUUGAAGUUUUGAAGCUUAAUUUAGGAUCUAAGUUUUGACCCGUUUUUGGCUUGAUUUUCUGGCAAGCUCCGGCCAUUUUUUGGCCAUGGCCCAAGACCAAAAGUUGCUCCCUUAAUUGUCACAAACAUGUAGGUAUAGGUAUUGUCAGGUGUUUCGAGAAUUUUUCGGUCGCUGAAAUUUUCUCAAGACACCCACACACAAUCGGCUCAUGGGCCAUGGUGUGGUGGCCCAUUUCGCUUUUAAAACGUUCCCCAUGUCAUCCUAAGCACGAGGUAUGCUCGGAUUCGAAUUUGGUUAUCGUUUGACAGUCGAACGGAUUUACGCAUAUUAGGCGAUAUCUGGGUUCGACAUGUUUGAACUGUUGGAUCAGCUUCAUUUCCAAAUAUGUUAUUCUCUGUACCUCUAGGAUCGUGUAGGAACUCACAGAUUGAGAAUCGGAGUUCCAGAUAUGCCGAAUCAAUGAUUCAAAAAUUAUGUUAAACGUUGACCAUUUGAUCGUGUGAUCGAGAGCGAUCUGAUCGCUCGAUUGAGACCAAACUUGCAGAAUGGGUUUUGCAGGCUUUGUUGAACUCAUAAGAACUUUUAGAUCGGAAAUCGGAGGUCGUGGGCCCCGCAAGCACAGUUGACCAAGUUUAGGAAGUUUGACCAAUCAGUUGAUAGAGAGUCUUCCAAGGUUAUUUCACCUUUCGAAACACGUAGUUGGACCUUAGAAACUCUCUGUUCAUCGUACGCACACUUGAGUCCCGAGAAAACUAGGAGUUUAUUCUUAAAGUUCUCAUUCGUAGUAUUUUAUUUAAUCUAGUCCUCAUAUUCUUUAAUUGGUACUCUGGCUUAGCGUACCCAGCAAGCAAGACCUUCUUAGGGUCACGCAGCGUCGGACUUUCUGUGAGUGGACUUUUUUUGAAGAAGCAUUAUUUUCAAUGAUUAAAUUACCAUGCAUUUAAAAUGGAUUAUGUUGACUAUCGAGUUUAUAUAUAUAUCGUUUAAUUAUGGAAUUUGCGGUUGUUGAUGCUCAAAAUGGCCCGGCCAAUAUUGAGUCCAACUUAGUGAUUAGGUAUGCGGGGUCUUUAGGAGGGAAGAGAGCUGAGGCCCUUGGUAAAAUAUAGGUUGAUGGGAAACCUGCAGAAGACAAAGUGGGAGAAGCAGUCGUUAAGCUUCGGACACCAGUGUGGUGCCGGCCGAAGGCUCUCCGAUGCCUAAGUCAGUUACAAGUAGUAAUUCUGGCACAGUAACAGUAAAAGUGGGAGAAUAGUUCUUGCUUUUACCUGGGUACUGUUCCCUAUUUAUAGGGAGGUGAAAGUAGGAGGUUUGCACAAAGUUUCGAUGUGGGACUUUGUGCAAGUCGUCGUGGUGGCGACACGUGUCCUGGAGAUUAGGUUUGGCAGCUGGGGGCUUCGGUAGGUGUCUGGCACCUCGGAAGUGUGUCUUCCUUCGGCACAGGAGAAGGCGUGGCUGCCUUGGUGCUAGUCACUUUGGUGCUGGGUAUGCUCGGUUCAUUAUGGUGUAAACAGUAGUCCCCCAAGUUCGCGGUCGAGAAGUAACUUCUGGGUUGGGAACUUGUGAGUUUUUGUAAUUGUAACCGAGCAUUCCAGCUUCGUUGGGAGUCGUAGGGCACUCCCUAGUCCCCCAAGUUGGCAAGCUAGGAGUUGCGUGAACAUAUGGUAGCUGGGUACCUGGGUACUUGGGCAUGUUGCAGAUGAGAUGUGAGCUGGGUCCGUAGGGGAGCCAGGCCUUCAAAGGAGCCGGGUCGAGUGAAAUUUUUGGACUCCCCACAAUUUGUCCAUGGCCCUUGCCGUUCGGCAAGGGUCUAGCCAAAUAUUUCCCUCGUUUUUUUUUUUUGGUGUGCUCGGGAGCUAGGCCAUCGAGGGAGCCGGGCCAUUUGAAAAUUUUCGACUCUCCAAAAUGUCUCCAUGGCCCUUGCCGUUCUGCAAGGGUCUAGCUUUUUUUUUUUUUUUUUUUUUUUUUUUUUUGUUUGAAUGGCCGGGAGCUAGGCCUUUUUGGGAGCCGGGUCGUUUUUGAAAAUUUUGCUCUCCAAAAUUUCGACAUGGCCCUUGCCGUUCGGCAAAGGUCUAGCUAUUUUUUGGUUGCUCGGGAGCUAGGCCUUUUU